rnacentral:lncRNA from 1 species
ACUACUCUGCUUCACCUUCACUUCAAAUUCCCUCCGGUUUCUUCUCAUCAAUUGCCACAUUCCCUCCCCAAAAAAUCCCCAAUCUUCCUAAACCCUAUCCCUAUAAUUCCCAAUUCCAAACACCCCAAAAUGCAAUUCCUUCACAGACCCAACGCGUUUCCAGGCCAAGGCGCAGUAUCAAAAGCCAUGGACAUCAUCCAAUCCUCUCUGCCCACGUGGCAAUCGGCCUUCCUCAGCAACCUCGUGAUCUUCGUUGUCGGAACCCCACUUUUAAUAGCGGGACUAUCUCUCUCCGGAAUUUGCGCUGCCUUCUUGCUUGGCACUCUCACUUGGCGCGCUUUUGGGUCUUCUGGGUUCCUCCUCGUUGCUUCUUACUUCGUUAUAGUGAGUCAUUACAAAGUCUAUGGAUUUUAUUUGAAUUAUAGGAUUUAAGUUAAAUUUAGAAAUGGGGUUCUGAUUUUUGUUCCCAUUUGGUAUAAAGUUUACGCUUUGGAGGACAAGUUUCAUUGUUUGGUAAAUAUGGCAAAGGAAAAGAAAUUUAGUUUAUGUCAAAAAGAUUUCAUGUGACGUAGUUUGUUAUUUAAGUGUGAUUUGUUUUUGUUUAAAGAAUUGGAUUACACUAGGUGAAAUCAGGUCAAAACCAUAACCAAAAUAUUUUUUCCAAAAUUUCUUUAUUUUCAUUUGUUUUCCUCUUGGUGGGGGGCAGGUGGAGGAGCCAGGGAGAAUUUAUGGGUUCUCGCAGUUUUAGACUAGUUUGAAACGAUAUAGUAUUGUUUUUCCUGCUUUCCUUUCUGAUAAUGGCUUGUUUUACUUGCAAAAUGAAUCUUGAAUUAGUUCCUCCUUCCCUCUUCUGAUUUUCCCUACCCAUAUUUCUAGUUGAAGAUAAUAGUUUCAAAUCAUGCUUGAAAACUAUAUUACAAAAUACUUGUAAUAUCAAACAAUUUUGUGUGGCAUUCGAGUUUCUAAUUUGAAUGGAGAAAUAAUUGGGAUGGAAGUGGUAUUAAAUUUAGAGGAAAGAAACAAGAAUGCCUUUUGCAACAUUACAAAGAAAAGAAAAGAAAACCUAGUAUAAAACUUCGGAAGAUGCUUGAUUAUAAGGUGCUGGGCUUUUGAGGACCUGAGACUUCAUAAUACUUUAUAAUUCUCUAGAUCUUCAGGCAAUCUUACAGCUCUUUGUCAUGCCUCUAAAACAAAUGCGGUAAAACCAUGCUCAAUUGUUCAAAUUGUUAUGCUCAAUUGAGAACUCCUGACCUGUUAUGUGUGUGUGGAGAUGAUAACACCAAUGAAUGGCCUUGUUAUACGGAUGACCGCUCAUGAUAAUUGCUACUUCAAAAAUUAUUGGCUUAGAUUUUGCUGCUGUGUUUUGAAACUUGUUGGCAUGCCUCACGAAUGCUGCGAAAUGUGCAGAAGGUUUCUGAGAUCUUGCUGCCAUCUAAGAAGAAAGAAUAGGUGAAAUUGUACAGGUACUAUGAAUAUGAUGUAAUGUUUAGCUUUUUUAUAGGGACUUCCUUUUUGUAUAGUGAACUUGGUUGCAUUGGAAUGAGUCUGUUCUCUGGGAAGAAUCACUGUUCUGAAAUUUGUUAAGUCUGAUCACAAUUGCAACCAGGAGCGGCAUGCCUUGCUUUUCUUCUCAUAGGGCAUGAGGGUAUCCCAUCAGGGUUCUUUUUGUGAACCCCUCUUAUGAAAUAACAUCUUCUAUGCCUUUCCAAAAAAAAAAAAGUAACAAUCACAUGGCAUAAUUUUUUCUUACAAUAUGAGAGUACUACAUCAGAGUUUCUUAAUGCACUAAGAAAAGUUAGAGAUAAGGUCUAAGAAAAUAUCAAUUUCAAGAAGAAACAAAUAACACUAGAAUCAUAUUUUACAAAAAUAUCAUAAUUGAGUCAUGUAUAUAAAUAAUUUUGAUGUAUGAGGAAAUUAUUAAUUUAUAUAUCAAGUGAGAUCUAUGUGUUUUUUUUCAAAAUGUAUUAUCUUAUUAAUUUAACAAAUUAUUAAUUUAUCAUGUUGAUCUCAAAUCAGGACCAACCAAAAUUAAUAUUUAUUCAAAAUUAUUAAUUUAUCAAGUAUUAUUUAUAGAAGAUUUGUUGUACUUCUUUGUAAUUCACUCUAAAUAAAAGGGUAUGUUGAAACAAGCGGAAUUUAGAUCCCUUAUGGUUCUUGCUACAUUUAAGUACUAUUAAUGUCAUUUAUGCUGGUUAUAAAGAUCUGACAUUUUAUUUAGAAACAAAAUUUGUAGAGUGUCAAGCUUUAAUAGCUUUUUUUUUUUGUUGCUUUUUAAUGUUUAUAUUCGUUGCUAUAUACUAUUUUUUUCCCUAUCAAACCAUUCUUUCAUGCUUACAAAUUUAAAUUUGUGGUGUGCAAAAAUUGUUGGUGUAUUUUCAAAAAUCAAAGGUUAUGUCACAUAAUCAAAAGCUAUCUUAGCUCAAAGGUUUGUCACAUAAAGUGACAUAGUGUGACUAUUGGAUUGUAGACAGGUUAUNUUGGUGUAUUUUCAAAAUCAAAUGUUAUGUCACAUAAUAAAAAGCUAUUUUAGCUCAAAGGUUGUCACAUAAAGUGACAUAGUGUGACUAUUGGAUUGUAGACAGGUUAUUGUUUCAUUAGAUAUGAAAAGUUAUUGUUUCAAAUUAUAACUCAAAGAUUAUGAUUUAUGGAAUGAAUAGUUGUCCUUUCAUUAGAUGAUUAUUGAAACAAUACAUUUAUCUUAAAGUUGUGUCUAGCAAAAUGUAAAGAUGUCUUUUAGACAAAAUGGUGUCUUAAUAAAAGGGUUGUGUCCUUGAAGAAGAGACACUUGCAAGCCUAUGUAAAGGGCUUGUUGCCAACCAUUUUUACACAUCAAAUCAAAAACAAAACAAGAACAGAAAAUCAAGAGUAAGAAAGUGUUGUGUUCUAUUAACAUAAACACUUAAGUUCCCAUCAACUACAAAAGCAUCAAAAUUUCUUAUAAUCUACUUGUUGUAGAAAGUAAGCUCUAAAGCCAAACAACUUUGCAAACCCUUAGAUAUAUCUAGUGGUCUACUCUCGUAAAGUGCAAGACAAAGUUAAACGUUAGCUUCAUUGUAUCCUUAAAACUAUUCGCAUUAUUUCUCUUUGCAUACUGAGUGGUGGGGAUGAAAUAAGUUUUAAAAAUAAUGUCUAUUGAAAAGCUCGCCUUAAAAUCAAUUUUGUUGGUUCUUAAAUUUCAUCUAAACCUCAUUUGCACCAACAAAAAUGAACAGGUACCUACUUUACUUUAUUAUUCUACUUUUAUUAUAUAAUUUUUAUAGUCUCCUUUUUCAUCUUAUAUACGGAAUCAGAUCCAUAUAGAAACCUUAAGCUUGAGGCAUAAGCUUCUCUCUUAUGAAAAUAAAAUAAAAUAAAAUAAAAUAAAAAUCAAGAGCAGUAUAUAUACCAUUGUGAAUGAAUAAAGUAUAAAAUCAUAGUGCCUUUUGAGAUACAAAACAUUGUGAAUGCGACAAGAAGUAUUAGUUGUAAUGUGUUAAUGGUCAUUUUUAAAUCAAAUUAAAAAUGUUACUAUUAGCAAUAUCAAGAAUUGCCAAGGAGAAAUUCAUUGAUAAAAUGACAAAUACCCGAAUUCUCUUCAUUGGCAACUUUACUAAAAAUCACUUUCAACGAAAAAAAAUUAGUAAAAGAUCUUCCAUAUUAUCUCUAUAUAUAGUAUAAUAUCAAAAUUUAGUAUUCUAAAAAUUUUAUUUUAUGCUGUUUUAGUACUAACAUAUUUUAAACAAUAUCAUUGUUUAUAUUAUUAUUACACGGACACUACUUACAUAUAAUAUAUAUAUAUAUAUAUAAAAGAUAAUAGCAUUGUUAGCUUUAUUAGAAUGAAUAAUUGAUUUUUUUUAAAAAUAGAAUGAAUAAUCUAACGAGAUGAAUUGGAUUUUAAAAACUUUUUUUGACAAAAUAAAAUCUAAAAAAAAAACACAUCAAAUAAUAAAAUCAAAACCAUUAAAUAAAUAUUUAACUGAAAAUAAAUGUAAUAAAAAUAAAUAGUAUAGGGUAAAAAUAUUUGCAAGAACCAUUUAUAAAGGUUCAAUCUUGUCUCUUGGUAUUUAUGUCACAAGUCUACUUUCUAAUCCAAAAGACAUGCAUAUUAAGUAAAGAUAGACAUUUAUUUAUAAAUCCAAGACUCAACUCAUCUCUUAUUAAUGUAAGAUCUAUCACAUUCUACCUCACCUAAUUGUUCAAUACGUUCGUUGCAUCGGCUCCUUUACUCAUAGAGGAGAGGGACCGUAUCUUGAUCUAAGUCUACCUCGAACCUGAUAUCUUUUAUAAAAGUUUCAUACUAGUUAAGAGUUAAGUUUGCUCUAAUACCACUAAUCACGAGUUCACAUUUCUAAUCCAAAAAAUAUACAUAUUAGAUAGAGAGAGGCCCUUAUUUGUAAAUCAAGACCCACCCAUAUGACACUUACAUUCUCUCUCUUAGUGUAGUAAAGAGUUCAAUACACUACUUAAUUCAACCAAUACAAAUACUAUUUUCUUGCGUAUCCAAAACAUGCAAAAAAUGCUCUACUUCCCUAUGUGAUACCUCAGAUGAAAUAAAUUAUUUCCUCAUCUUUAAAAGAAAAUACAAUAAUUGUAAAUUUUAUUUUUCUCCUAUUUUAUGUAACAGCCUCAACUUUGACUAAGGUUAUAAAUUACUUGUGUUGAACCAUUUGAUAACUUGCCAUGAGAUUUAAACAUAUGUAUUAAAUAUAUGAACAAAUGACAAUGUGUUUAAGGAUCUUGAAUGAUAAACUAUUAGGGUAAAAUACCCUUACCCCUCUAAGUUUUGAUUGAAAUUACAUGGAGGUCCAUUAGUUUUCAAAAUAGACACUCCGCCCCAAAAAAAUAUUUUUCACUGGACAUUUAGGUCCAGUUGUUAGUCAACCAUUAGUGUUUCCGUCAAUUUGAUGAUGUGAUAAGGGUAAAAACAUAAUUUCACCAUUGAUUAAUUUUUAAAAUUACUAUUAUAUAAUUUUAUUAAUUUUUUAAUUAAUUAAAAUAAAAAAGCUCCUCAAGGAGCAUUAAAGCUCCCUGGGAAGCACCAAUCGGGUGCUCCCCUCCCUUGAGGAGCACGAUGCUCUCUUUUUUAAAAUUUUUUUAAACAUAUAAUAUAAUUUUUAAAAUUUAUAUAAAAAAAAGAAAAGACAUUUUAGUCUUUUCCUAAUCUCUAUUAACGGUAUUUUCAUUUUUAGGACAAAGUGUCCAUUUCAAAAACUAAUAGACCUGCUUAAAAUUUGAACUAAAACUUAAAAGGUAGGGGUAUUUUACCCUAAAAUAUUAUGUUUUUGAUUAGAUUUUAGACCUUAAGCUAUGUGUUGAUAUGUUUUGACACUGAAUAUUGGUUAAUGUGGUGCAUACUAGUUGCAUUAAGAUGAAUAUUGAAAUAACAAAUCGUUUUGGAAGUCCAAAUUUGGAGUUAGGUAGUUUGAAGUGUUGAAAGUUUGCCUUUAGGAGAAAAUGUAUUGAUAAAUUCCUUGAUCUAUCAAUACAUUCAUGGCAGAAUGCCUUGGCAAAGCUUUCUAUCAAUACAUUCUAGAAUGUUUCGAUAGAUUUGGGCCAGGAGGCAUUCUAUAUGAAAACUCUCGAACAUUACAAGAACGUAUUGAUAGAUUUAAAAAGAUGGAUAUUUUGUAAAAAAGGUAUUUAUAGAUUUUCUUGAUCGAUCGAUACAUUUCAAGCAUAAAGCAUUCUUUUAAAUUUACUUCAAUAUGUUGGUACAUGUAUCGAUAGAUCUGAUGAAAAUUCGUGAAAAUGUAUCAAUGCAUGAUUGUAAGUCAGCAAAAAUAAAAGAGACUUUGGGCAUUCCACCCAUUUGAAAACACAAGGAAACAAAAGCUUUCCCUCCUUGCCUUUGAAACCCUAAAACCCCCUAGUAGAUUGGAACUAAUUUGGAGUACUUGGAAGCUUGGAAAUUCAUACUUAAGGUAAGAUCAAGCUUCCUAACAUUUUGAAUUACAUUUUAAUCGGUUCAAAAAUGAGAAUUUGACUAUGGUUUCAUCUCAAUUAUCUUCUCCUUGAGUUGUUGGGAUUUUGGAGUCUUAAGGGCUUAGAAUAGCUGCCAAGGUGAGGAAACCUAACUGUUUUGAACAUUGGAAACAAUGAAACCUAUGAUUUGGAUUGGUAGUUGGAUUUAGAAGCUCAGUUAGGCUUAGAAAAUCUGUGCAUGCUUUGAAAAAAGCUAAAGGUCUAGAAUUUAUGGAUUUGUUAGGUGAAGUGGGAACUUAGAGCUGUUGAUGAACUGAAAUUCUAUGUGGAAUGAUGGACGCAGUGUUUAGCUGAGUGUGAUGUCUUGGCUUCUUCUUGGAAGAAUGUUGCAGCACUAAAACUUUACUAUUUAGCAAUGUGAGUUACGUUAGAGAUAUUCUAGGUCAGUGGGGCAUUUUAUCUAGAAAUUAAGAUUUGAUGUAUGUAUGCACAAAUGUAUGCAUGUGCACUGCCAUGAAACAUGAUUGGUUGAUAAAAUGCUUAGAUGAACUAUGCAUAGGCCGAUGGGUUGAUUGAGCUCUAUUAUAGCUAUGUAUGUUAAUAAUAAAAACCUGUUUGAUAUUGGGUGAGCCAUGUGGUGGUGAUUGAGCUUGACUGUCUUAGUAUUCGCGACUAAAAAGUCUAUUGACCAUGCCUCUGCGCUUGUAUAAAACUUAUAACUUGAUACCUUUUUCUGUGGUAGCGUAUGAUUAUUGCUAAUUCUACGAAAUAAUGUUAUUAGUGAACUAUGGAAAAUCUGAAUUAUGAAAGUUGAUUGAGUUGCAUUCGUAAUUAUGCAUGUAUGAUGCCAAAUGGCUAUGUUAAUGACUUUUGCACAUGUAAUGGCGACACAAUUCCUAAUGGUAAUUGGUUUCGUCUUACGAGUGCUUUCUGGACGAUGAUAUGGUCUAGUUAGAAGGUGUCAUAGUCCCUGUGGUCUUGCUUACCAUUAGCAGUUUAGGCGUUGGACGUGUUUUGUUUACUUGGGAAGACCCUUCUCUUGUUACCAUCUUGAUGAUAACACAAUUUAAUUAGUUGACUUGACUGUCUUUUCAAUCCAAGACAAGUGAGCGAGAAAAACUGCACCAUUGCUCCAUGAAACCUUACAACUCUUAGACGUGAGUCUUGACCUCAUCGAUAGUUCCUAUCCUUGCUACACUCCUUGUGGAAAAAGCCUACCACUCGGCAGAAGAUAUGGUAUGCAUCUCCCUCAUCAUACAUGCACCUUAACAUAGGGUCAUGUAUCUCUUAAAUUGUAGGAUGAAGAUGAAGUCUUCGGUUUACAUUGAUGCUUUCUCAUUGCACCAAUCGAUGUUCCUCUCCACAUUAUUUCAUUCUUCAGUCAAAUUAUUCAUUGUUAACAACUAACGGAAAUGUAAGUGUGGAUUAUUCACGUGACAUGUUAAAUAAUUUUUACCAUGAUAUUUUAUUACUGUUAACAGUACAAUCUGAUAAAAAGAAUAAAAUGAAACCAUUUUAAAAUAUUAUGUGUAAAAUAUAUGAAAAAAGAUUAUAGAUUUAAUUUGAUUACAUUGCUGCCGGACUUACCAAAAUAAUUGUAGAAGCAUGUCUAAUGAUUAUAGGCAUAGCUCUUCAAAGAAAAAUACUGUUUUAUACUUAACAAAAAGAUAAAUGUAAAAUAUAAAAUUGAUCAAUUUUGUUUAGAAUUAUUAUUUUAUAUAUUUUGAAAUUUUGAAAUUUCAAAAUAUAUAAUAUUAUUUAAGUCGUAUUAUAUAUUAUAUAAUUGAAGGGUUAUAUUAAUCGCCUUACUGUGCAGAUAUACUUGGAUGAAUUAUAAAGAUUUCUUUUCUAUUAGUUUCGCUACGUAUCAAUUGGUUGGACACAUUUUAUAAUAAAUAUAAGAGACCAUCAUAGUGCUUCUUCACAAACUAGGACCUUAAUCUCCUUCUCUCCCGCUGAAAUUUUAGGAUGCCAAGAGCAAAACUUCCAUUAUUUUGCCUCUUGGCUUUUGCUUUAUCUCUAUUCCCCGACUGAGGCUCUUCUAUCUGUGGAAAUGUUACCAUCAAAAAGCCCUUUAAGUUAAAAAGCCAACCUCUCAGGUGUGGAAACCGUGAGCUAGUAGUCGAGUGUGACGAUAAUAACCACACCAUUUUCCCCAUGAAAUAUGGGAAAUUCCUUGUCCAAGACAUCUCUUAUAAUAACGGUACAAUUCAACUUUUAGACGAGAGUCUUGGCAAUGAUAACUGCUCCAUUCCUCAUAGGUCCUAUCCUUUGUACAUCCCUUUUGCGAAAAAACAACGUCUCUAUGAAGAUACCACUGAAUUUAGCAUCAUGUAUCUCGUAAAGUGCACGAUGCAGAUCAACUACUCUCGGGUUUAUAUCGAUGCUUUUCGUUGCACCAAUACUCCUUCCUCUCUACCUCCUUACUUGUAUUUUUUGGAUAAAAAAACAGCAAAGUCUGAUUUCCAUGAGUCAUGCAGAAUUGAAGCCCAGGUUCCAAUCAUGGUUGCCAGUAUCACUGGCCUCUCUACUUCUGAUAUUUACACAAAACUGUUGACGGGGUUCCGACUCUCAUGGUGGGAUUAUGCUUAUCAGUUUGGCUGGCUGCGGUGGGACUCAAUUGUUAACGUGUGAGGAUCUUUAAGUAUUCCAAAAUAUUUGGUGCUGUUUAGUUUUUGGAAAUGUUAACUAUUUUUAUUAUAAAUAAACAAAUAAGAUAAAAAUUUUAGUCUUUAUUUCUUUUUAAAAAGUUGACAACAUUUUUAAAUUACUAUUUUAACUAUGUAUAUUAAUUUGUUAUCUAAAAUUUAAACUCGAUAUUUUUAAAGAAUUACAGACUUUAAUUCUAUUAAUGUAGUGUCUACUUCAGACUUCAAUUAUUUCCUUUAAAUAUGUUUAGUGUAAAAUUUAAAGAUAAGGAUUUAAAGCAUUUUUAACAGUAAAAGUGUGCAUUCCAUUUAACUUAUUAAGGAUUAGCGGUUUUGAUGUUCUUUCUUGAAUAUUAAUUAUAGAUUGCUAUGGGUUUUAAAAAAAAAAGGAAGUAUAGAUUGCUAUCCUUGGUCAACCUUUUGCUGGCUCCGCUGUUUAUAUUUAUUGAAAGCAACGCGGCUCUUCUGCUAGGCAUCCCAACAGAGGAUUCAUUGGUAGAUAACAAAGGUGUUCUUUCUUUUCUGAGUUUGUUACUAUUUUGAUUAUUAUUGGAUUUACCUUUACUUUCCUAGGAUCUAUUAACACUUAGUUCUCGAAUCGGUAAAAUCUUAGCAUGAAUCCAGAUUUAUAUUUAUAUAUCAUUAAUUUAACAAUUGUAUUUCGUAAUCUAUUUACUUAUAUCAUGCAUGAUAAAUUUUAAGUUAAUUGAAAAUAUUUAAUUAUUUAAAUGAGAACAUUAAAAUUUUGACCAUUAAAUAUAUAUUAAAAAACCAAUAUUCUUGAGCAAUACGAUAUGGAUUAUCACAUUGAUUUGAAAUUUUAAAUGUAUGAUGAGUACGAAUAGUGUAUGAAAUUAUAAAAAGGUGUAAAACUUAAUUAAUUUUUAACUUGAGCCCUCAAAUUUAUAUAGUUUGUAUGAGUAUUGCAUAUAAAGUAUAUGUAUGUACAAAGAGAUUCCAAUAAAGGAUAAAAUUAUUUAAUAAGAGACGAUAUACUAUAAAUAAUUCAUGAAUAAUAUUGAACUACAUUAAUUGGGUUUUUUUCAGUUAGGUAUUUCUAUGUUGUUACGAUUUUUUUGGUCAAAAUAAAAAUUUUGUCCAAGUUUAUCAUAUUACUUGAAUGAGUACAAUUUUGUCAAUAUACUUUUAAAUUUGUUAAAAGAGAUCAAAAGUUACAAAAUGAACUAAAAUGUACAAUGAUAAAUAUUACACUCGUUAAAAAAAUAAAUAGUAAAUUUGAUCCAUCACCUUAAGUCUAGUGGUGAUAAAUUUAAACCUUAUCUCAAAUUAUUUUAUGAAGUUUGUUUGUGAAAUAUGGCAACAUAUACACAAAUUAAGUUAGUAACUAGCAUGUACAUAUUCUAUAAUCUUGUUGUCCAACUAAUUGGUUUAUAUAUAUGUUUUGUACUCUCUUUUUUUUUUUAUGAGAAACAGGAAUUAUAUUGUUAAGAACUUUUUUGGAGAUAACUUGCUUGAUUGUAUUUGUUAUACACAAAUUAAAAAUGUGGCAUUUGUCUAUGGAUGACAAGAUUGAGAAUUUUCUUCAGAGUCAAAACAAUUUAAUGCCUAUAAGAGACUCUUAUUCUGAAAUAAAAAGAAUAACAGAUGGCUUCAACAAUAAAUUAGGUCAAGGAGGAUAUGGCUCUAUAUUUAAAGGAAAACUUCGAAGUGAUCAACUUGUUGCAAUAAAAUUGUUAAACAAAUCAAAAGCUAACACCCAAGAUUUCACCAAUGAAGUUGCAACUAUUGGAAGGAUUCAUCAUGUUAAUGUGGUAAGACUUAUUGGAUUUUACGUGAAGGGAUCAAAACAAGCUCUUGUAUAUGACUUCAUGAAGAAUGGGUCCUUGGAUAAAAUUAUAUUUUCAACUGAAAAUAACACUUUGAGUUGAGAAAAAAUGUUUGAGAUUGCAUUGGGAGUGGCUCAAGGUAAUGACUAUUUACAUAAAGGCUGUGAAAUGCAAAUUUUUCACUUUGAUAUCAAGCCACAUAACAUUCUUCUAGAUGAGAAUUUUACUCCAAAAGUUUCAGAUUUUGGCCUCGCAAAUUUGUAUUCAGUGGAUGAUGAUAUUAUUUCUCUCACAGCAGCACGAGGUACGCUAGGAUAUAUGGCUUCUGAAUUGUUUUACAAAAAUAUCAGAGGUAUAUCAUAUAAAGCUGAUGUUUAUAGUUUUGGAAUGAUGAUAAUGGAAAUUAUCGGAAGGAGAAAAAAUUUGAAUGCCUCUGCUGAACAUUCAAGUCAAAUUUAUUUUUCAUCAUAGAUUUUUGAUCAAUUAGAUGAAGGAGAUACCAUGGAGCUUGGAGAUGUGACAGAAAUUGAAAACAAAAUUAUGAGGAAAAUGGUAAUAGUAACCUUAUGGUGCAUACAGAUGAAGCCCACAGAUCGUCCUUCAAUGAGCAAAGUCUUGAAGAUGCUUGAAAGUGAAGUUGAGCUCCUUGAAAUGCCUCCCAAGCCUUCUUUCUCCGGAAAUAUCAACUAAAGAUAGUAAAAAUUCUCCCUGCACACGUGGCAAUCGGCCUUCCUCAGCUACCUCGUGAUUUUCGUCGUUGGGACACCACUCAACAUCGUGAUCUUGCUAAAUCUGAUGCCCUUAAGUCGAUUACUUUUUCUGUAUUUAGUUUUUUGAGUGGUACGUAGUUUUUGUUUCCACCGAGAUCUAGCAGGCAGUGUUUGUAUUCUCUUUACCACCUUGGUUUGUUUUGUUUCUGCUACUUCUCUAUUUCCCUGUAUGCGACCUUUGAUGAAAUAAAUCAUUUCCUCACUUAUAAAAAAAUUGCAAGAAAAUGUAAAUUUUUUCCCUUAUUUUAUAAAAAGAAAAUGUGUUAUAUCUUAUAUUAUAUUUUUAUGUACCUAUGUAUCUAUAGUAUUAGUUGUUUAAACUUUUUGGGUGUAAUUCAUUUUCAUAGAUAAUUAACAGCUUUUAUAAAAGUGCAGUCUUUGUCACUAUAUAUGCAUGUAAAUCUCUCUUUAACUGCAAUUGUUUUGCCCAAAAUACUUCUUAUAAAAGAUUGUACAGAGCAGCCAAAUUUGUAAAGUUCUAUCCUAAGUAAAAUAUUUUUAAUGACACAAAUUAAAAAAAUUAAAUGUCAAAUUUAUUGUGGUGUGUUUUUCCCCCUUUGACUCUAGACUCUAGCUUAUUAAAUUUUCAAAGGAAGAUUUGCUUUCAUUUGCAGCCAGAGAAUGAUUAGCAGAGCAACCAAGAUAAAAUUAUCUUAGUUCUUAUUUAAUCUUACUUUUUAAACUUUUUUAUACAUAUAAAAAAAUGCAAAAUAUGGACUGAUUAGUCCUUUUAGACUUGAUUGGUCGAAGGUGAAAUUUUAAGACUAAACGGUGAAUUUACAAGAUUGCUCGAAUGAUUUUAUUCCUAUUUGAGUGGAAAAUCAGCUAAGAGCUAUGAUUGGCUUGUGGUAAGGUGGUUGGCUUUAAUUAGUUGACUUGACUGACUUUUCGAACGAAGACAAGUGAGCAAGAAUAACCACACAUUUUCCCCAUGACAUAUAUAUGAGAAUUUCUAUGUGGAAAAAGCCAUAUAAAUCUUGGAGGUGAGUCCUGACAAAAAUAACUGCUCUAUUCCUCAUAGUUCCUAUCCUUGCUACACCCCUUGUAGAAAAAGCUUACCAUGCCACUCGGUAGGAGAUAGGGCAUACAUCUCCCUCAUCAUAUGUAUGCAUGCACGUCAAUAUAGGGUCAUGUGUAUCUCUUAAAUUGCAGGAUGAAGAUGAAUUCUUCGGUUUACAUUGAUGCUUUCCAUUGCACCAAUCGAUGUUCCUCUCCACGUUAUUUUGUUUCUUCAGUCAAAUUAUUCUCUGGUUAACAACUAAUGAAAAUGUAAGGAUAGAAUAUUCACGUAAUAUGUUACAUAAUUUAUACUAUAAUAUUUUAUCAUUGUUAACGGCACAAUUUGAUAAAAAGAUAAAAAAGAAAUCAUUUUAUUAUAUUAUGUGUAAAAUACAUGAAAAGAAAAGAUUACAAAUUUUAUUUGAUUACAUUACUGCAGAACUUACAAAAAUAAUUAUAGAAGCAUGGCUAAUGAUUAUAGGUAUUAUUUGGAUAGAUAUUUUUCUCAUUUUUCUUGUUUGACUGGUUGUAACUUGUCUUCAAAUUUUGAUAUCCACCAAAAAACUAUCCAAGAGCUUGAUUGUUUUAGAUAGUCAUUCAACAGCUUGACUGACUUUAUAUUUGUCUGUGCAACAAAUUUGAAAAUUUUUUUUAAAAAAGUCAAUAUUGAAUUUUAGACAUGCAUAAAUAGCAUAAUUUUUUAUUAUGCAGUGAAAAUAUAUGUAUAAAGUAUGAGGAAAGAUCUACUUAUACCGGUAUAAAAUUAAAUUAGUUUUACACUUUUUCAUGUCUUUUUAUUUCAUUUAUAUUUUGUUAAUCUAACCGUUCAUUUUAUGUUUUAUUCAUAUAAAUAUUCAUAGAUAGCAAAUUUCAAGUUAAUUGGAAAUGACUAACUACAUAUUUGAGAAAAAUAAAAUUUCAAUCAUUAAAUAUAUAUUGAAAAAAGGCAUUAUUCUCGGUUGAUGUAAUAAGAAUGUUGAAUUAAUAUGAGACUUUACGUGUAUGAUAAAUGCGAAUAAGUUGUUAAAUGUAAUGAUUCUAUUUGUUAAAAUAUUAAUUCCCUAAGAAGUUAUAGAAAAAUGUAAAGUACUUAGUUUUAGAGAUACAAGGCGAUUCCUCUUGGCCGGUAUAAAGUAUUGCUAUUUAGGCUUUUGUGUGCAAUUUUUUUUCAUAGCUAAUUGUUGUUGAAAGUGUGCAAUCUUUACUACUGUAUGCAUGUAAUAUUUUUGUCCAAAAUAUUAGCAAAAAAAAUGUUUUGAACUGUGAACUCCGUAAAAGUUCUAUACAAAAGGAUUUUAAACAACAAUAGUUAAAGAAAAAAAAUAAAUAAAUGAAAAUUUAAUUAUUAUAGUGUGUUUUUUCCACUUGUUCAAAGUAAGAUUUGAUUUCAAUUGCAGCCCUAGAUAUAAUCAGCAAAGCAAUGAAGCUAACAUUAUCCAAAGAUUUAAUGUUUCUCGUUAAACUUUUUUAUAUAUAAUUCUCCAAAGAAAAAUACAGUUUUAUACUUAAAAAAUAAAUGUAAAAUAUGAAAUUGAUCAAAUUUUUUCAGAAUUAUUAUUUUAUAUAUCUUGAAAUUUUGAAAUUCCAAAAUUUAUAAUAUUGUUUAAGUCAUAUUAUAUAUAUUAUUGAGGGUUUAUAGUAAUAUCCCUACUGUGUAGAUUUACUUGGAUGAAUUGCAAAGAUUUCUUUUCCAUCAGUGCCGCUACGUACCAAUUUGUUAGGUACACGGAUUUUCUUCUUUCUUGUUUGUUUGCGUGGAAAAUCAUCAAAAAGCUCUAUGACAGGCUUGUCGUUAAAGGUGUUUUGCGGGUUGGGUUUAAUUAGUUGACUGACUUUUCAAAAGAAGACUUGGUUUUAACAAUAAAUGUAAGAACUGCUUCACUUGCCUCUAUCAAAACGAGGACCUUAAUCUCCCACUGAAACUUUAGGAUGCUUAGCGUCAUACUUCCAUUACUUUGCCUCUUGGUUUGGCUUCAGUGCAAAUCUCCAAUCCAGUCGUUACAAAAAAAGACAAGUACUGUGGCUUUUCUUUCUGUGGAAACAUUAACAUCACUUACCCUUUUCGAUUAAAAAACCAGCCUCGUAGUUGUGGUUACAAUAGGUUUGAACUAGUGUGCCAGAAUAACCGCACCAUUUUCCCCAGGAAAUAUGGGAAUUUCUAUGUCCAACACAUCUCUUAUAGUGACGAAACCAGCCGACUUUUAGACGAGAGUCUUGGCAACGACAACUGCUCUAUUCCUCAUAGUACCUAUCCUCGGUCCACCCCUUCUGCAAAAAAACUAUAUCCCUGGCGUACCUUUUCAUGGGAAGAAAGAAAUUUCUAUCAAACUACCCCUGAAUUUAGCGUCAUGUAUCUCAUAAAUUGCACGAUGCAGAUCAACUACUCUUCCGUUUAUAUCGAUGCUUUUCGUUGCACCAAUACCCCUUCCUCCUCUCAACCUCCGUACUUUUACUUUUUGGAUGAAAAUACAGCACCGUCUGAUUUCCAUGAGUCAUGCACUGUUGAAGCCCAAGUUCCAAUCAUGGUUGCCAGUAUCAUCGGCCUCUCUACUUUUGAUAUUUACACAAAGCUGUUAACGGGAUUCCAACUCUCAUGGUUCACUUCCUCUUAUGAUUAUGUUUGGCUGCGGUGGGACUCAAUUGUUAACGUGUGAGGAUUUUUAAGUAUUCCGCAAUAUUUGGUGUUGUUUCGUUUUUGAAAAAUAUUUAUUAUUAUUAAUUUUUUUUGGAUCGUAAUAUUUAUUAUUUUUAGCAUACAUAAAUAUGAUAAAAAAACAAAUAUCAAAAUAUUUAGUUUUGAAUUCUUUUAAACUACUUUUUUAAUUAUGUGUAUAAAUUUGUAUCUAAAAUUUAAACUCGAUAUUUUAAUGUAAAAUUUAAAGAGAAGGAAUUAAGACAUUUUCAACACUAAAAGUGCGCAUAUCAUUUGCCUUAUUAAGGAUUAAUGGUUUUGAUGUGCUUUUUUGAAUAUUAAUUAUAGAUUGCUAUUCUUGCUCAAGCUGUGGUCGGUUCUGCCGAAGAUACUUGUACAAGGCAACAUAGCUUUUUUUGAACCAGAUUCUAUCGAUGGAUUUAGUAAAUGUAUUCUUUCGGUUCUGAGUUCAUUAAUAUUUUGAUUAUUAUUGGAUUUGCCUUUACUUUGAUAGAAUCUAUUUUCAUUUAUUUUCUGAUUUGGUAAUAUCUUUGCAGGAAUCCAGAUUCUUUGUGUUGCAAUAACAGGUACUAAAUUCUAUACUUAUUUAUUUACUCUUAAAUUCUACAAUUAUUAUAAUGUAUGACAUCAAUAAAUAUAUUAUUAUAUAAAUGGAUUAAAAAAUUAUUAAAUUAUUUAAAAAAUUCCUAAACUAUUUUACAACAAUUCCAAUAAGCUUUUCUUAAUUUUUAUUGCAUUCAAUCAAGCUAUUAUAUUUUUAUUUUGAACCAAAUAAACCCUUCUAAGUAACAGUUAACUAAUGUUAUUAGUUCAAAUGUCACUUGUUAUUUCAUACUCAUGUGACAUUGAUAUGAUGCUGACAUGGAGGAUGAAAAUGCCACAUAACCAUGUCAUAAUGCCAUAUACUCUGAUAUGUCAACAUAAUAUAUCCAUGUCAUAUGAUAUAAAAUAACAAAUGGUAUUUUGAUUAAUAACAGUUAGUUAACCAUUAGUUAUAAUGACUUAUUUGGUUCAAAAUAAAUGUUUAAGAGCUUGAUCAUACACAAUAAAAGAAUGAGAGUUUAUUUGAAUUUUUCUAAAUAGCUCAAGAAAUUUUUAAGUAUUAUGCAUUUUUGUGUGUGCGUGUGUGUAUAUGUACCAGUGUGAAAUUAAUUAAAUUUACACCUUUUCAUAUUUUUUAUAAGAUUUAUAUUUUGUUAAUUUAACCGGUGUAUUCCAUAUAUACUCAAUUUACAUAGAUCAUGCAUAAAAAAUUUUAAAUCAAUUGAAAAUAUCUAAUUAUUUGUAUAAUAAUAAUAAAAUUUUAACCAUUAAAUAUAUAUUUAAAAAACAAUAUUCUCUACCAAUGUGAUAUGGAUAUUGCACUGACUUGAAACUUUUUAUGUACGAUUGGAUGCAAAUAAAGUUAGCUUGCUAAAACUUAAUUGUAUAUGAAAUUAUAAAAUGGUGUAUAUAUAUAUAUAUAUAUGAGUAUUGCAUAUAUGUAUAUGUAUGUAUAAAGAGAUUCAAUAAAGGAUAAAAUAAUUAAAUAAGAGAAGAUCUACUAUAAAUUAUUCAUAAAUAAUAUUGAACUACAUUAAUUAGGUUUUUUUAGUAAGGUAUUUUUAUUUUGUUACGAUGUUUUUUGGUCAAAAUAAAAAUUAUGUCCAAAUUUAACAUUUUACUUUGGUGAUAGACCAAAUUAUGAUCAUAUUUAAAUGAGAAUAAUUGGCACUAUACUUUUAAAUUGGUUAAAAAUGAUCAAAAGUUAUGAAAUAAACUCAAAAGUACAAUAAUGAAAGUUACACUCAUUCAAAAAUGAAUAGUAAAUUUAAUCCAUCAUUUUUUUUAAAAGGUGAAUUUUUAUUAACCUCAACACUAUCAUGCCAUUUUGAUUCUCAAGCUUAGAUUGCAAGAGACUCUCAUGACAUAAAUAGUUAGUAAGCAGCCUGUACAAUUUCCAAAAAGAAUAUGCUACUCAAUAAGAUUUUGGUAGCAACUCAGGAUAAAGAAACUAACGUACCUUAAGCAGAUUGGUGGUAAAUUUGAACCUUAUCUCAAAUUAUUCUAUGAAGUUUGUUUGUGAAAAUAUGGCAGCUAGCACAUGCCCAAAUUAAAGUUGUAAAUAACAUAUACAUGUUCUAUAAUCAUGUUUUCCAACUAAUUGAUUUACAUAUUGUUUUGUAUUUUUUUUUUUUUGAGAAACAGGAAUUCUUUUGCUAAGAACUUUUUUGGGAAUAAUUUGCUUGAUUGUGCUGGUUAGACGAAAAUUAAAAAGGAGGCAUUUGUCGAUGGAUGACGUGAUUGAGAAUUUUCUUCAGAGUCAAAACAAUUUAAUGCCUAUAAGAUAUUCUUACUCUGAAAUAAAAAGAAUGACUGAUGGUUUCAAGAAUAAACUUGGUCAAUGAGGAUAUGGCUCUGUGUUUAAAGGAAAACUUUGACGUGGUCAACUUGUUGCGAUAAAAUUGUUAAACAAGUCAAAAGCUAACGGCCAAGAUUUCAUCAAUGAAGUUGCAACUAUUGGAAGGAUUCAUCAUGUUAAUGUGGUAAGACUUAUUGGAUUUUGCGUGAAGGGAUCAAAACAAGCUCUUGUAUAUGACUUCAUGAAGAAUGGGUCCUUGGAUAAAAUUAUAUUUUCAACUGAAAAUAACACUUUGAGUUGGCAAAAAAUGUUUGAGAUUGAAUUGGGAGUGGCUCGAGGUAUUGAAUAUUUGCAUAGAGGUUGUGAAAUGCAAAUUUUACAUUUUGAUAUCAAGCCACAUAACAUUCUUCUAGAUGAGAACUUUACUCCAAAAGUUUCAGAUUUUGGCCUCGCAAAGUUGUAUUCAGUGGAUGAUGAUAUUAUUUCUCUCACAGCAGCACGAGGUACAGUAGGAUAUAUGGCUCCUGAAUUGUUUUAUAAAAAUCUCGGAGGUAUCUUAUAUAAAGCCGAUGUUUAUAGUUUUGGAAUGAUGCUAAUGGACAUUAUUGGAAAAAGAAAAAAUUUGAAUGCCUCUGCUGAACAUUCAAGUCAAAUUUAUUUUCCAUCAUGGAUUUAUGAUUGAUUAGACGAAGGAGAUAUCAUGGAGCUUGGAGAUUUGAUAGAAAAUGAAAACAAAAUUAUGAGGAAAAUGGUAAUAGUAGCCUUAUGGUGCAUACAGAUGAAGCCUAUAUGGAUCGUCCUUCAAUGAGCAAAGUCUUGAAUAUGCUUGAAAGUGAAGUUGAGCUCCUUGAAAUGCCUCCAAAGCCUUCUUUCUUUGGAAAUGUCAACUAAAGAUAGUAAGAAUUCUCCCCGCACAUGUGGCAAUCGGCCUUCCUCAACUAUCUCGUGAUAUUCGUCAUUGGGACACCACUCAACAUCAUGAUCUUGCUAAAACUGACAACUUCUUCUGUAUUUAGUUUUUUGAGUGGUACGUAGUUUUUGUUUCCACCUAGAUCUAGUAGGCAGUGUUUGUAAUUUCUCUACUACCUUGGUUUGUUUUGUUUCUGCUACUUCUUUAUUUCCCUAUAUGUGACCUCUGAUGGAAUAAAUCAUUUCCUCACUUGUAAAAAAAUUGUAAGAAAAUGCAAUUUUAUGUUUCCCUUAUUUUAUACUGUCACGGCCCAAACCCGAGGCACGACAGACGCCACAUACCUAUAAGAUGUAAUCUUACAAACAUGCAAGGCUCCAAUACAUAUACCUUAUAACACUAAUUGAAAGAGACUAAAAUACCUGAAGAACAUAGUGAUUCAUAAUCGGUAGAAAUUCAAAAGAUCAUAAUUCGACAAUUUUUAGAAUUAAGUCUCUAAAACUAUAAAGCUAACAUGUCAAGAUAAAACUCUGAAUACUAAUUUAAGAUAGUUUGAUGUUCAUAAUAUUUAAAUAAAUCCUAGACAACCUAAAUGCUACUAGAUUAAAACAUCACUCCUCGAAAUUCUCACGUAGUUGACCAAAUCACAAUCUGAAAAAAAAAUUAAAGGAAGGAGUGAGUCCAACUACUCAGCAAGUAACUAACAUCUCACUUCAUACUACAAAAGGCCUUAAAGAAAUUAUCAAAAAUGUUAUCGGAAUAUGGAGUUCCGAUGACCCAAAUUUAGGUUGUGAAAAUAGUUGAAAACCAGGUUUCCAAUUAAUUUUAAAAAUUCAUAUUUUCCAAACCACAAAACCAAACGAGAUGCUACAAAAACCAUUGAAAAGAUCUUUUCAAGACCUUUCCAUUGGUACCCAUCAUGCCAUCGAAAAGUCACCAGAAUAGUACCGGAUUUGAAUAAAAGUUAAGAAAACAUAAAUAAUUUAGGGUUUUUGUGCCCAACUAUGAAAAUACAACCCUAAACAUACCUUAAUCAACACUCUCUUGAAUACUUUUCUCUUUUUUCUAUGUUGCUUCUUCCAUGGUAUUAAGCUUUCUUGACUGCCUAUCGUUUGAGUCUGAUGAAAUAAACUGACAUGAGUUUUCUGCCUUUUCUUUUAAACUUGUAAACUAACCUAACCUCCACUAUCUUUUUUUUUUAAAAUGUGAUUUAGUGAGUUGUGGUCAGGUAAAACAAACUGACCUUAACCCCACUAACUUAAACAUGAUAAAUAAAACCAACAUUAAUUAAACUUCCUUAUUUACUUAAAGACCUUUUUUCUAUUUUUUUAAUUAUUAAGGCACUCAAGGUUAUAAUUGCAAUUAAAUAAAAUACUAAAACAACAUUUACUUAUUUAUUUUUAUAAAACUAUAGCUUAAUAAAUCUAAAUAUUUUUAUAAUAUAUACUUUGUGAUGGGUAUCACAUCCUCCCCUCCUUAAAAAGGAGUUUAGUUCCUUAAACUCUUACCUUGGUCCUAAAAAGGUGGGGAUACUUCUUUUCGAUAUUUUCUUAUAAAUCCCAAGUCGUUUCUCGUUCUGUAUGGUUACUCCGUUUGACCUUAACAUAAAGAAUAGUUCACCUUCUUAGAACUUGCUCUUUUCUAUCCACAAUACGUAUAGGAUGCUCAUCAUAGGACAAAUCUUCUCUAAGUCUCAAAGGAGCUACUUCCACCACAUGACUAAGAUCUGGAACAUAUUUUCUCAACAAAGAAACAUGAAACAUGUUAUGCACUCCCGAUAGAGUAGGUGGAAGUGCCAACCUAUAAGCCACAUCACCAACCUUAUCCAAAAUCUCAAAUCAACCCACAUAACGAGGACUAAGUUUUCCUCGAAUCCCAAAUCGCAAUACUCCUCUAGUAAGUAAAACUAGCAAAAAGACAUGAUCUCUAACCUUAAAUUUUAUCUUCCUUCUUUUAUUGUUUGUAUAACUCUUCUGUCUACUUUGAGUCGUACGAUGAUGUUCUCUAACUAACUGAACCUUCUCAACUGCUUGUUGAAUAAGAUCUAGACCUAAUAACUGUCUUUCACCCACAUCAUCCCAACAAAGAGGUGACCUGUACUUCUUACCAUACAAAGCUUCGAAUGAAGCCAUUUGGAUACUAGGCCGAUAGCUAUUAUUAUAAGCAAAUUUCGUCCAUGACAAGUGUCGAUCCCAAGAACCUCCAAAAUCCAUGACACAAGCUCUCAACAUGUCCUUAAGAAUUUAAUUAAUUGUCUCGGACUGACCAUCUGUUUGGAGAUGAAAAGUAGUACUAAAAUUAAGUCUAGUUCCCAAAGAUUUAUGCAGACUCUCCCAAAAUUUCACCACAAAUCGAGAAUCUCAAUCAUAUACAAUAAACACUAGCACCCCAUGCAGUCUCACAAUCUGCUCCACAUAUAACUCCGCUAACUUUUCCAAUGAUAUUUUCGUACGAAUAGCCAAAAAGUGAGCAGACUUUGUUAAUCUAUCAACAAUCACCUAGAUGCCAUCAUUACCUUUUAGUGUUCUCGACAAACCUGAUAUAAAGUCCAUAGUAAUUCAUUCCCAUUUCCAUUCUGGAAUAGGAAAGGGUUGCAAUAACCCUACUGGCCUCUGAUGUUCAACCUUAACUUGUUGACAUGUCAGACAUUUGGCUAAAAACUAUGCAAUCUCUCUCUUCAUAUUGUUCUACCAAAAAGUGUUCUUCAAAUCUCUAUACAUCUUGGUACCACCAAAAUGGAUUGUACAAUUACUAUAAUGAGCUUCCAACAAAAUUUCUCUCUUCAAUUCUGCAUCAUUGGGAAUACAAAUUCUAUUACCAAACCUCAAAGAGUCAUCAUCAUGAAUCCUAAAGUCUGGUUUCAAACCAGAUUCAACCCCAAGUUUAAUGUGCUAAAGUCGAAGAUCAUCUACUUGGGCUAUCUUAAUCCAGUGAAUUAAAGUUGGUUGUACUUGUAUGUUAGCCAAUAAUGCUCCAAAACCCUGUAUACAUACACCAAUAUUCAUCCUCCGUAAGUCCUCUAAAAUCUGUUUUUGGGAAGUAAUCAUUACGACCAUGUUCCCAGACGUCUUUCUACUUAGAGCAUCAGCAACUCUAUUUGCCUUACCUGGGUGAUAAUUGAUGGUCAAGUCAUAAUCCUUUGAUAAUUCUAGCCAUCUUCUUUGUCGCAUAUUCAACUUCUUCUGCGUGAAAAGAUAUUUCAAACUUUUAUGAUCUGUAAAGACCUCACAAGACUCUCCAUAUAAAUAGUGUCUUCAAAUUUUUAAUGCGAAAACCACUGUUGCCAAAUCUAAAUCAAGAGUAGGAUAAUUCUCUUCAUAAGGUUUCAACUGUCUAGAAGCCUAAGCGAUCACCUUAUCAUCCUGCAUAAGAACACACCCAAGUCUCUUUUUGGAAUCAUCACUAUAAACAACAAAUCCCUUACCACUAGUAGGCAUGGUAUGUAUGGGAGCGAAUACUAAUUUUUUCUUUAACUCCUUAAAGCUCUUUUCACAAUCGUUUGUCCACUCAAAAUGAAUCUCUUUCCAUACCAAUCUGGUUAAAAGUAAGGCAAUACGAGAAAAUCCUCCACAAAUCGCCUAUAGUAUCCUACUAAACCCAGAAAACUACGAAUCUCAUCAACAUUAUGUGGUCUCUUUCAAUUCACCACUGCUUCAACUUUCUUUGAAUCCAUCGAAAUCCCAUCUUUCGACACCACAUGCCCAAGGAAAGCAACACUAGAAAGCCAAAAUUCACAUUUCUUCAAUUUAGCAAAUAACUGUUUCUGCCUCAAAGUCUUCAAAACAACCCUUAGAUGCUCUUUAUGAUCUGCUGAGUUAGAGGAAUACACUAGAAUAUCAUCAAUAAAAACAACCACAAACUUAUCCAAAUAAGGUUUAUAAACCCUAUUCAUCAAGUCCAAAAAAGUAGCCGGAGCAUUUGUCAACUCAAAAGGCAUAUCAAGGAACUCAUAAUGCCCAUAUCGGGUACAAAAAGCAGUUUUGGGAACAUCCUCAAUUCUCACCUUCAAUUGGUGAUAACCAGAUUGAAGAUUAAUUUUGGAAAACACUUGAGCGCCCUUUAGUUGAUCAAAUAAAUCAUCUAUUCGAGGCAAAGGAUACCUAUUCUUCAUGGUUGCCUUAUUUAACUCCCGAUAAUCAAUGCACAACCUCACACUCCCAUCCUUUUUCUUCACAAAUAACAAUGGCGCUCCCCAAGUAGAUACACUAGGUCUAAUAAAGCCCUUAUCAAGAAGUUUUUGCAACUGCUCUUUCAACUCUUUUAAUUCUAUAAGAGCCAUUCUAUAAGGAGCUUUAGAAAUCGAGCCAGUUCUUGGAACCAAAUCAAUAGAGAAAUCAAUUUCCCUAUUAGGAGAUAAACUAGGUAGAUUUUUAAGAAAAACAUUAGGAAAUUCCCCCAUAAUAAGAAUCUCUUUAAUCAUUAACUUCUUCAUUCUAUUGUCUAUACUAGCUGCCAAAAAUCCUUUGCAACCACUAGUAAGCAAUCACCUAGCUUUCAAAGCAAAGAUGACUCAUAAAAAAGUGUAAGGACCACUACCACGAAAACAAACAGGUGUUUCUCCAGGAAUCUCAAAGUCUACCCUUUUCCCUCGAUAGUCAACUUUAACAAAAUUUACAACCAACCAAUCCAUCCCUAGAAUUACAUCAAAAUCUUACAUAUCUAAAACAUGAAGAUAUGCAAGCAAUUCUCUAUCUUCAAUCCAUACCACACACAUCUUACAAAUCUGAUAUGAGAUAAUAUCAUCUCUAACUGGAGUGUCUACGCAUAGUUCAUAAUCCAGAAGCAUACAAGGCAAAGCAAACUUUUGAACAAAUGUAGCAAAUACAAAAGAACGAGAUGCAUCGGUAUCAAACAAUACAUAAGCAAAAGCUGAGGCAACUAGCAAUGAACUUGAGACAACGGUGUUGGAUGCCUCUACAUCAGACUGAGUGAUAGCAUAAGCACGGCCCUAGGUGCAAGGUCUUCCCACUUUUUGAUGUUCAGAAAAAGGUGUUUGCGUAGUCUAAACAACAUGAGUGGGUUGAGUCCUUUGCGUUGUAGUUUCAAAGGUUCAAGAGUUUUGUGGCCUUUACACAGAUUAAGAUUCUUGAAGGACUAAAGGACAAUCAGCAAUACAAUGGCCCUGUUGUCCACCUCUAAAACAAGCACCAGUUACAUGCCUACAUUUAGCAGCUCGAUGUUCUCCACCACACACUGAACACCUAGGCUUUUGUGCGCAAACUAUGAAAAUACAACCCUAAAUAUACCUUAAUCAGCAAUCCCUUGAAUACUUUUUCUUUUUUUCUGUCUUUCUUCUUCCUUGGUGUUAAUCUCUUCUUACUACCUAUCGUUUGAGCCCGCUGAAAUAAACUGACAUGAGUUUUCUGCUUUUUCUUUUAAAAUUGUAAACUAACCUAACUUCCACUAUCUUUUUUUUUUAAACAUGAUUUAGUGAGUUAUUGUUAGGUAAGAUAAACUGACCUUAACCCCACUAACUUAAACGUGAUAAAUAAAACUGACAUUAAUUAAACUUUUUUAUUUACUUAAAGAUCCCUUCUUCUAUUUUUUAAUUAUUAAGGCACCAAAAGUUAUAACUGCAAUUAAAUAAAAUACUAAAAGAACAUCUACUUAUUUGUUUUUAUAAAACUAUAGCUUAAUAAAUCUAAAUGUUUUUAUAGUAUAUACCUUGUGAAGGGUAUUACAUAUACAAAGAAAAUAUGUGAUAUCUUAUAUUUAUAUUUUUAUGUAUGUACGUAUCUAUAGUAUUAGUUGUUUAAACCUUUUGGGUGCAAUUCAUUUUCAUAUAUAAUUAACAGCUUUUAUAAAACUGCAGUGUUUGUGACCAUAUAUGCAUGUAAAUCUCUCUUUAACUGCAAUUGUUUUUUGUCCAAAAUACUUCUAAAAAAAGAUUGUAUAGAGCAGCCAAAUUUGAAAUAAAAUAUUUUUAAUAACACAAGUUAAAAAAAUUAAAUGCCUUAGUUCUUAGUCAAUCUUUCUUUUUAAACUUUUUAUACAUAUAAAAAAAAUCUAAAAUAUGGACUGAUUAGUCCUUUUAGACUUAAUAGAUCGACGGUGAAAUUUUAAGACUACACAAUAAAUUUAUAGGAGUACUCGAAUGAUUUUAUUUAUAUCUUAUUGGAGGCUUAUAUUAAUCUCUCAACUCAGACAAAUUACGAAGUAAGAUUCUUUUUAUGUCAGUUUCGUUACCAAUCAGUUGCAUACUAUAUUUCUUCACUUAUUUCUGUUUUAGUAGAAAAUCAGCUGAGAGCUAUGAUUGGCUUUGUGUUAAAGUGGUUGGCUUUAGUUAGUUGACUUGACUGACUUUUCGAACGAAGACAAGUGAGCAGGAAUAACCGCACCAUUUUCCCCAUGAAGUAAGAGAAUUUCUGUAAAAGUUAUAUGCAAAUGGAUUUUUAAAAACACAAGUUGAUGAAAAAAUUAAUAAAUGCAAAUUUAAUUAUUAUAUUGUGUUUUUUCCACUUGUUCAAAGGAAGAUUUGAUUUCAAUUGCAGCCACAGAAAUAAUUAGCAAAGCAAUAAAGAUAACAUUAUCCUAACUCUUUUUUAAUCUUCCUCGUUAAACUGUUUUAUACAUAAUAUUUAAAAAAAAAUGACUUUUUUAUACUUACAAAAAAUAAAUAUAAGAUAUGGAAAUUGAUUUUUUUUUUGAAGAGGAAAUUGAUCUAUUUUAUUUAAAUUAUAUUUUAUAUAUUUGUGAUGAAAUUUUGAAAUUCCAAAUUUUAUAACACUAUUUAAGCGAUUAAAUAUAUAUUUAUUUAUUGAGGGGUUAUAUUAAUCUCCCUACUGUGCAGAUAUACUUGGAUGAAUUAGAAAGAUUUCUUUUCUGUUAGUUUCGCUACCAAUUGGUUUUAACAGAUUUUCUUCUUUCUUGUUUGUUUGCGUGGAAAAUCACCCAAGGGUCAUUGAGUACUAUUAUAGGCUUUGUGUUAAACGUGUUCUGAGGCUUGGGAUUUAAUUUGUUGAUUGACUUUUCAAAAGAAGACUUGGUUUUAACAAUAAGUCUAGGAGAAGAUCGUAGUGCUUCUUCACAAACUAAUUAAGCCCUUAAUCUCCUUCUCUCCCCUGAAAUUUUGGGAUAAUAAGAUCAAAGCUUCCAUUAUUCGGCCUUCUGGCCCUUGCUAUAACUCUAUUCCCUGAUGCAUGCAUCGCUAGAGGCAAACACAAGCACUGUGGCUCUUCUUUCUGUGGAAACAUUAACAUCACUUACCCUUUUCGAUUAAAAAGUCAGCCUCGAAGUUGUGGUUACAAUCGUUAUGAACUAGUAUGCGAGAAUAACCGCACCAUUUUGCCCAUGAAACAUGGGAAUUUCUAUGUCCAACACAUCUCUUUUAGUGACCAAACCUUUCAACUGUUAGACGUGAGUCUUGACAAGCAUAACUGCUCCAUUCCUCAUAGUUCCUGUCAUUGGGCCAGCGUUUGUCCCAAAAAACUAUAUGAUUGGUCCAUCCCUUCUGCGGUAAAACUAUAUCCUUGGCGCCCCUUUUCAGCGGAAGAAAUAAAUUUCUAUCAAACUAUCCCUGAAUUUAGAGUCAUGUAUCUCGUAAAUUGCAUGAUGCAGAUCAACGACUCUUGGGUUUAUAUCGAUGCUUUUCGUUGUACCAAUACCCUUCCUCUCGACCUCCUUAUUUUUACUUUUUGGAUGGAAAAACAGCACCGUCUGAUUUCCAUGAGUCAUGCACAGUUGAAGCCCGGGUUCCAAUCAUGGUUGCCAACAUCACCUUCCUCUCUACUUUUGAUAUUUACACAAAGCUGUUAGCGGGAUUCCAACUCUCAUGGUCAACUUCCUAUUAUCAUUAUGUUUCGCUGCGGUGGGACUCAAUUGUUAACGUGUGAGGGUUUUUAAGUAUUCCGCAAUAUUUGGUGUUGUUUAGCUUUUGAAAAAUAUUUAUUAUUUUUAGCACAAAUAUGAUAAAUAAAUAAAUAUAAAAAAAAUUUAGUUUUUAAUUCUUUUUUAAAAAUUUAAAUAUUUUUAAAUUACAUUUUUUAGUAUGUAUAUAAAUCUGUAUUUUAUUCAUUCUAAAAUUUAAACUCGAUAUUUUUUUUAAAAUUAGAAUCGCAAUUUUUUAUUAAUGUAGUGUCUACUUCAGACUUUAAUUAUUUACUUUUACUCUAAAUAUGUUUAAUGUAAAAUUUAAACAGAAGGAUUUAAAACAUUUUCAACAGUAAAAGUGCUAAUUUCAUUUGCCUUAUUAAGAAUUAACGUUUUUUAUUUGGUUUUUUGAAUAUUCAUUAUAGAUUGCUAUCCUUGCUCCAACUGUUGUUGCUUCCGCUGGCGAUAUAUAUAAAAAGCAACCUGGAUUUUCUGCGGGGCACCUUAACAGAGGAUAGUUUAGUUCCUAAUAAAGGUGUUCUUUCUUUCUGAGUUCAUUACUAUUUUGAUUAUUAUUUGGUUUGCCUUUACUUUCUUGUAUAGUAUCUAUAUAUUAACACUUAAUUUUCGAAUUGGUGAUAUCUUAGCAGGAAUCCGGAUUCCUUGUGUUACAAUAACAGGUACUAAAUUCUACACUUAUUUAUUUACUCUGAAAUUCUAGAGUUGUUACAAUGUACGACAUCGUAAUGUAGUAGGAAUCUAAGAUUCAGAUUUACAUUUGUAAUUUAUUAUUAUAAUAAUACAUAUAUUAAAAAAUUCAAAUAAUUUUUUUUAUUUCGUUCAAUCAAAUCAUCAUAUUUUAUUUUGAUUCAAAUAAACUUUUAUAAUUAACGGUUGACUAAUUGUUAUUAUUUCAAAUGUCACUUGUCAUUUUAUAUUCACGUGAUGUUGAUAUGAUACUGACAUGGAAGGUAAAAAUAGCACGUAAUUAUGUCAGCAUGUCACAUACUAUGACAUGUAAACAUGAUAUAUUAACGUCACAUGACAUAAAAUGACAAAUGACAUUUUAAUUAAUAACAGUUAGUUAACUAUUGAUUAUAACAAUUUAUUUGUUCCAAAAUAAAUGUUUAAUACUUGAUCAAACACAAUGAAAGAAUAAAAUUUAUUCAAAUUUUUUUAAGUAUUAUAUAUAUAUAUAUAUAUAUAUAUAUAUAUAUAUAUAUAUCAGUGUCAAUUAGUUAAAUUUACACCUUUUCAUAUUUUUUAUAUGAUUAAUAUGUUGUUACUUUCACUGUUGUAUUCCAUAUAUGCUCAAUUUACAUAGAUCAUGCAUGAAAAAUUUUAAAUCAAUUGAAAAUAUCUAAUUAUUUAUAUGAUAACAAUAAAAUUUUAACUGCUAAAUAUAUAUUAAAAAAUAAUAUUCUCUACCACUGUGAUACGGAUAUAUAUUACACUCCUUGAAACUUUAUAUGUACGAUUGGAUACAAAUAAAGUUAGCUUGCUAAAACAUAAAUGUAUAUUAAAUUAUAAAAUGGUGUAAAACUUAAUCAAUGUGUAACUUGAGCCCUCAUAUAUAUAUAUAAAAUUUUUAUGAGUAUUGCAUACAUGUGUAUGUAUGUAUAAAAGAGAUUCAAUAAAGGAUAAAAUAAUUAAAUAAAAGAAGAUCCACUGUAAAUAAUUCAUAAAUAAUAUUGAACUACAUUAAUGUUUUUUAGUCAAAAUAAAAAUUAUGUCCAAAUUUAUCAUUUUACUUUGGAUGAUGGACCAAAUUAUGAUCAUAUUUGAAUGAGUAUAAUUUUGUCACUAUACUUUUAAAUUGGUUAAAAAUAAUUAAAAGUUAUGAAAUAAACUAAAAAGUACAAUAAUAAAAAUUACACCUAUUCAAAAAUGAAUACUAAAUUUGAUCCAUCAUGUUAAGUAGAUUGGUCCUUUCAAAAAAAAUGUUAAGUAGAUUGGGGGUAAAUUUGAACCUUAUCUCAAACUACUCUGUGAAGUUUGUUUGUGAAAAUAUGGCAGCACAUACCCAAAUUAAAUUAGUAAAUAACAUAUACAUAUUCUAUAAUCAUGUUUUUCAAUUUUUUUUGUUUUUUCUCACCCAAGAAAAAGGUGUAUUAAAUCAAUAAAAGUACAAGAUUGGUGUAUUAAAUCAUGGUGUCCAACUAAUUAAUUUAUAUAUUGUUAUAUAUUUUUUGUUGUGAAACAGGAAUGAUAUUACUAAGAACAUUUUUGGGGAUAACUUGCUUGAUUAUAUUGGUUGUACGCAAAUUGAAAAGGAGGCAUUUGUCGAUGGAUGACAUGAUUGAGAAUUUUCUUCAAAGUCAAAACAAUCUAAUGCCUAUAAGAUAUUCUUAUUUUGAAAUAAAAAGAAUGAUGGAUGGUUUCAAGAAUAAAUUAAGACAAGGAGGAUAUGGCUCUGUGUUUAAAGGAAAACUUCGAAGUGGUCAACUUGUUGCGACAAAAUUGUUAAACAAAUCAAAAGCUAAUGGCCAAGAUUUCAUCAAUGAAGUUGCAACUAUUGAAAGAAUUCACCAUGUUGAUGUGGUAAGACUUGUUGGAUUUUGCGUGAAGGGAUCAAAACAAGCUCUUGUAUAUGACUUCAUGCAGAAUGGGUCCUUAGAUAAAAUUAUAUUUUCAACUGAAAGUAACACUUUGAGCUGGCAAAAAAUGUUUGAGAUUGCAUUGUGAGUGGCUCAAGGUAUUGAAUAUUUACAUAGAGGUUGUGAAAUGCAAAUUUUACAUUUCGAUAUCAUGCCACAUAACAUUCUUCUAGAUGAGAAUUUUAUCUCAAAAUUUUCAAAUUUUGGCCUUGCAAAGUUGUAUUCAGUGGAUGACAAUAUUGUCUCUUUUACAGCUACAAGAGGUACAUUAGGUAUAUGGCUCCUGAAUUGUUUUAUAAAAUAUUAGAAGCAUCUCAUAUGAAGCCGAUGUUUAUAGUUUUGGAAUGAUGUUAAUGGAAAUUGUCGGAAGGAAAAAAAAUGUGAAUGUCUCUGCUUAACAUUCAAGUCAAAUUUAUUUUCUAUCAUGGAUUGAUGAUCGACUUGAAGAAGGAGAUAUCAUAGAGCUUGGAGAUGUUACAGAGAAUGAAAACAAAAUUAUGAGGAAAAUGGUAAUAGUAGCCUUUUGGUGCAGAGAGAUGAAGCCCGCAGAUCGUCCUUCAAUGAGCAAAGUCUUGGAGAUGCUUGAAAGUGAAGUUGAGCUCCUUGAAAUGCCUCCCAAGCCUGCUUUCUCUUGAAAUGUCAACCAAAUCAUUUAGUGUUGAAUCAUAAGUAAUAUUUAAUAUUGUAUGUUAAGCAAUGUUUCACUACUUUAUUAUACUACUUUUAUAAUUUUUAUAGUAGAAACCUUAAGCUUGAGGCAUAAUCUUCUCUCUUCCUAAAAAAACAAAAAAAAAAAAACAAUAUAGAAUGGUGACGAAGAAUGUAUAUCAAGGAAAAAAGGAUAUUGAGUUGGAGUUUCGAGUGUGUGAAGGUGUUAUUUUAAGAGAGUUGUAAUGGUAUCUUGUAAGUAUUUUGCCUAUAUAAAAAGUCUUUUUGCUCAUAUAAAGGAUAAAGUCUUUAAAUACCAUUAUCUAUACAAUCAUUAUAUUAAUGCAAAUAAUUAACUUACUUUUUAACAAAAUUAAAAUAUUUCUGAACCAUGUUUCAAAUUAUAAUUUUUUUAUUUAAAAAUAUAAAUUAUUUAAGUUUUCUCUCUUAAUUAAAAAAGUCAAAUUUCAUCCAAUUCAAAAUUUUAUUUUAAUUGAUUCGAAAUCAAAUUCAAUUUAAUUCAAAUUAAAUAAAAAAAUUAAAAAUUUAAAUUUGAAAAUACAUGAAUUUAAAAUGAUAUUAAUUUUAGACGAUCCAAGUUCAACAUGACUCAAAUCUAAAACGAACAGAGCUCAUAAUGAUCCAAAACCCAAGAUUUAUUCGAUCCAAAACUUAUAAAAACUUAUAUUUAUAACUCCAAAAAAUCCAAAUUAUAAUUAAAUAUUUUUAUUUAAUAACUAAAUGAGUAAAUGAUUAUUUUUUAAGGGAAAAUUUUAAGACACACAAGCUCCUUCUCUCGUCAAUGCUUCUUUACUCAGAAACAGCUCGUAGGAAUGGCAUGGUCAACUACUCUGCUUCACCUUCAAUUCAAAUUCCCUCCGGUUUCUUCUCACCAAUUGCGAUGUUCCCUCCCCAAAAAAUCCCCAAUCUUCCUAAACCCUAACCCUGUAAUUCCCAAUUCUAAACCCCCCAAAAUGCAAUUCCUUCACAGACCCAACGCGUUUCCAGGCCACGGCGCAGUAUCAAGGGCCAUGGACAUCAUCCAAUCGUCGCCGCCCACGUGGCAAUCGGCCUUCCUCAGCAACCUCGUGAUCUUCGUCAUCGGAAGCCCACUUUUAGUAGCGGGGCUAUCUCUCUCCAGAAUUUGUGCUGCCUUCUUGCUUGGCACUCUCACUUGGCGCGCUUUUGGGUCUUCUGGGUUCCUCCUCGUUGCUUCUUACGUAAUAGUGAGUCCUCACAAAGUCUAUGGAUUUUAUUUGAAUUGUGGGAUUUAAGUUAAAUUUAGAAAUGGGGUUCUGAUUUUUGUUCCCAUUUGGUAUAAAGUUUACGCUUUGGAGGACAAGUUUCAUUGUUUGGUAAUAUGGCAAAGGAAAAGAAACUUAGUUUAUGUCAAAAAGAUUUCAUGUGAAGUAGUUUGUUAUUUAAGUGUGAUUUGUUUUUGUUUAAAGAAUUGGAUUACACUAGUGAAAUCACGUCAAAAUCAUAACCAAAAUAUUUUUUCCAAAAUUUCUUUAUUUUCAUUUGUUUUGCUCUUGGUGGGGGGCAGGUGGAGGAGCCAGGGAGAAUUUAUGGGUUCUCGCAGUUUUAGACUAGUUUGAAACGAUAUAGUAUUGUUUUUCCUGCUUUCCUUUCUAAUAAUGGCUUGUUUUACUUGCAAAAUGAAUCUUGAAUUAGUUCCUCCUUCCCUCUUCUGAUUUUCCCUACCCAUAUUUCUAGUUGAAGAUAAUAGUUUCAAAUCAUGCUUGAAAACUAUAUUACAAAAUACUUGUAAUAUCAAACAAUUUUGUGUGGCAUUCGAGUUUCUAAUUUGAAUGGAGAAAUAAUUGGGAUGGAAGUGGUAUUAAAUAAUUUAGAGGAAAGAAACCCGAAUGCCUUUUGCACCAAUACAAAGAAAAGAAAAGAAAACCUAGUACAAAACUUCGGAAGAUGCUUGAUUGUAAGCUGCUGGGCUUUUGAGGACCUGAGACUCCAUAAUACUUUAUAAUUCUCUAAAUCUUCAUGCAAUCUUACAGCUCUUUGUCAUGCCUCUAAAACAAAUGCGGUAAAACCAUGCUCAAUUGCUCAAAUUGUUAUGCUCAAUUGAGAACUCCUGACCUGUUAUGUGUGUGUGGAGAUGAUAACACCAAUGAAUGGCCUUGUUAUACGGAUGACCGCUCAUGAUAAUUGCUACUUCAAAAAUUAUUGGCUUAGAUUAUGCUGCUGUGUUUUGAAACUUGUUGGCAUGCCUCACGAAUGCUGCAAAAUGUGCAGAAGGUUUCUGAGAUCUUGCUGCCAUCUAAGAAGAAAGAAUGGUGAAAUUGUACAGGUACUAUGAAUAUGAUGUAAUGUUUAGCUUUUUUAUAGGGACUUCCUUUUUGUAUAGUGAACUUGGUUGCAUUGGAAUGAGUCUGUUCUCUGGGAAGAAUCACUGUUCUGAAAAUUGUUAGGUCUGAUCACAAUUGCAACCAGGAGCGGCAUGCCUUGCUUUUCUUCUCAUAGGGCAUCAGGGUAUCCCAUCAGGGUUCUUUUUGUGAACCCCUCUUAUGAAAUAACAUCUUCUAUGCCUUUCCAAAAAAAAAAAAAGUAACAAUCACAUGGCAUAAUUUUUUCUUACAAUAUGAGAGUACUGCAUCAGAGUUUCUUAAUGCAUUAAGAAAAGUUAGAGAUGAGGUCUAAGAAAAUAUCAAUUUCAAGAAGAAACAAAUAACACUAGAAUCAUAUUUUACAAAAAUAUCAUAAUUGAGUCAUGUAUAUAUAUAAUUUUGAUGUAUAAGAAAAUUAUUAAUUUAUAUAUCAAGUGAGAUCUAUGUGUUUUUUUUCAAAAUGUAUUAUCUUAUUAAUUUAACAAAUUAUUAAUUUAUCAUGUUGAUCUCAAAUCAGGACCAACCAAAAUUAUUAAUUUAUCAAGCAUUAUUUAUAGACGUUUUGUUGUACUUCUCUGUAAUUCACUCUAAAUAAAAGGGUAUGUUGAAACAAGCGGAAUUUAGAUCCCUUAUGGUUCUUGCUACAUUUAAGUACUAUUAAUGUCAUUUAUGCUGGUUAUAAAGAUCUGACAUUUUAUUUAGAAACAAAAUUUGUAGAGUGUCAAGCUUUAAUAGCUUUUUUUUUGUUGCUUUUUAAUGUUUAUAUUCGUUGCUAUAUACUAUUUUUUUUCCCUAUCAAACCAUUCUUUCAUGCUUACAAAUUUAAAUUUGUGGUGUGCAAAAAUUGUUGAUAUAUUUCAAAAUCAAAUGUUAUGUCACAUAAUAAAAAGCUAUUUUAGCUCAAAAGUUGUCACAUAAAAUGACAUAGUGUGACUAUUGAAUUGUAGGUAGGUUUUCAUAUGAAUGGUUAUGUCUCUAGGUAAAAUGACAUUCAAAAAUUAUGAGACAAAUUGAAAAAAUACUAUAGCUCAAAAGUUUAAGAGCUUGUUUGGCCUAGUUUUUUUUUAACUUAAAAGCUAUUAUUAAGCUCUUAUGAAAAAUAAUAGCUUUUAAAAAUUAAGCUAAAAUUAUUUGAUAAAUUGUUUAACAAAAUAAAUUAUAUAAGCUCUAAUUUCGGUUAAAAUUACCAUAAAGGGUAUUCAUGCUAUCUUCAAUCACCUAAUAAGCUAUAAUGUAAUGCUUCAAGUUUGUAUAUAAUUUCAGAUAUUAAAAUCGAAGAAAUCAAUAAAAAAAUGAAUAAUUUUCAAACUUAUAUAGUAGCAAUAGUAUUAGACUUUUGUUGAUCUAACAAGCAAUCGGACCAUGAUGCUUCAAUUCCCAAAAAAGAAGAAAAGGGAGGAAACGGUGUAUUUAAUAUUAAAAUCUUUUUUAGUGAAAAAAAAAAUAGAAAACCUUUAAAUAGUUUUUGAAUGCAGUUUUGAAUUUUAGAUUUUUUUUCUCUCAAUUUUUGUAAGAACAAAAAAAUUUUAAAUUUUGUUAUUCAAUGGUUGGUCUUCUGUUUUUAAUUUUUUAGUAGUCUUUAGAGAGGUAGAGGAGAGGGAGAUAGUAAUUUUACGUUGGAGAAUGGUAAUUUGCAGAGGGAAGAAGAGGAGAGGGAGAUUAAUUUAGAGAUGGGUAUUUCCUGAAAUUAAUGUAUUUUUAAAAGAAGAAAAAAAAAAGCUCUUCCUUGGAGCUUUUUUUUAAAGCUCUUUUUUUUUUUUUUAAAUUUUGUUCUUAAAAAAAAACUGUUUUUUUUUUUAAGAGCUUCUCAAAAAAGCUUUUGGUUUUAAAAGGUAGAUAAGGUGAAAAAAAACAGGCCAAACAUGUACUAAAUAUGAAAAGUUAUUGUUUUAAAUUAUAACUCAAAGAUUAUGUUUUAUGGAAUGAAUAGUUCUCCUUUCAUAAGAUGAUUAUUAAGUGCUUGUUUGGCCUAGUUUUUUUUCAGCUUAUCUAUCUCUUAAAAAUAAAAGUCAGGCCAAACAUAAAAUUUUAAAAAGCUCUUAAAAAAAAGUAGCUUUUAUUAAAGAACAAAUUUUUGAAAAAAGAGCUUCAAGGAAAAGCUCAUAUUAAGAGUUUUUUCUUCUCUUUUUUUAAAAAUGCAAGAGAAUUUUUAUUUUUGUUCCAAAAAUAUCAUCAUCUGUUAAAAUAAUUACAAUAUUACCCUCUCAAAAAAAGAAAUACCCUUUAUGAUAAUUUUAACAAAAAUUUAUAACUUAUAAAAAGAAAUUUACUAAAUAAUUUUAGCUUAAUUUUAAAAGCUAUUAUUAUUCAUAAGAGCUUCAUAAGAGCUUUUAAGCUAAAAAAAAGCCAGGCCAAACAAACUCNUCAGGCCAAACAUAAAAUUUUAAAAAGCUCUUAAAAAAAAGUAGCUUUUUUUAAAGAAUAAAAUUUUGAAAAAAAGAGCUUCAGGAAAAGCUCCUAUGAAGAGCUUUUUCUUUUCUUCUUUUAAAAAUGCAAGAGAAUUUUUAUUUUUGUUCCAAAAAUAUCAUCAUCUGUUAAAAUAAUUACAAUAUUACCCUCUCAAAAAAAGAAAUACUCUUUAUUAUAAUUUUAACCAAAAUUAUAACUUAUUAAAAAAAAUUUACCAAACAAUUUUAGCUUAAUUUUAAAAGCUAUUAUUUUUCAUAAGAGCUUUAUAAUAGCUUUUAAGCUAGAAAAAAGCCAGGCCAAACAGACUCUUAAACAAUACCUUUAUCUUAGAGUUGUAUCUAGCAAAAUGUAAAGAUGUCUUUUAGACAAAAUAGUGCCUUAAUGAAAGGGUUGUGUUCUUGAAGAAGAGACACUUGCAAGCCUAUAUAAAGGGCCUGUUGCCAACCAUUUUGACAUAUCAAAUAAAAAACAAAACAAAAGCAGAAAAAUCAAGAGUAAGAAAAGUGUUAUGUUCUAUUAACAUAAACACUUAAGUUCCCAUCAACUACAAAAGCGUCCAAAUUUUUUAUAAUCUACUUGUUGUAGAGAGUAGGCUCUAAGUCCUAACAACUUUACAAACCCUCGAGUGUAUCUAGUGGUCUACUCUUGUAAAGUGCAAGACGAAGUUAGACAUUAGCUUCAUUGUAUCUCUAAGGCUAUUUGCAUUAUUCCCUUUUGCAUACCGAGUGGUGGGGACUAAAUAAGUCUUAAAGAUAACAUCUAUUGAAAGACUCGCCUUAAAGUCAAGUUUUUCGAUUCUUAAAUUCCAUCUAAACCCCAUUUGCACCAACAAAAAUGAGCAGGUACCUACUUUACUUUAUUAUUCUACUUUUAUUAUAUAAUUUUUAUAGUCUCCUUUUUCAUCUUAUAUAUGGAAUCAAAUCCAUAUAGAAACCUUAAGCUUGAGGCAUAAGCUUCUCUCUUAUGAAAAUAAAAUAAAAGUCAAGAGCAGUAUAUAUACCAUUGUGAAUGAAUAAAGUAUAAAAACAUGGUGCCUUUUGAGAUACAAAACAUUGUGAAUGCGACAAGAAGUAUUAGUUGUAAUGUGUUAAUGGUCAUUUUUUAAUCAAAUUAAAAAUGUUACUAUUAGCAAUAUCAAGAAUUGCCAGGGAGAAAUUCAUUGAUAAAAUGACAAAUACCUAAAUUCUCUUCAUUGGCAACUUUACUAAAAAUCACUUUAAAAAAAAAAUUAGUAAAAGAUUUUCCAUAUUAUCUCUAUAUAUAAUACAAUAUCAAAAUUUAGUAUUAUAAAAUAUUUUAUUUUAUGCUUUUUUAGUACUAACAUAUUUUAAACAAUGUCAUUGUUUAUUUUAUUAUUACAUGGACACUACUUAUGUCAAACCCUGUUCUAUAUAAUAAUUACGACAUCAUUUACAUGCUCAAUAGAAUAGUUGCAUAUUUAGGAAGUUUGAGAAAUCGUUAAAAGACGAUAUUGCCCCUAAUGGUAUCAUUAAGUCGAUUAAGCCUCGAACUAGUUCAAAUAGGAAUUUUAAGGUGAAAUUCAAAAUUUUACAGUCAAAGAAUGACUUAAAAUGGUGAUUUGGAGUUCGAGGAUCAAUUUGGAGUCAAAUCGGAAUUUUUGCUAUCUAGGGGCAAAAUGGUCAUUUGCCACCUAGAGACAAAAUGAAAAUUUUUAGAAAAGAUUUUUUUGGCCCCAUUUGACUCAUUGGAGUAUGAUUUGAGUAUUGGAGUAUGAUUUGAGGUUUAGAAGUGAAAAAUUUUAAUUUCGGUAUAGUUUAGAGUAUAAGGGUAAAAUGGUAAUUUUACCACCCUAGGGGCAAAACAGUAAUUUUUCACCACCAGGACACUUGUCCAGCACAUGGUCUUCCCUUAUCCUCAUUUUGACCUUUGACUAAUCAUGUGGUGGAGAUAAAAGGUUUAAAAUUUUUAAAGUUUUAAAAAUGGACCAAUGGAAACAUGCCACGUGUCAAGCAAGGAUAUUUUAUUAUUUUCUAUAAAAAUCAGCCCAUAUUUAUCCCAUUCUUCUUCUCCAUAUUCGGCCAAGACAAAAGGAAAGAAAGGAAAAACAAGAACAAAACCUAGGUGGAGGAUUUCAAGAGAAAAAGUGUGGAAAAUCAAGGAAAACAAGUGAAAAAGGUAAGAUUUUUCAAUUUAAACUUGAAAUCUAUUUUCCUUACGCAUUUCUCUUUAUUUUUCAUGCUUAAAUUACAUGUUUUCAUGAUGAAUUCAUGACUGAUCAAAACGGGUAUGGAGAGAGAAAGAUGUUGGAUUGAAUUGAUUUUAAGAUAUGUUAGUGUUUUUAGUUAGUUUAGCAUAUUUAGAAGCAAAACAAUAAGAAAAGAAUCCAUUUUUCCCAUGAAUCAUCAUUGGCCGAAUCUUCCUUCAUGUGUGUGGGUGGUGGAUUGUUAUUAUUUCAAGAGAAAUGGCUUAGAAAAUGAUGAAUAAUGGUGAAAAAAAUUAAGUAGGAAAAAUCACUGUGUUAGUGCACUGUAAUGGCCGAAUUUUUCCAUGAAGAAAUGGGAGGGUUUUGAUGCUGAAAUUGGUGUUAUUUGAAUAAUGUUUGGUGAAUUGAGGUAUUAGAAAUGAAAUGGAGCAAUUUGGAGCCAAAUCGGACACAAUUGUCAUUUAAUCGGGUAAUAGGCCGAAUUAGGUCAACACCGCAUUUAAGCGGUAGUCGGAUAAGUUGCAUAUCAUAUCAUGCAUAUACACUGAGCCUGAAUUGAUUUUAUAAUGGUCAAGCAUUAAUGUGGUGAAUUAUGUAUUGUACAUUGUGGAUAGGUAGUGAGCAUAUUACACUAGUAAAAGUACAAAGAUUGUGCUUGAAGACUGGGAUUAGGAGUACAUCGACUCCUAGAACUGUGAGUAAACUUAUUAUUGUCUUAAUUAUCUAGAGUAGUUUUAUACAAUUAUGUGAUUUUAUAGAAAAUGAGUUUAAAUGGUAAAUUGCUAUGUUUUAGGAGAAAUUGUGAUUUUAUAAAAUGAUUUUAUAAAUUUUUUGAAAAAUUGAAUACUAGUUUUGAAAAUAGAGUAAUUGGAAACUGCCUGCUUGUGUUAUAAAUUGUGUUUUAAAUUAUAUGGCUUAUAGCAAUAUGUGAGCAUGAAUGGCAAAGUCAGUAUUUGUAUUAAAAUUAUAUAUACUAUGUAUUCAGCCUUGAAAUGCUAGAUUUUGAUAAAUUACCAUGUCAUGCAGAUAAGGAUUUUAUAAAUUAUAUGGUAGAUAAAAUAAUCCAUAAUCCCUACAGUGGAGGUUUUGUGGACCAGCCUAAGAGAGGGGGCACAGAAUCAGAUAUACCUUACCUCGAUCGGAGAGCCGUGUGAAGGGUGUCUCUGGAGGUAAAGAUUUGAGUGCACUUUACGUGGACCAUCACGUGAGAGUGAGACUCAGCCAACGCCAAGGCAUGGCUAGAAUUUCAAAUGUAAAGACAUUUAACAGCCUUGGUGGUCUCGGUCAGAUGCUUAAGCCAAGGCAUCCCCGGGAAUGAUUUUGGCAGAGCCAAGUUUUGUGAGAUAGAUAAGCCAUGUUGAAUUAUUGAGUAAACUGAAUAUUCAUGUUAUGAAACAUAUAUUGAAAAAAUAUGUAAAAACCCUUAAAUUUUUAUUCUUUUAUUAUAACUAAACAAGUCGCAAACUCUUAAUUUUAAUAAAAAAUUUAACAAUCAUCAAAUUUAUUAUCAAUUGAUAUUUUUUUUGUCUAAUUAAUAUAUGAUAUGAUAAUUAAUAUAAUUGCGUGAUGGUAGACAUAACCCCAUAAAAAUUAAUGUGAAAUGAGUCAUGCUAUCAUGUCAUCAAGUUAUGCCGACAAGAAAAUGUCAACUAAAUUUUAAAAAAUGAUUGGAAUUUUUAAUCUUCCUCAGAAUUUUUUAUACAUAUGAAAAGAAAAUGUAAAGUAUGGAACUGAUUAAGAAUCCCAAUCCUCUGUCACAUUCGUUGACUUUUCAAAUGUAGACUUGGCUUUAAUAUUAAAGACAAGAGAACACUUUUUCACAAACUAAUCAUGCCCUUAAUCUCCUUCUCUCUCACGGAAACUUUAGGCUGCUGAGAGCAAAACUUCCAUUACUUUGCCUCUUGGCUUUGGCUUUUUUUCUUCUCCUUCAUGCAUGCAUCGCUUGAGUCAAAAACAAGCACUGUGGCUUCUGUUUCUGUGGCUCUUGUUUCUGCGGAAACAUUAACAUCAAUUACCCUUUCCGUUAAACUUAGAUUUGAUUUCAAUUGCAGCCACAGAAAUAAUUAGCAAAGCAAUGAAGAUAACAUUGUCCUAAGAGUUAAUGUUUCUCGUUAAACUUUUUUAUAUAUACUCCUCCACAGAAAAAUACUGUUGUUAACGUGUGAGGAUUUUUAAGUAUUCCGCAAUAUUUGGUGUUGUUUAGUUUUUGAAAAAUAUUUAUUGUUUUUAGCAUAAAUAAAUUUGACAAAUAAACAAAUAUGAGAAAAAUAAAUUUUUAAUUUUGAAUUCUAAUUUUAAAAAGUGGACAAUAUUUUUAAAUUACUUUUUUAAUUUUGUGUAUAAAUUUGUAUCAUAAAAUUUAAACUCGACAUUUUAAUGUAAAAUUUAAAGAGAAGGAUUUAAAACAUUUUUUCGUUUGGGCCCGGGGAAUCCCUUGCUUUUGGCUAUGGUCUUUAUUUACCUUUUUUGCACCUUUUUUUUUCGAAACUAUUAAUUCACAAACACUAUUGGAACGACGCGGCACGACAGCAAUACCACGACAAUCUACGAUUCAGAUUGACAUUACUAAUUUAUUAUUAUAAUAAUAAAUAUAUUAAAAAUUUUCUAAACUAUUUAAAAUAAUUUAAUUAAGUCUUCCUCUUUUUAUUUUGUUCAAUUAAACUCUUAUAUUUUUAUGUUGAAAUAAAUAAACAUUUAUAAUUAAUGGUUAACUAACUUUUAUUAAUUCAAAUUCAACUUGUCAUUUUAUACCCAAGUGACGUUGACAUGAUGUAAACAUGAAAGGUAAAAAUGUCAUGUCAGCAUAACAUGUUAAUAUCAUGUGACAUAAAAUAAUAAGUAGAAUUUUGAUUAAUAACGGUUAGUUAAUUAUUAAUUAUAAUGGAUUAUUUGGUUUAAAAUAGAAAUACAAGAAUUUGAUUGUACGCAAUAAAAGCUUAAAAGUUUAUUUGAAUUUUUCUAAAUAAUUCAGAGACAUUUUUAAAUAUUAUGCAUAUAUAUAUAUAUGUGAAAUUAAUUAAAUUUACAACUUUCAUAUUUUUUAUACAAUUUAUAUUUUGUUGAUAUAAUCGUUGUAUUCCAUAUAUACUUUAUUUACAUAGAUCAUGCAUGAAAAAUUUUAACUUAAUUAAAACUUUCUAAUUAUUUGUAUGAUAACAAUGAAAUUUUAAUCGUUAAAUAUAUAUUAAAAAACAAUAUUCCCCACCAAUGCUCUCCGGGUAUCAUUCUGACUAGAAACUUUAUAUGUAUGAUUAGGUGCAAACAAUGUUAGCUUGCUAAAAGUUAAUUGUAUAUGAAAUUAUAAAAGGUGUAAAACUUAAUCAAUGUGUGUAUAUAUAUAUAUAUAAUUUUUAUAAGUAUUGCAUAUAUGUAUACAUAUGUAUAAAAGAGAUUCAAUAAAAGAUAAAAUAAUUAAAUAAGAGAAGAUCCACUACAAAUGAUUCAUAAAUAAUAUUGAACGACAUUUAUUAGAUUUUUUAGUAACAUAUUUUAUGUUGUUACGAUGUUUUUUGGUCAAAAUAAAAAAUUUGUCCAAAUUUAUCAUUUACUUUGGGUGAUGGAUCAAAUUAUGAUCGUAUUUGAAUGAAUAUAAUUUUGUCACUAUACUUUAAAAUUGGUUAAAAAUUGAUCAAAAGUUCUGAAAUAAACUAAAAGGUACGAUAAUAAAAAUAACACCUGUCAAACCCUGUUCUAUAAAAUAAUUACGACGUCAUUUACAUGCUCAAUAGAAUAUUUGCAUAUUUAGGAAGUUCAAGAAAUCGUUAAAAGACGAUAUUACCCCUAAUGGUACUAUUAAGUUGAUUAAGCCUCGAACUAGUUCAAAUAGGAAUUUUAAGAUGAAAUUAAGAGUUUCAUAGUUCAGGGAUGACUCAAAAUGGUAAUUCGGAGUCCGAUGAUCAAUUUGGAAUGAAACCGGAAUUUUCACUAUCCAAAGGUAAAAUGGUCAUUUGCCACUUGAGGACAAAAUGAGAAUUUUAAAAAAGAUUUUUUGGCCCCAUUUGAUUUAUUGGAGUAUGAUUUGAGUAUUGGAGUAUNNNNNNNNNNNNNNNNNNNNNNNNNNNNNNNNNNNNNNNNNNNNNNNNNNNNNNNNNNNNNNNNNNNNNNNNNNNNNNNNNNNNNNNNNNNNNNNNNNNNNNNNNNNNNNNNNNNNNNNNNNNNNNNNNNNNNNNNNNNNNNNNNNNNNNNNNNNNNNNNNNNNNNNNNNNNNNNNNNNNNNNNNNNNNNNNNNNNNNNNNNNNNNNNNNNNNNNNNNNNNNNNNNNNNNNNNNNNNNNNNNNNNNNNNNNNNNNNNNNNNNNNNNNNNNNNNNNNNNNNNNNNNNNNNNNNNNNNNNNNNNNNNNNNNNNNNNNNNNNNNNNNNNNNNNNNNNNNNNNNNNNNNNNNNNNNNNNNNNNNNNNNNNNNNNNNNNNNNNNNNNNNNNNNNNNNNNNNNNNNNNNNNNNNNNNNNNNNNNNNNNNNNNNNNNNNNNNNNNNNNNNNNNNNNNNNNNNNNNNNNNNNNNNNNNNNNNNNNNNNNNNNNNNNNNNNNNNNNNNNNNNNNNNNNNNNNNNNNNNNNNNNNNNNNNNNNNNNNNNNNNNNNNNNNNNNNNNNNNNNNNNNNNNNNNNNNNNNNNNNNNNNNNNNNNNNNNNNNNNNNNNNNNNAACCUUCAAUGGCCGAACCCUAUGUGAAGUGUAGAAGUAAUGAAUUGAUUUUGUGAUCAAGUGAAUUGGUUGAAAAAUUGAUGAAAUGAUGAUUUAUGGUGAGAAAAUGGAAUGGGAAAAUUUUUAGUGAUAGUGCACCACAAUGGCCGAAAUUUUCAAGAAGAAUUGUGAGGGUUGUCAGGCUGAAUUUUAGAUUAUUGGAAUUGUAUUUAGUGAAUUGAAAUAUUAGAAAUGAAAUAGAGCAAUUUGGAGCAAAAUCGGACACAAUUGUCAUUUAAUCGGGUAAUAGGCCGAAUUAGGUCAACACCGCAUUUAAGCGAUAGUCGGAUAAGUUGAAUAUCAUAUCAUUCAUAUUGUCACGAACCGGAACUCCCAUCGAGCCCGUGACAACAGCCGCGACGUCUCGAUCGACAUUCAUUACCCGGAAUGUCAACCGGAACCCGGCAAGGUUUUAAUAUCAGCUUCUCAUUUUCCCUGUGGGUAACUGUUUUCAAAUACCACAUUCUAAAAGAUUUUAAAUUGUUUCCAACUUAAGCAAAUAAAAUAAUAAUUUUCAUCUCACAAGGGAAUUUUGGUCAUUUAUCCCAAAAAUCUCAAAAUCAUCUAAAAAUAUAGUAUGUAAGUGGAAAACACAUAUUUCAUAAUCAAAAAUAAUUUUGGAUGUCUAAAACAUUCGUUUAAAAUGGAAUUAUGACUGUUAUAAUAAAAUAAAAAUAUUAAAUAAAAUAUUCAAUUUCCACAUAAAACGAUAUUUUAAGAACAUUGCAUAAAUAAUUUUUAUAGUGUAAAAGCAAAAUAAAUUCUUACAUACCGUAAUACAGAUAACCAAAGUAUACAAUUUAAUUUACAGUGACAAGUGGGCCCACGAAUGACCAAAAGUAUCAAAAGAAAUGAACCUACAGUUUUUGGAUGUGGCAAGUUCAACUAUAAUCAUCGCCGAUAUCAGUUAUCUACAAUCUAUUCUGAGCCUGAAAUAGGUGGAAAGGAGGAUGGUGAGAUUAUAAAAUCCCAGUGAGUAAACAAACAUCACCUAAAAUAUCUAAAGUCGAGUAAAAGGAGACUAUUAAAACAUUUCAUCAAACUGUAAUUUAUCAUCUUUCAACCUAUUUCAACCAAAUGAAAUCAAUUUAUUUAAAGCAAGUAAUCAGUAUGGCUUAUGAAUUUCUUAAAAAGCUUGGCUCAUGCCAAAAAUUAUUAUCAUACUCAGUUAUCUGGGAUACCUUGGCCGAGAGCUAUCCCAACUGAGUCCGCCAAGGCUAUUAGAAAGUCGUGUUUUUAUUUUGAAAACAUAGUCGUUCCUUGGCGUUGGCCGAGUUCCCCUUCACGUGGUGGUUUAGCGUGAAGUGAAUUCUAAAAGUUAUAUCUCGGGAGUUACCCUACUCGCCUCUCCAACCGAGGUAAAAAUAUAACAGGAUUCUGUGCUCCUCUAAUAGGCUAGUCCACAGAACCCAACCUACUGCAGCAGGUCAAACCCACCAUACAAUAAAAUUUUGACAGCAUGACAGGGCUAAUAUAUUACUACCCAACCUGCAAGGGUAAAAUAAAGCAAUUCAUACAAUUCAUAAAAAUACAGCCCAGCCAGUCAUGCCAAUACAAUAACAUAAGCCAUUGAUUCAAUUUUAAAUUUACAACAUAUCAGUAGUCUCCAAUUACUCUAUUUUCAAAAUCAUUAUUUCGUUUCAAGACAAUUUAUAAAAUAUUUUCAUUUAAACUCAUUUUGUUUACAAAAUAUAAAAAUUUACCAUUUGAACUCAUUUUCAUAAAAUUCACCAAAACCGAAUAAAAACAUACUUUAGAUAAUUAAAAUGAUGGUAAGGUUACUCACCGUGUCUAAAGUGGAGAUUUUCGAAAUACUCAGACUACUGGUCUUCGGGUGCAAUUCCCUUGCCUUUAUCGGAAGACUCACCACCUUGACACAGUGCAAAAUCGAGAAAUUCACCACAUUGGUACUAAAUUGAAAUUAAACUAAUUUAGACUACUAAUGCUUGAUAUGGAAUGCAAAAAUGUCUAAAUUUUUGCCUAAAUGCGGUGUUAGCCUAUUUCGGUUUUUUACUCGAUAAAUCGAUAUACGCGUCCGUUUAAACUCCAAAUUAAUUUUUUUCAGUUUCUAUACCCCAAUUGCACCCAAAUUGACUUAAUGUCCCUCAGUGUGGUGCAAAUUAUCAGUCUCGAUAGCAAAUUACAAAAAUACCCCUAGUGGGUAAAAAUUUGUAUUUUUGCUCCUAAAAUUCUCAUUAUUUUUCUAGGCUCAUAAUUCAUUAUUAUUUAUCAUAAUUCCUCAAAUAAACAUCAAGAUCAGCAGCCAAUAUUCCCCUAGAAAAUUCGGCAUAAUGGGUUUCAAUGGGAGAAAAUUAUAUCUCUAGCUUAUUUUUGCUAUAUUUCAAUAUAACUUAACUAAAAUCGCUUAAUUCAAUUAAAAUCAACCAAAAAUCAAGCUCAAAACUCAUCCAUGGAAGUUUGGCCAGCAUGGGUGUCCAUACCCACUUUCUAAUUUUGCAUGGAAAUGAGAAAAAAAUGCAUGGGUAGUGAAAAUCACAAGGAAAAUCAAUGAAAUUUACCUUUUUAAUGCUUGAUUUCUUGAUUUCUCUUGAUUUUCCCCAAAUUUUCAGGUAGGGUUCUUAUUUUUUUCCCCCUUUUCUCUCCUGGUUUGGACGGCUGAAGAAGAUGAGAAUUCUGAAAUUUUUACCUUUUUAAAGGCUAAAAUAAAUAAUAUUAUUUUAGUCAUUUUUUUAAUGUUUUAUUAAUUUCUUAAAUUCUAGCCAUCCAUUUGUUUCCAAAUUUUCACCAUACACUUGUCCCACAUAUCCAUAGCUUAGAUAAAAUUCUCAGACUUAUCCAAACUCUUGGUGGAGUAAUUUUUGAAAUUUACACUUUUACCCCCGUAAAAGUCAAAAAUUACAUUUUUGCCCCAAAAACUGAAAAAUUGCCCCUAGACAUAUUUUUCAUCCCUUAUACUCAUACCAUUCUCCAAUUUGUCAAAUUUGAUCUAAAUUCUCUCAAAAUCUCAAAUUUUAUCCGCUAGUGGUAAAAUUACGAUUUCGCCCCUACACUCUAAAAAUCACCGAAAUUAAACUUUUUCACUGCCAAACCCUCAAAUUAUACUCCAAUACUCAAAUCAUACUCCAAUAAGUCAAAUGGGGCCAAAAAAAUUCUUUUCUAAAAAUUCCCAUUGUGUCCAUGGGUGGCAAAUGACCAUUUUACCCCUGGACAGUGAAAAUUUCAAUUUGACUCCAAAUUGAUCCUCGAACUCCAAAUCACUAUAUUAAACCAUUCUGGGACUUUAAUAUUCUUAAUUUUAUUUUAAAUUCUCUAUUUGAUCUAGUUCGAGGCUUAAAUUAACUUAAUUGUAUCAUUUGGUACAUUGUCGUCUUUUAACGAUUUUUCUUUCGGGGCUUUCCAAGUAUGCAAGCAUAUUGUCAAUCAUAUGAAUGACAUGACAAGUAUUUUAUAAGGUCGGGCUUGACACAUAUACACCGAGCCUGAAUUGAUUUUAUAAUGGUCAAGCAUUGAUGUGGUGAAUUAUGUAUUGUACAUUGUGGAUAGGUGGUGAGUAAAUUACACUGAUAAAAGUACAAAGAUUGUGCUUAGAGACUGGGAUUAGGAGUGCAUCGACUCCUAUAACUAUGAGUAAACUUAUUAUCGUCUUAAUUAUCUAGAGUAGUUUUAUACAAUUGUGUGAUUUUAUCAAAAAUGGGUUUAAAUGGUAAAUUGCUAUAUUUUAGGAGAAAUUGUGAUUUUAUAAAAUGAUUUUAUAAAUUUUUUGGAAAAUUGAAUACUGGUUUUGAAAAUAGAGUAAUUGGAGACUGCUUGUGUUGUAAAUUUAUGGUUUUAAAUUGAAUGGCUUAUGACAAUAAAUGAGCAUGAAUGGCUAAACUGAUUUUUGGUGUUAGAAUUAUUUGUACUGUGUAUUCAGCCUUGAGAGGCUAGGUUGCGAUAAAUUGUCAUGUUAUGUAGAAAAAGAUUUUAUAAAUCAAGUGGUAAAUAAAGUAAUCCAUAGUCACUACAGUGGUGGGGGUUUUCGUGGACUGCCUAUGAGAGGGGCACGGUAACCCAAUUAUAUAUUUACCUCAAAGGGGAGAUGUUGGAUGAAGUAUCUUUAGAGGUAAAGAUUUGAGUGCACUUCACGUGGACCACCGCGUGAGAGUGAGACUCGGCCAACACCAAGGCAUGGCUAAAAUUUCGGAUGUAAAGACAUUUAAAAGCCUUGACAGACUCAGUUGGGAUAAUCCUCAAUCAAGGUAUCCCUGAUAACUGAGUAUGAGAAUGAUUUUUGGCACGAGCUAAGCUUUUCAGGAAAUCAUAAGCCUAGUUGUUUAUUUGAUUGAAAUGAGUUGAAAGGUAAUGAAAUUACAAUAUGAUGACUUAUUUUAAUUUGUCUCCAUUUACUCGCCUUUAGAUAGUUUAGAUGGUGUCUGUUUACUCACUGGGAUUUUAUAAUCUCACCACCCUCCUUUCCUCACAUUUUAGACUCGAGGAAUUCCAUAGUUAGCUGACUUUGACAAAGACCUUCAUUUGGACUUGAAUCGGCAAAAGCUAUAGGUUUUCAGCUUCUGAUGUAUUUUGGUUAGAUGUGGGCCCACGUGUCACUGUAAAAGUAAUUUUAUGCUUUGGUUAUUUGCUUUAUAGUAUAUAUGAAUAUAAUUAACUUUUACGUUAUAAGAAUUAUUUACCGAUAGCUUUAUAAAAAUUAUUAUACAAGAAAAUAGUUUAUUUUAUUGAAUAUUUUUAUUAUAUUCAAAUGGUCAAAUUUUCACUUCAAAUGAACGUUUUAGAUACUUAAUUUGUUUUCAAAUCACUAAAUAUAUAUUUUUUGCUUACCUACUACAUUUUUAGCAAGUUUUGAGAUUUUUGAGAAAAAAUGACGAAAAUGCCCCUGUGAGCCAGAAAACAAUAUGUUAUGUUUUGAUUUGGAAAUGACUCGUAAUCCUUUGAAUUACGAUAUUUGAUAACUAUUGCUCAUCGGGGAAGUGCAAAAGCUGAUACGAGAGCUUUACGAGGUUUCGAUUGGCAUUCGGGGUGAAGAAUGUCUGUCGAGGCUUCGCGACGGUUGUCACGGGCUCGAUGAGAGUUUCGGGUCAUGACAACACCCAUUCAAAAAAUGAGUAGUAAAUUUGAUCCAUUAUGCUAAGUAGAUUGGUGGUAAAUUUGAACCUUAUGUCAAAUUAUUCUAUGAAGUUUGUAUGUGAAAAUAUGGCAGCUAGCACAUACCCAAAUUAAAUUUGUAAAUAACAUAUACAUGUUCUAUAAUCAUGUUUUCCAACUAAUUGAUUUAUAUAUUGUUUGUUAACUCUUUUUUUUUAAGAAACAGAAAUUCUUUUACUAAGAACUUUUUUGGGAAUAAUUUGUUUAAUUGUGUUGGUUAGAUGAAAAUUAAAAAGUAGCAUUUGUCGAUGGAUGACAUGAUUGAAAAUUUUCUUCAGAGUCAAAACAAUUUAAUGCUUAUAAGAUAUUCUUAUUUUGAAAUAAAAAGAAUAACUGAUGGUUUCAAGAAUAAAUUAAGUCAAGGAGGAUAUGGUUCUAUGUUUAAAGGAAAACUUCGAAGUGGUCAACUUGUUGCAAUAAAAUUGUUAAACAAAAAAAAAAGGUAUCACCCAAGAUUUCAUCAAUGAAGUUGCAACUAUUCGAAGGAUUCAUCAUGUUAAUGUGGUAAGACUUAUUGGAUUUGGCGUGAAGGGAUCAAAAUAAGCUCUUGUAUAUGACUUCACGAAGAAUGGGUCAUUGGAUAAAAUUAUAUUUUCAACUAAAAAUAACACCUUGAGUUGGCAAAAAUGUUUGAGAUUGCAUUGGGGGUGGCUCGAGGUAUUGAAUAUUUACAUAGAGGUUGUGAAGUGCAAAUUUUACAUUUUGAUAUCAAGCCACAUAGCAUUCUUUUAGAUGAGAACUAUACUCCAAAAGUUUUAGAUUUUGGCCUCACAAAAUUGUAUUCAGUGGAUGAUGAUGUUAUUUAUCUCAUAGUAGCAAGAGAUACGAUAAGUUAUAUGGCUCCAGAAUUGUCACGACCCGGAACUCCCAUCGAGCCCAUAACAAUCGUCGCGAAGUCUCGUUAGACAUUAUUUACCCUAAAUGCUGAUCGAAACCUCGUAAGGCUUUCGUAUCAGUUUUCUUACCUCCCCUGUGAUCGACAGUAACUAAAAUCGUGUUUUGAAACGAAAUGGACCAUUUUUCCAUCCAAAAACAAUGAAAAUUUAUUUCUGCCUCACAGGGGUAUUUUAGUCAUUUUUUUUCAAAAAUACGGAAACCCUUUAAAGUAGAUAACUGAAGUAUAAAAUUACUUUUCAGUGAUACGUGGGCCCCCAACUGACCAAGAAGGUGUAGGGCUACGAACCCUUACUUUCUAGGAUGCAACUCCGAGAUUAAUUCUCGUCUUAAUCAACUAUCAACAAACUGUCUUGAGCCUGAAAAAUGGAUAGAAAGAGGGGUGAGAUUACAUAAUCCCAGUGAGUAAACAAUUACCAUCAAAAACAUCUAAAGCCGAGUAGACGGAGACAAUAUAAAAACGUUAUAUCUCAAUAAUGUUCAUAACGCAAAAUUCGUUUCAAUCUAUACCAAACAAUUUCUUUUCGUCAAAAUUUCCCGGCUUAUGAAUUUCUUAAACUUGGCCCUUGCCAGAAUCAUUCUUGCGGGUACCUUCGUCAAGGUAUCCCACUGAGACAGCCAAGGCUGUUAAAUGUCCCAUACCCAUAAACAUGUUUUCGCAUCUGACACACAGCCGUUCCUUGGCGUUGGCUGAGUCUCACUCUCAAGUGGUGGCUCGAACGUGAGGUGCACUCGAAUCUUACCUCAAGAGAUACUUCAUCCAACAUCUCUCCCCAGAGGUAGGUAUAUAGUUGGGUUACCGUGCCCCUCUCAUAGGCAGUCCACGGAAACCCCCACCACUGCAGUGACCGUUUAAUAUACCACAAGACCCAUAAAAUUUUCAGUAGCAUAAUAUGGCGAAUAAAAUUUAAUCCAGUCUAUCAAGAUUAAUCCAAAACUGUUCAUAUAUGUCAUGUCAACCCCAAAAAUUUAGCCAUCAUGUUACCAUAGUGUCAUAAGCCACAAUUUCAAUAACAUAUAAAAUCAUAAAUUCAACACAGUCUCCAUAUACUCGAUUUUUCCAAAACAAUAUUUAAUUUCAAAACCAGUAUAAAUCUCAUUUUUAUUAAAAAAACAUUUUAAUUGGAAAACAUAAUAUUUUAUAAUUUAAACUCACCAUUCAAUAAAAGCAUCAAACAAGUAUAAUUACUCUAGAGAUUUAAGAUGAUAAAUUGUCCACUCACAGUACUAGGAGUAGAAAUACUCCAAUUUUCAGUCCGCGGGUACAGUCCUUUACCCGUAUCUAAUGGCUCACCACCUAGCCAUAAUCCAUGACACAUAUUCUAAUUAAAUUGUGUCUAACAGUUAUAAGCUAUUUCAAGCUCGAUAUAUAUGCAUGAUAUGAAAAUGAAAAAUACACGAGUAGCCAUCUAGACCCGGUAUUGGCCUAAGUCGAUUUUUCAUCCGAUAAAUUGGCCAAUGCGUCCAAUUUCACUCCAACUUGCUCCAUUUUUUUCCCAAUCCCUCAAUUCACGAAACACAAACUAAUUAACACAGAAUUAGGCAAAAUUUAUCUUCACUUUUCUUCUUAGAACUUUUGGCCAACAAUGGUACACUAACUCCAUGAUUUUUUCUACUUAAUUUUCUCUCCAUGAUUCAUUAAUUCCUACACAAAAAACUAUUAUUUCUUAAUCAAAUCACUUAUAAUAACAUCUCAUUCUUCCUCAUUAUUCACUUAGAGAAUUCGGCUAUUGAUGGACACCAAACUUUUGGUGGUUUUCUUCACUUGUUUUCAUGCUACACAUCAUUAAUCACCUAAAAACACUAACAUACCUAAAAAUCAAACCAAUCCAAGAUCAUUCUCUCUCCAUACCCAUUUUGACCAGCCAUGAAUUCACCAUGAAAGCAUGCUUUUCAACCAUGAAAAUUAAGGGAAAAUGCAUAGGAAAAAUAGUUCAUAAACUAAAAUCAAGAAAUUUCACCUUUUUCCACUUGAUUUUCUUGAAAAUCCACACUUUUCUCUUGAAUUUCUUUCCACCUAGGGUUUGUUCUUCUUUUCCCCUUUGUUUUCUUGCCAAAGCUGACCCUUAUGAGAGAGAAAUGGUGGUGUGGGCUGAUUUUUAUAGUUAAAUAAUAUAAUAAUUUAAACUUGCCACAUGGCAUUCCAUGAUUGGCCCAUUUUUUUAAAUUCUUAUCUUUUAAGAUUUAAAUCUCCACCACACAUUUUUCAAGGGUCAAAAAUGAUGAUGGGUGAAGACCUUGUGCUGGAAAAAUGCUCUCGGGGUGCAAAAUUACCAUUUUGCCCCCGAAGUGACAAAAUUACCAUUUCACCCAGGUACUCCAAAUUAUACCGAAAUUAAAAUUUUUUACUUCUAAACCUCAAAUCAUACUCCAAUAAGUCAAAUGGGGUCAAAAAAUCUUUUUUAAAAAUUUUAUUUUUGUCCCCAGGUGAUAAAUUACCAUUUUACCCUUAGAUAGUGAAAAUUUUGGUUUGACUCCAAAUUGAUCCUCAAACUCCGAAUUACCAUUUUGAGUCAUCCCUGGACUGUGAAACUCUUAAUUUCACCUUAAAAUUUCUAUUUGAACUAGUUCGAGGCUUAAUCGACUUAAUGGUACCAUUAGGGGCAAUAUCGUCUUUUAACAAUUUCUCGAACUUCCUAAAUAUGCAAACAUUCUAUUGAGCAUGUAAAUAACGUCGUAAUUAUUUUAUAGAACAGGGUUUGACAAGAAUUGUUUUAUAAAAAUAUCAGAGGUAUCUCAUAUAAAGCCUAUGUUUAUAGUUUUGGAAUAAUGUUAAUGGAAAUUAUGGGAAGGAGAAAAAAUUUAAAUGCCUCUACCUAAUAUUCAAGUCAAAUUUAUUUUCCAUCAUGGAUAUAUGAUGGAUUAGAUGAAGGAGAUAUCAUGGAGCUUGGAGAUGUGACAAAAAUUGAAAACAAAAUUAUGAGGAAAAUGAUAAUGGUAGCCUUAUGGUGCAUACAGAUGAAACCCAUAGAUCGUCCUUCAAUGAGUAAUGUCUUAAAGAUGCUUGAAAGUGAAGUUGAGAUCCUUGAAAUGCCUCCCAAGCCUUCUUUUUCUCGAAAUGUCAACUAAAAAUAGUAAGAAUUCUCACCACACACGCGACAAUCAGCCUUCCUCAACUACCUUGUGAUAUUCGUCAUUGGGACUACUAGGAUUUGACCUCAUGUUCAAAUUAGAAAAUAAUCAAUAAAUUAAAAAUAUAAUGCAACGAAAAAAUAAAUUAGUAUUUAAUCAUGAAACAGUCGAAUCUUACAAUAUCAAUGUUUGUGCUUUUCAUGUAACUUUCAAAUUAAUUAUAAACAUUCAUAAGUUUAAGAGUUACAAAUCUUGCUCCAUAUAUGGUAAUCAAGAGCCAAUUAAAUCCAAAAUCUUUGUUUCUUCACCUUUGGGAUUUGUCAAAUCUUCAGCCACCCAAGUGUUUGGCCUUUAACAGUAAUCCACACAGUGACCGAAUAUGACCUUCUCAAAGGUAGGAUUUUUUACUUGUGCUGGCAAGUUUUGUUUCAAAAAAAAAAAAAAAACCAAAAGUUCUUGCUAAAUCUUAUUUUUAUCAGACAAAAAAAAUAAUUUUUCUUUUCUUAUUUUAUGAAGCAACUGAAAAGUGGUUGGCGGCUUAGAGUUUUAGUUUGCUAAUAUAAUAUAUUUAUAUAACCGAAUUAAGUUGUAACCCUAAAAACAAUAGUUGUAUUUUAAUUUAAUUAGGUCUCUAAGAACUUAAUUAAUUUUGUACUUUAUUUUGGUCUCUUUCAAUUAAGUCCAACUUAAUUAAUUAUCCUCAUUUAAUCCCAAUCAUGUUACUUAAUGUGUUUGACCCAUUAGGCUUCUAACAUGUUGGCAAUAAAUAUAAAUAAUAAUCAAAUAUCAAUUUGAUAAUUAAUUUAUAUUUAUAGAUCAUAAGCGGCAUUUAGCAAUGUAUCGUGACCACCUAAAUGUUAGAGAGUUAAUUAAAGAAUUUGACAAAGCUUUUCAGUGAUAAGCCUCUUAGUAUAAUACAGUCCUUUCAUCAAAUAUCUCGGAUAUGUCAUUAAGCAUGGCUCAGUGUCUACUUAUAACAUUCGAUAUUAGUUCUCAUAAUUCAUGAUUAACUUUAUGAAUUUAGGAAACUAACUUUUCUCAAAUUCGUCAUGCUUUGGCCAAAGACUUUAUACAAGUUAAUCAAGAAUUGAGAACAAGUGAGAUACAUCCCCUCAUAUCACUUGGGGUAAUAAAUCCUCUCUUGACCACUCAUUCACCUUCGCAUGCUUCAUGGCAUAUCCAAAAGAGUACUUUUCAUUAAUGGGCCAGAGGCAUAAGGCGUUUUUAAGAAUGGUCUUCCUUAUAAUUUUAUCUUUUUUUAGCCAAGAGAAAAAAAAUUGGACAAAAUUAUCCUUAAUGAAACCGACCCAUUCACUAGGCUCCACACCUCAACCCGAAACCUAUUAACGGGUUAAGUAUGUUUAGGUUUGCGCCACAAACUGACUCAUAUUUUUUGAGCUUUCCUUACUAGACUAUUCAUCUCUAGAGUAUUCCUUACCAGAAAGAAAAACGUUUAAGUAUUGUGAGCAUUUUAGAGUAGUUUUUGAUACACGAAGAAAACUUGUGAGCGUUUUGAGCAUUUUUAAACAUUUUAGAGUGAUUUUUGAUAUAUGAAGAAAAACUUUCGAACAUUUUGAGCAUUCAUAUUUGUUAAUUAUGUUGUUAAAUAAAAUAUGGUGUAUCGUUUGAAGUUGUUGAUCUUGUUAAAUGGAAUUCAGUAGUUUUGGUGAUUUUUGAGAAUUAUGUGACUACUUUUUAGGCAUUGCGUGACUGACUUUGGAUAUUACGUGACUGACUUUGGGCAUUACGUGACUGAUUUUUGAUAAGGUAUUGCGUGACUAGUUUUUGAUAAGGCAUUGCUGACUAGUUAAUAGGCAUUACGUGACUGACUUUGAGUAUUGCGUGACUAGUUUUUGAUAAGGCAUUGCGUGACUAGUUUCUAAUAAGGCAUUGCGUGACUAGUUGAUAGGCAUUGCGUGACUAACUUUGGGCAUUGUGUGCCUAGUUUUUGAUAAGGCAUUACAUGACUAGUUUCUGAUAAGGCAUUGCAAGACUAAUUUAUAGGCAUUGCGUGACUUGUUAGUAAGGCAUUGCGUGACUUGUUAGUAAGGCAUUGCGUGACUUAUUAGUAAGGCAUUGCGUGACUAGUUUGUAGGGCAUUGUGUGACUUAGGCAUUAGUUAAAAAUCAGUCACGCAAUAUAUAAAAACUAAUCACGUAAUGCCUAAAACCAAUCAUGUAAUGACUAAAAACUAGUCGUGCGGUGAUUAAGUCACGCAAUACCUAAAAACCAGUAAACUCAAUUUUUGGUUCUAUGAAUAAACCAAUAAACUCAAGAACCUAAAACACAUAUUUUUUUUUUGCUAAGCCAUAAAAUUGUGCAUUUCAUAAAAAAUAGAUUACAAAACUCCAUAACCCUCUAAAACAAGAGAAAAUAUAUCCCUAUCGGGAGGUCUUGCUCACUCCCUUUAUCCAAAAACAAAAUAUACCCUCUUUACAAAAUAUUUUCUGAACAAUUUCAACUCAAAAUCCCUAGCAAACAUGCUUAACAAUCAUCCUAAUCCCAGACACAAUAAAACUGUGAACCACCAUAAAACCCAUCAAACAUGCUUUAGCUGUUCUUUCUCCAUAAGCAAAAUCACUGCCUGCAAAUAGCAAAAUCGUUGUUCAUCGCCCUUAAGAACCCCAAGAUCAACCAUCCAAAAAAUUAAAAUAAAAUAAAAAAGAGCUUGAUGUCAUAUCUACGAAUUGGAUGGCGAGAUAGACAUAUUUAAGCAGAGAGAGAAAUCAAGAUUUAAUUUUGAAAUUUUUAUCUAGAUGGCGAGGGAGAGAAAACUGAAACUAUUUUAAUCUGUCUGAAAUAGUUUAAAGGAUAUUAUUGUCAAGUCAUAGCAAAAAUUGACCAAAAAUAGUUAAAAUUAUAAAAAAAAUGAUAUUUUUGAAUUGAGCUUAUGAGGAAGGUUAUUUCUCACAAUUUCCUCUAUCCAAAAACAAUUUGUUUAGGCAUCUAGUCGUUUCCAAACCCGUUGGAGUGAAAUCAAAGUAUGUCAUUUCUUAUACAAGAUGACCUAGUGUCUCAAGUCUGAAGACUGGUUGCAUGACUAUCACAUGAGAAUAUUUUUCAUAGACAUUUGAGUGAAAUACCAAAUAGAGUUCUCAUAGCGGGUCAUGUUCAGUGAACUUAUUCUUUAACAAGCACCUACAUAUUAUCCUCAAGUAUCCCUUAUACUUCAAUCUAUAAAAUCGAUUGCUUACUUCCCAAGUAAGGAUGCUUAAUAUGUACCAGUCUUUGAGCAUUGUCAAUGCCCUGUCUUGACAAUACAAUGACCAAGAACAAUUUUAGAAACAUGGCUUUGAUGCAUAGUGAUCUCAUAAUUGUAACAACUUUACAAUUCUCUUGCAAGGCUUUUAUGUUCCAUUGGCUUCAUCAAAUUAGUACUUAAUAACUCCUUAUUAUUACACUAACAUGAAGGAAAACCUCUAUCACAUAUAAUUAUGAGAUUAAAUAUGCAUUAAAUGACAAUAUAUAUUCCUUGACUAAUAUAAUUAGCUCAAGGUUAUAUACCAAUAGGGACGCCACUCAACAUUGUGAUCUUACUAAAUCUGAUUAUUUUUUCUGUAUUUAGAUUUUUGAGUGGUACAUAGUUUUGUUUCCACCAAGAUCUAGCAGGCAGUGUUUGUAUUCUCUCUACUACCUUUGUUCGUUUUGUUUCUGCUACUUUUCUAUAUCCCUAUAUCUGAUCUCUGAUGAAAUAAAUCAUUUCCUCACUUGCAAAAAAUUUGCAAGAAAAUGUAAAUUUUAUUUUUCCCUUAUUUUAUACGAAGAAAAUAUGUUUUAUCUUAUAUUUAUAUUUUUAUGUAUGUAUGUAUGUAUCUAUAGUAUUAGUUGUUUAAACUUUUUAGGUGCAACUAAAAUACUUCUAACAAAAGAUUGUAUAGAGCAGCCAAAUUUGUAAUAAAAUAUUUUUAAUAACACAAGUUAACAAAAUUUUAAAUGCUAAAGUUAUUGUAGUGUGUUUUUUCCCUUCGGUUCUAGACUCUAAGCUAAUUGAAUUUUCAAAGAAAGAUUUGCUUUCAUUUGCAGCUACAGAAUGAUAAGCAGAACAACCAAGAUAAGAUUAUCUUAGUUCUUAGUUAAUCUUUCUUUUUAAACUUUUUUAUACAUAUACCAAAACAUGUAAAAUAUGGGCUAAUUGGUCCUUUUAGACUUAAUAGGUUGACGGUGAAAUUUUAAGACUACACAAUGAAUUUAUAGGAUUGCUCGAGUGAUUUUGUUUAUAUCUUAUUGGAGGUUUAUAUUAAUCUCUUAACUCAGACAAAUUACAAAGAUUCCUUUUCUGUCAGUUUCAUUAUCAAUCAGUUGCAUACGUUGUUUCUUCACUUAUUUCUAUUUGAGUGUAAAAUCAGCUAAGAGCUUUGAUUGGCUUUAGUUAGUUGACUUGACUGACUUUCGAAUAAAGACAAGUGAGCAAGAAUAACCGUACAUUUUCCCCAUGAGAUUUUCUAUGUGAAAAAAGCCAUACAAGUCUUAGAGGUGAGUCUUGACAAGGAUAACUCUCCAUUCCUCAUUAGUUCAUAUCCUUGCUACAUCCUUGGUGGAAAAAGCCUACCACUCGGUAGAAGAUUUGUUGGAAUCUAUACUAAAAAAGAUAAAGCAAAAUACACGAAAAAGUAAUAAAUAUUUAACAGUUAAUAACAAAAGAAAUAAGAAAGAGUGUUGAAUGUGAAACUUGGUUCAAAACACGUUAUGAAAGGCAUUGAUUUUAAAGUAGAUUUCCGUUGUUACCUCAGUGCAAAUAACAAUCAAUGAUGUCUUACUCCAAAGAUACAAGAACCACUCAAAGAUAUUCUAAUGUGCACUCAAAUAGAAAAUCUGGUAAACUUGUAAAUCUCUUAACUAUUCUUGAAGGAAUUUAGAAUGAAAAAAAAUAGAGUUUUUGGAAAUAUAAAAUGCUUUAAAUGAAUUUUUCAAAAAGAAAACCUAGGUAUUUAUAGAUAGUGAACCAUCACUAAUGUAUCUCUUCAUUUAGAUGCAUUUACUCAAAAGUGAACAAAUGUGUCCUUUUAUAAGUACAUACUUUUCUACAAUCAAAAGUUAUACCUCUUUCAACAAACAUAUUAAAUUUUGAGUCACUAAAAAUAAAAUAAAAAUUAAAAAUCCAACAAGAAUUGGUGUACAUCUCCCUUAUUAUACAUGCACCUCAAUAUAGGAUCAUAUAUCUCUUAAAUUGUAGGAUGAAAAUGAACUCUUCGGUUUACAUUGGUGCUUCUCAUUCCACCAAUCGGUGUUCCUCUACAUCUUUUGUUUCUUCGGUAUUUUACAUUGUUAAUGGGACAAUUUGAUAAAAAGAUCAAAAUAUAAUUCUUUGAAAAUAUUAUGUACAAUAUACAUGAAAAAAUAUUACGAAUUUAAUUUCUUUAAUUAUUGCGAGAGUUAUAAAAAUAAUUGUAGAAGCAAGUCUAAUGACCAUAGGCUUUAUUUGAAUAGAUAUUUUUCUUCUUUUUCGUGUCCAACUGGUCGUAACCUGUUUUCAAAUUUAAAUAAAUAAGAAAAAAGUAUCCAAGACUUUGAGUAUUUCAGAUAGUUAUUCACGAGCUUCACUAUCUUCAUGCAACAAAUUUGAAUUUUUAUUUUGGAAAGACAAUUUUGAAGUUUAGAUAUGCGUAAUUUUUUUUUUUUACAAAGUGAAAAUGUACAUAUAAAGUACAAGGAAAGAUAUACUUGUAUCUAUAUAAAAUUAAAUUAGUUAAACAGUCUUUUAUAUUUUUUAUACAAUUUAUAUUUUGUUAAUCCAACUGUUGAAAUUGUUAUAUUCAUAUAAAUCAUGCAUAACAGAUUUCAAAUUAAUAAAAAUGAUUAACUAUUUAUUUGAUAAAAAUAAAAUUCUAAUUGUGAUAUAAAAUAUAAAGAAAAAUAUACUAAGAAAAUAAUUGAGAGAAGAAUUGAGAAAAAAACUUUGGGUUCAUUUCUCAUGAGAAAAGAACUUCUGGUUCAUUUCUCAUUAUUUCUGAUUAUUAUUGAUUGUGAUUUUUUCAUUGAGUGCAAAGCUCUAUUUACAUUGAAUUGACUUUGAAACUUUACAUAAGUGAUAAGUAAAAGUUGUUAAAUCUAACAAAAAUAUUAAUUUCUUAGGAAGUUAUAUAAAAGUGUAAAACUAAUUAUUUUUACAUAUAUAAAUUAUUAAUUUAUCAUGAUUUAGGCUUUUGUGUGCGAUUUUUUCAUAUUUAACUGUAGUUGAAAAUAUGCAAUCUUUGAUAAUAUAUGCAUGUAAUAUUUUUGUUGGUGCAAAGGGGGUUUAUACGGUAUUCAAAAGAAUUAGCAAAAUUGACUUCAAGGUGAGCCUUUCAAAUAGACGUCUAUCUUUAAGACUUAUUUUGCCCCUACCACUUGAUAUGUAAAGGGGAAUAAUGCGAAUAGUCUCAAAGAUACAAUGAAGCAAACGUCUAACUUUCAUAUUGUACUUACGAAGUAGAUUGCUGGAUACACCCAAGGAUUUGCAAAGUUGCUUGGCCUUAGAACCAACUUUCUACAGCAAGUAGAUUGUAAGGAAUUCGGAAUAUCUUGUAGAUGAUGGAAACUUAAGUAUUUAUAUUUAUAAUAAAACACAACACUUAUCUUGCUCUUGACUUUUCUACUCUUGUCUUGUUUUUGAUUGUUUGGUGUGUUAAAAUGGUUGGCAACAAGCCCUUUAUAUAAGCUUCCAAGUGUAUUUUCUUCCAAGACACAACCCUUUCAUAAAGAUACCUUUUGUCUAAAAGGUAUCUCUACAUUUUUGCCAACACAACUUUUAGAUAAAGGUAUUGUUUCAAUAGUCACCUUACAAAAGAUAGCUAUUCAUUCCAUAAGGUAUAACCUUUGAGUUAUAACUUGAACAAUAACUUUUCACAUUUAACUUUUGAGCAUGUGGUGUCUUUUCAAUAUGUCUCUUAACUUUUGGAUGUCAUUUUUCAAAAAGACACAACUUUUCACAUGAAAACUUGCUUAUAUUCCAAUAGACACAUUAUGUCACUUUUCGUGACAUAAAUUUUGAGCUAAUGAUAGCUUUUCCAUCAUGUGACAUAACCUUUAAUUUUGAAAAAAUACCAACAAUCCCCCACCAUUUUCAAAAUUUUCAAAUACCAAUAACUUUGGGAAACUUAUGCAUAAAUGAAGGUAUCCUGCAGAUUUGAACCUUCACUUAGUGAGUGUGGUUGGUUCUAGUCUGAAUUGAGUGGUUGACCAAGCAUUGAACCAUCGAUUCUUCAUUGACUAGUCGGGUCACUAAACACACACAAGCUUCCUUGCACACAUUGUAUCUAGUUUUGACAAUACGUUUUAUGGCCUUCUGUUUUGUAUCCAUUCAUAAGUGCUGUCAGAGUCAAGCCUUUAACUCCUAGAAGUGGCCACAUUUCCACUCAUAUAGGUAGCCCCCAUCGAAAAUACCCCAUAAUUAUAGUACUUCAAUAUAUACAUGUUAUGGGUUUAUUAAGAACUUUCGUUCAACCUUACUUUACACAUUACAGGAACCAAGCACUAUACACCUUGGGAUGGAAAAUAUAACUUAGUGCUUGCAGUCACCAUGUGGUAGAAUGGUAAGUACCCGAGACUUGCAAGUCGGCUACAAGCUUCGAGGUGAUUUCCCACCAUUGGCAACUUAGUUGAUAAGCUUGAGACCUAUUCCUCUUGAGGUCUUUAUAACCAUAUCCUUUUUCAAACCUUUAGUAAAUGGAUCUACUAAAUUUUCACAGACCUCACAUAACUUAUAGUGACUAUACCAUCACUAAUUCUUUGUCGUCUUACAAUGCUAUGUCGAAGUCCAAUAUAUCGACUCUUCCAUUGUAAGCUUGAUUAUAUGCUUUUGAUACAGUUGAUUCAUUGUCACAAUGUAUCAAGAUUGGUGCCGUUGGUUUAGGCCACUACGAAAUUUGAUAGAGUAAAUCUCUCAACCAUUCCGCUUCUUGGGUGGCAAAUGCUAAGGCUAUAAAUUUAGUCGCCAUGGUGGAGUCUGCUUGACAAGAUUGUUUCUUAGAACCCCUAGAAACAGCACCCCCACCAAUUGUAAAAAUCCAACCAAUCGUGGAUAUGUACUCUAUUCUAUUUGAGUUCCAACUUGCAUUUGUAUACCCUUCUAAAACCGAAGGAAAACCUGAAUAGCAGAUGCCAUAAUUCUUUAUACUCUUUAAGUACCUUAGAACUCUAUGAACAACAUACCAAUGUUUUUUACUCGGAUUACUUGUAAAUCAGCUUAGCAUCCCAACCGCAAAAGCAAUAUCCGGCCUUGUACAGACCAUUGCAUACAUAAGGCGUUCAAUCACCUUUGCAUAUUCAUUUUGUGCUAUUGCCUUGUCUUCGUUAGGUAUUAGCCUUAGAUUAGAAUUAUAAGGCAUAGUCAUUGGCAUACAAUCUGACUUGCCAUACUUCAUUACAAUCUUUUCGAUGUAAUGAGAUUGAGACAAUGUUAGGCCAUUAUUGUCUCUUAUUAUUCUUGUACCAAGAAUAACAUCUGCCAUACCCAUAUCUUUCAUGUCAAAAUUCUUUGACAAGAACAUUUUUGUGUCUUCCAUUUGUUCCAAAUCGGUACCAAAUAUUAACAUGUCAUCUACAUAUAAACAAAUGAUGACACCUCUACCAUUAUGGAACUUACUAUAGACAUACUUGUCAAAUUGAUUAACCUUGUAGCCAUUAGCUAGCACAACCUCAUCAAACUUUUGAUACCAUUGUUUGGGUGCUUGUUUUAAUCCAUACAAGGACUUUACAAGCUUACAUACUUUCCUUUCUUGACCAGAAAAGACAAACCCUUCAGGUUGUUCCAUAUACACCUCUUCAUCUAACUCACCAUUUAGGAAUGUUGUUUUAACAUCCAUCUGGUGAAUUACCAUCUUUUAUAUAGAUGCAAGUGCUAUAAGCACUCUAAUUGUAGCUAUUCUUGCUACCAGUGCAUAUGUAUCAAAAUAAUCAACACCUUCAUUUUUUUUAAAGCCUUUGGCUACUAGCCUUGCUUUAAACUUUUCUACGGUUCCAUCAACUUUCAUUUUCUUUUUGAAAUCCACUUACAGCUUAUUGGCUUGGAACCUGGUGGAAGGUCUACCAAUUUCCAAGUUUUGUUUCCCAUUAUUGAGUCCAUCUCAUCUUGUAUUGUUUCUCUCCAAAAUGAAACAUCAUGAGACUUCAUUGUUUCAUAAGUUUGAGGAUCACCUUCACCUUCUACAUGAAAGCAGUAAGGUAAGUAUUCACAUGUUUCCUCUCUUGUACCUUCUACUAAGUACAUGAGGAAAUUGGAUCCAUAUGUUUUUGCUUACUUAAUUCUUUUACUUCUUCGAAGCUCAAUAGUUUUCUCAUCAUUUUUUGAAGGCUUAUCACAUUUUGUUACUAGGUCUUUGGGUCUUGGAAUUGAAUUGAACCUUGUUUCAUCAAAGAUAACGUCCCUCGAGUCUAUGACUGUAUUAACAGAAUAUGAAUAAUUGGGCUCUAUCACCAUGAAACGAUAUGCUUUACUAUGUCCAGGAUAUCCUAUAAAUAUACAUUCAAUUCCUUUUUCACCCAAUUUCCUUUUUUUUUUUGCUCUGAAACUCUUACCAUGGCUCGACAUCCCCAAACUCUUAAAUAAUUAAGAUUUGGCUUUCGCUCUUUCGAUAGUUCAUAAGGAGUAGUUUUGCUCCUUUUGUUUGAGAUUCUAUUUAGUAUAUGGCAAGCCGUUAAUAAGGCUUUGCCCCAAAAUCCUUUUCCCAAACUUGAAUUAGAAAGCAAAGCAUUGACCAUUUCCGUAAGAACUCGAUUUUUACGUUCUGCUACACCAUUUUGUUCCGAUGUGUAUGUAGUGGUAGUCUCGUGAAUAAUUCCAGUGGACUCAAAAUACUUGGGAUCAUAAUAUUCACCUCCUUUAUCAUUUCGUAAACAUUUAAUAAACAAUUCACAACACAAUUCAACUUCUCUUUUAUAAAUUCUAAAUUUCUCCAAUGUUUCAUCUUUAGUAUGCAAUAAGUAAACAUAGCAAUAUAUAGAUAAGUCAUCAAUAAAUGUUACGAAGUAUUUCUUUCCACUGAUAGAAGGAGUACUAUGCAUGUCACAAACAUCAGAAUGUAUUAAUUCAAGUAAUUUUGUGCUUCUUUCUACCUUAGGAAAUGAACUUCUUAUGAUUUUAGUAACCAUGCAUGUCUUGCACAUAUCAUUAUUUUCAUCAAUGUUGGGUAUUAAUUCUAAUUUAGCCAUAUCAUGCAUUCUUCUAUAAUGAACAUGACCUAAUCUAUUAUGCCAUAGAUUAGUUGGGAUUGCUUUACUAUCAUGAACAUUGAACGAGGCAUUAAUAUAAGUAGAACUAGUAAGAUUCUUAUUGACAUUAAGCUUGAACAUGUUUUUACAAUAGUAUCCACUUCCCACAUAAUGUCCACCUUUUGUAAAGAUGAACUUAUCCUCUUCAAAUAUUAAUUUGAAACCAUACUUAUUCAACAAGCCACCUGACACAAGGUUCUUUCUAACUUCUGUAACAUAAUAGACAUUGUUUAGUACAAGUAUCUUUCCAGAAGUAAACAUAAGUUCCACAGUGCUUUUUCCUUUCACUUGUGUAGUGGAGGAAUUUCCCAUGUAUAGUACAUUUCCAUUAUUAACUUCUUUCAAAGUCUUAAAAAAGCUUUUGCUGUUGCAUGCAUGAUUAGUUGCACCAGUGUCAAUCCACCAUGCUCCAUCAUCUUGGAGAAGAUUGACCUUAGAAACCAUAGUCAUAAAUUUGUUGUGGUUCACACCUUGUGUCUUGUUUCUCAAAAGUCUACAUUCCGCCUUAAAGUGACCAAGUUUGUUACAAUGAAAACAUGGCCCUUUUUUGUUCCUUUUAAACUUAUGACAUUUGUCAUUCAUACCCACGAAAUGUUUUCUUUUGUUGCAUAAAAAUGGCUUGUUUAAUGGUUUGUGUUCCAUCACAUGGACCUUUAAAGUCUCAAGAUUCUUUUCAUUAGAAUCUUUUUCAUCUUGCUUGACUUCUUCUUGCUUACAAUAAUCUUCUUCUAUUUGAAGAUGAUUACCAAGCUCUUCGACAGACAUAUCCUCUUUUCUAUGUUUUAGGAAUUUCUUUGUGUCUCUCCAUGAAGGGGGAAGUUUAUCAAUUAUUGAAGAUACCACAAUAGCUUCAUCUAUUUUAAGACCAUAUUGCUUAAAGCUAUUGAGAAUGUGUUCAAGUUCAUGCAAUUGUUCCAUAACAAAAUGAUUAUCAACCAUUUUACAAUUAUUGAAACAACUAACCAGGAAUUGUUUGCUGCUUGCAUCUUCCGUCAUGUAUCUUGCUUCCAACUUGUCCUAAAGUUGCUUUGCACUAGCUUCGUUCUGGUACGCAUCGAACAAAGCAUCCGGCAUUUCAUUAAGAAUGUGUCCCAUGCAUAUGUAGUCAUCAUUAUCCCAUUUUUGCCUUGAACAAGUUCUUUUCACGGAUUAUUCACCAUCUUCUUCACUUGGUCGUGGUGUAUCUAGAACAUAAGCGACUUUAAGAGUUAUGAGUAGGAAGUGUAUCUUUUCCAGCCAUCAAAUGAAGUCUCCUCCAUCAAAGCAAUCUAACUUGACAAUGUUGGUAGUUAUCUCUUUGAGUGAAGCCAUUUUGAAUACCACGAAAAUAAGUCUUAAAACUAUUGGUGCGAAGGGGGUUUAUACAAUAUUCAAAAGAACUAGCAAAAUUGACUUAAAAGUGAGCCUUUCAAAUAGACGUCUAUCUUUAAAACUUAUUUCGCCCCCACUAUUUGGUAUGCAAAGAGGAAUAAUGUGAAUAGUCUCAAGGAUACAAUAAAGCUAAUGUCUAACUUUCAUAUUGCCUCACGAAGUAGACCGCUAGAUACACUCGAGGGUUUGCAAAGCUUUUUGGCCUUAGAACCAACUUUCUACAACAAGUAGAUUGUAAGGAAUUCAGAAUAUCUUGUAGAUGAUGGGAACUUAAGUGUUUAUGUUUAUAACAAAACACAACACUUAUCUUGCUCUUGACUUUCUGCUCUUGUCUUGUUUAUGAUUUUUUAGUGUGUUAAAAUGAUUGGCAACAAACCUUUUAUAUAGGUUUUCAAGUGUCUCUUCUUCAAGGAUACAACUCUUUCAUAAAGACACCUUUUGUCUAAAAGGUAUCUCUACAUUUUUGCCAACACAACUUUUAGAUAAAGGUAUUAUUUCAAUAGUCACUUUAUGAAAAGAUAACUAUUCAUUCCAUAAGUUAUAACCUUUGAGUUGUAACUUGAAACAAUAACUUUUCAUAUUUAACUUUUAAGCAUGUGGUGUCUUUUCAAUAUGUCUCUUAACUUUUGGAUGUCAUUUUUCAAAGAGACAACUUUUUACAUGAAAACUUGCCUAUAUUCCAAUAGACAUAUUAUGUUACUUUUCGUGACAUAACUUUUGAGCUAAUGAUAGCUUUUUUGUCAUGUGACAUAGUCUUUAAUUUUGAAAAAGCACCAACAAUUUUUGUUCAAAAUAUUACCAAAAAAUUAUAUAUAACUGUGAAAUCUAUAAAGCACCCGAGCAUUUAGCUCAUUGGUUGGAGUAUGAUCUUCCUGUCUAAAGAGUAGGGUUCGAAUCCCCCCUCUCCCAAUUAUAAAAAAAAAAACUGUGAAAUAUGUAAAAGUUCUAUGCAAAUGGAUUUCUAACAACAAAAGUUAAUGAAAUAAAUAAAUGCAAAUUUAUUAUAGCGUGUUUUUUCCACUUGUUCAAAGGAAGAUUUGAUUUCAAUUGCAGCCACAGAAAUAAUUAGCAAAGCAAUAAAGAUAACACUAUCUUAACUCUUUUUUAAUCUUCCUCGUUAAACUGUUUUAUACAUAAUAUUUAAAAAAAUGACUUUUUUAUACUUACAAAAAAUAAAUAUAAGAUAUGGAAAUUGAUUUUUUUUUGAAGAGGAAAUUGAUCUAUUUUAUUUAAAUUAUAUUUUAUAUAUUUGCGAUGAAAUUUUGAAAUUCCAAAUUUUAUAACAUUAUUUAAGCGAUUAAAUAUAUAUAUAUAUUUAUUUAUUUAUUUAUUGAGGUGUUAUAUUAAUCUCCCUACCGUACAGAUAUACUUGGAUGAAUUAGAAAGAUUUCUUUUCUGUUAGUUUCGCUACCAAUUGGUCGGACAGAUUUUCUUCUUUCUUGUUUGAUUGCGUGGAAAAUCACCCAUCAGUCAUUGAGUUCUAUGAUAGGCUAUGUGUUAAACGUGUUCUGCGGUUUGGGAUUUAAUGAGUUGACUGACUUUUCAAAAGACGACAUGAAAAGAAUUAUUAUUUAAAUAUAACAUAUUUAAAUAAAUAUAUAUAUUUAUUUAAGAUAUGGAGAUUGAUCAAUUUUAUUUAGAAUUAUUAUUUUGUAUAUUUGCAAUGAAAUUUUGAAAUUCCAAAUUUCAUAACAUUAUUUAGGUCAUAUUAUAUAUAUAUAUAUAUAUAUAUUAUGUUAAGGGGUUACAUUGAUCACUGUGCGGAUAUACUUGGAUGAAUUGCCCAUGAGUGCUAUGGUAGGCUUUGUGUUAAAUGUGUUUUCUGGUUUGGGUUUAAUUAGUUGACUGACUUUUCAAAAGAAGACUUGGUUUUAACAAUAAAUCCAAGAUAACAUCAUCAUAGUGCGUCUUCACAAACUAAGCCCUUAAUCCCUUUCUCUCGCGCUGAAAUUUUAGGAUGCUAAGAGCAAAACUUCCAUUAUUCGGCCUUCUGGCCCUUGCUUUAUCUCUGUUCCCUGAUGCAUGCAUCGCUAGAGGCAAACACAAGCACUGUGGCUCUUCUUUCUGUGGAAACAUUAACAUCACUUACCCUUUUCGAUUAAAAAGUCAGCCUCGUAGUUGUGAUUACAAUCGUUAUGAACUAGUAUGCGAGAAUAACCGCACCAUUUUCCCCAUGAAAUAUGGGAAUUUCUAUGUCCAACACCUCUCUUAUAGUGACAAAACCAUUCAACUUUUAGACGUGAGUCUCGGCAACGACAACUGCUCCAUUCCUCAUAGUUCCUAUCCUUGGUACACCCCUUUCGCGAAAGAACUACAUCUCUAUCGAGCCACCACUGAAUAUAGCGUCAUGUAUCUCAUAAAUUGCACGACGCAGAUCAACAACUCUUCCGUUUAUAUCGAUGCUUUUCGUUGCACCAAUACCCCUUCCUCCUCUCAACCUCCGUACUUUUACUUUUUGGAUGAAAAUACAGCACCGUCUGAAUUCCAUGAGUCAUGCACUGUUGAAGCCCGGGUUCCAAUCAUGGUUGCCAGUAUCACCGGCCUCUCUACUUUUGAUAUUUACACAAAGCUGUUAACGGGAUUCCAACUCUCAUGGUCGACUUCCUAUGAUGAUUAUGUUUGGCUGCGGUGGGACUCAAUUGUUAACGUGUGAGGAUUUUUUUAAGUAUUGCGAAAUAUUUGGUGUUGUUUAGUUUUUGAAAAAAUAUUAAUUAUUUUUAGCAUAAAUAUGAUAAAUAAACAAAUAUGAAAUUUUUUAGUUUUUAAUUCUUUUUAAAAAGUUGACUAUAUUUCUUUUGAAGAGCAAAGUUGACAAUAUUUUUAAAUUACUUUUUUCACUAUGUAUAUAAAUUUGUAUCUUACCCAUUAGUUAUUUACUUAUACUAUAAAUAUGCUUAGUGUAAAAUUAAAAUAGAAGGAUUUAAAACAUUUUCAACAGUAAAAGUGUGCAUUUCAUUUGCCUUAUUAAGGAUUAACGUUUUUGAUGUGCUUUCUUGAAUAUUAAUUAUAGAUUGCUAUCCUUGCUCCAACUGUUGUUGCUUCCGCUGGCGAUAUAUAUUCAAAGCAACCUGGCUUUUUUCCUACCAGAUUAUUUCCUUGCACCUUAUAAAGGUAUUCUUUCUUUUCUGAGUUCAUUACUAAUUUGAGUAUUAUUUUAUUUGCCUUUACUUUCCUAGUAUCUACUAACACUUAAUUUUCGAAUUGGUAAUAUCUUAGGAGGAAUCCAGAUUCUUUGUCUUGCAAUAACAGGUACUAAAUUCUACACUUAUUUUUUUAUUCUUAAAUUCUAUAAUUAUUAUUAUAAUGAUAGUAGGAAUCUAAGAUCCAGAUUUACAUCUAUAAUAUUUUAUCAUUACAAUAAAUAUCAAGCAUAUCGAACAGAAGACUAUCCUUUCUCAACAAAAACAAAAAAAAGUAGAAUAUAAUUAGAGGAGAGAAAUCAUUGAGACCUAGUUUAGCGUUAGAAAUUUUUAUUUGUAAACCUAAUUAAGUUUUACAUGCCUUUUAUAUUUUUUUGUACGAUUUAUUUUUUGCUAAUUUAACCAUUGUAUUUCAUGCUCACUUAGAUCAAACCAUGCCUAAUUGUGGGUCAACUGAACAUGCCUAAUUUUGAUAACUAUAUAAUUUUAACUUUUGAAAAUUAUAUAUUGAGAAAGACAAUAUUCUCGACCAAUAGGAUGUGACUAACGCAUUGACUUGAAACUUUACAUGUAUUAUGAGUAUGAGUAAAAUUUUAAAUUCAAUAGUUGGUUUGUUAAAAUAUUAAUCGUAUAUGAAAUUAUAAAACGUUGUAAAAAUUAAUUAAUUUUACAGUGCUGUAACUUGAUCCUCUUUCAUAUGUGUGCAUGUGUAUGUCUGAGCAUUGCAUAUAUGUAUAUGUAUCUACGCAAGAGACUACAUACAAGAAAGUCCACCAUAAAUGAUUCAUAAAUAGUUUUGAACUACAUUAAUUAGGUUUUUUUUUAACUAGGUAUUUUUAUGAUGUUGUGAUGUUUUUUUUUGGUCAAAAUAAAAUUUAUAUGGGAUAAGGUCUAAAUUUACCAUUCUAUUUUGGACAAUGGAUCAAACGCAUCACCAUCUUUGAUCGGGUGUAAUUUUCCACUAUACUUUUAAAUUAAUUAAAAACUAAUCAAAAGUUAAAACUAACGUUAGCUUUUGACCAAUUUUGAAGUAAACUAAAAUUUAUAUUGAUAAAAAUUCCACUAGUUUAAAAAUAUAUAAUAAAUUUGAUUCAUCACCUUAAAUAAAGUGGUGGUAAAUUUUAAUUUUAUCCCAAAUUAUGUUAUGAAUUUUGUUUGGGAAAAUAUGGCAGCACAUGCCCAUGUUAAAUUACUAAAGGACAUGUGCAUAAUAUAAAAUUAUGUUGUCCAACUAAUUAAUUUAUACAUUGUUAUUUUUUUUUUGGUGAAACAGGAAUUCUAUUACUAAGAACUUUUUUGGGAAUAUCAUGCUUGAUUGCAUUGGUUAUACGCAAAUUAAGAAAGAGGCAUUUGUCGAUGGAUGACGAGAUUGAGAAUUCUCUUCAGAGUCAUAACAAUUUAAUGCCUAUAAGAUAUUCUUAUUUUGAAAUAAAAAGAAUGACGGAUGGCUUCAAGAAUAAAUUAGGUCAAGGAGGAUAUGGCUCUGUGUUUAAAGGAAAACUUCGAAGUGGUCAACUUGUUGCAAUAAAAUUGUUAAACAAAUCAAAAGCUAACGGCCAAGAUUUCAUCAAUGAAGUUGCAACUAUUGGAAGGAUUCAUCAUGUUAAUGUGGUAAAACUUAUUGGAUUUUGUGUGAAGGGAUCAAAACAAGCUCUUGUAUAUGAUUUCAUGCAGAAUGGGUCCUUAGAUAAAAUAAUAUUUUCAACUGAAAGUAACACUUUGAGUUGGCAAAAAAUGUUUGAGAUUGCAUUGGGAGUGGCUCGAGGUAUUGAAUAUUUACAUAGAGGUUGUGAAAUGCAAAUUUUACAUUUUGAUAUCAAGCCACAUAACAUUCUUCUAGAUGAGAACUUUACUCCAAAAGUUUCAGAUUUUGGCCUCGCAAAGUUGUAUUCAGUGGAUGAUGAUAUUGUUUCUCUCACAGCAGCACGAGGUACGCUAGGAUAUAUGGCUCCUGAAUUAUUUUAUAAAAAUAUUGGAGGCAUCUCAUAUAAAGCUGAUGUUUAUAGUUUUGGAAUGAUGUUAAUGGAAAUUGUUGGAAGGAGAAAAAAUUUGAAUGCCUCUGCUGAAUAUUCAAGUCAAAUUUAUUUUCCAUCAUGGAUUUAUGAUCGGUUUGAAGAAGGAGACAUCAUUGAGCUUGGAGAUGUGACGGAAAAUGAAAACAAAAUUAUGAGGAAAAUGGUAAUAGUAGCCUUUUGGUGCACACAGAUGAGGCCCACAGAUCGUCCUUCAAUGAGCAAAGCCUUGGAGAUGCUUGAAAGUGAAGUUGAGCUCCUUGAAAUGCCUCCCAAGCCUUCUUUCUCUGGAAAUGUCAACUAAAGAUAGUAAGAAUUCAAUAAACAUAAUAAAUCACAUCAUUUAUUACAAAAAUAUUAAGAAAUAUUUAAUAUAUAUUUUGUGCUAAGCAAUGUUUCACUACUUUAUUAUAGUACUUUUAUAAUUUUUGCAGUCUUGCUUAUCAUCUUAAUUCUUAUAUAUAGAAUCUGAAAUAUAUAGAAUCUUGAGUUGAUUGAUGCUGGCCUGUGUUCUCUUUUUCUGGUGGUUGAAAAUAUUUUCAAGUCAUAUUUUUCUCUUGUGCUUGUUGCGGUUUGGUUUUGUUUUUUUUUUUUCUGAUUUGUGUUUUGGUUUGGCUUUUUGCAUCAGUGGUUGUGAUUUCUGAUCUUUGUCUGUGUCUCCUAAUGCGUUUUCAAGGUGUUCUGAGGGGUUGAGUUGCGAUUUAUUCCAGGGUUAGAAUGGUUGAUGUGCUUUUGUUGAAGCCAUGAUUCCCCCUUGAUUGACUUUCUUCUGAGGCUCUUCCUUUGAAUGAUUUUGUCUCUCCUCUGUUGCUUUGAUCGUCAUGUGUUUCUCGGUUUGGCUUGUGAUGUUGAUUUUUGAGUUGUUGAUUUCCUGUGUCGUGGCGAUCUUGGUUUGUUUUAUGUUCAAAUCUUGCAUGGGGUUUUUGUGUUUUGAUUGGACCUUGGCCUUUUUUUUUGGGAGGUUUGUAUUUGCUAGUGAUUAUCUCCAUCCUUCUUUAGUGGAGACUUUUCACAGCUUUUUUGUACUCCUUUCGUAUUAACUCAAUGUGCUUUGCGUUUCAAAAGAAAAAAAAAAGGAUAGAAACCUUAAGCUUGAGGCAUAACCUUCUCUCUUAAUAUGCUCAAAAAAUCUUAAAACAAGCAAUAUGUUGUAAAAUAUAACUUUAAAAGAAAAUAUUAGAGAGAAGUAGUAAGAAUGUAAGAAAAUGUUUUAUUUCAUUUCUUGUUUUAGUGCAUCUAUCAACCAUCAACUACAAUGCCUUUAUUUAUAGGCACACAUAGAUGGAGAGGAAAUGAAUUUACAUAAAUAGAAAGGAUGAACUUAAUAGAUAAAAAUGUACAUACACUGAAUGAAACCAGGAGAUAAAAAUGUAAUGACAUAAAUAUGUACAUUGGAUAUGGGGAGAUACAUUAGAUAUUAUAAAGUACAAUAGAUAUUCACAUAUAUUUAUAACACUUUCCCUUAAAUGUUCAUUGUACUACCUCAUUAAAAACCUUAAGCCGGAAAAAUCUAGUAGGACAAAAACUAAUCAGAAGGAAAAAAGAGUAUAGUGGAUGGUCCAUAUUUGCUCCCUUUCAAUUGAGCCAUAUUGCCACUUCUGGGGUCUAUCCCUUUAAUGUCCAUUAUAUUGUCUCAUUAAAAACCUUAAGUCAAAAAAAUACUAUGGCACAAAAAUACAGUGCACCCCCUCAAUUGAUCCAUAUUGCCACUCUAGUGGCAAAUUAAUCUUGCAUCUUGUUAACUUCUCCAUUCCAAUGUCAUUUACUAAUUUCUCAAAUGUUGAUGUUGGUAAUGAUUUAGUAAAAAGAUCUGUAAGAUUAUUGGUGGAGCGAAUUUGUUUAAUGUCAACUUGUCGACUUUCCCAGAAUUCAUGAGUGUAGAAAAAUUUUGACAAGAUAUGCUUGAUCCUAUCACCUUUAAUAUAUCCUCCCCUAACUUGUGCAAUGCAAACAACAUUAUCUUUAUAAAGUAUAGUCAGAGAAUUCGUAAGUGGUGUUAAACAACAAGAAUUAUGAAUAUGCAUUAUAACAAAUCUCAACCAAACACACUCUCUUCUAACUUCAUAUAAGGCGAUAAUCUCAAAGUGGUUGGAGGAUGUAGCUAUUAGCAUUUGUUUAGUAGAGUGCCAAAAAAUGGCAGUGUCGUUAUAGCAAAAUAAAUAACUAGUUUUGAAAGCAAGGCUUUUACAGAUUAGAUUUACAUCCUGCAUCAGCAAAUCCAACUAAGCCAAAGUUAGUGGAAUCCUUGGAAUAAUAUAAUCUCAAAUCUAUAGUUCUUCUGAGAUAACAAAAAAUGUGUCAUGACCCGGAACUCCCAUCGAGCCCGUGACAACCGCCGCGACGUCCCGAUAGACAUUCAUUACUCGAAAUGUCAAUCGAAACCUCGCAAGGCUUAACAUCAGUUUUUCUCACUUCCCCCAUGAGUAUUAGUUACUAAAAUCAUGUUUUGAGAGAUUAUAAACUAUUUCCAAUUCAAAACAAUAGAAAAAUAAUUUUUUCCUCACAGGGGUAUUUUGAUCAUUUUUCCUCAAAAAUCUCGAAAUCCACUAAAAUGUAGUAAGCAAGUACAAAACACAUAAUUCAUAAUCAAAAAUGAGUUUUAAAGUCUAAAAUCUUCAUUUAAAACGAAAUUUUGAUUAUUUGGAUAUAAUAAGAAAAUAAAAGAAAUAUUAAGUAAAAUAUUCUAUUUUCUUAUAAAAUAAUAUUUAUAGAGUUAUACGUAAAUAAUUUUUGUAGCGUAAAAGCUAAAUAAAUUCAUACAUACUGUAAUACAGUAAGUCAGAGUAUUUAAUUUAAUUUGCAAUAACAAGUGGGCCCCCGAAUAACCAAAAGUAAAGAGGACAAUUGUCACGACCCGGAACUCCCAUCGGGCCUGUGACAACCGUCGCGACAUCCCGAUAGGCACUCAUUACCCCGAAUGUCGAUUGGAACCCUACAAGGCUUAGCAUCAGCUUUCGCAUCUCCCCGGUGAGCGACAGUUAUUAAAUCUUGCAUUUCAAGAAAUCAUAAGUCGUUUCCAAAUCAAAACAAUAAAAUAUUAUUUUCUGGCUCACAGGGGCAUUUUCGUUAUUUUUUUUUGAAAAUACCGAAACCCACCAAAAACAUGGUGUAAAAGCUAAAUAUGUUCAUACAUAUUUUAAAUCAAAUAACUAAAAUACAAAUUUACUUUUACAAUGACACGUGGGCCCCUAACUAACCAAUAAGAUGCGAGUCUGUGAACCUAUAAUUUUGACAAUGCAAGGCUAAUUGAAGUCCUUGAUGCAAUUGGCUAUCUACCGGCUAUCUCGAAUCUGAAAUGUGGGGAAUUGAGGGUGGUGAGAUUAUAAAAUCCCAGUGAGUAAACAGACACCAUCUAAACUAUCUAAAGGUGAGUAAAUGGAGAUAAUUAAAAAAUAAUUAACUUCGGUAAAUUUUUUACAUCACGAAUAUUCAUUUCAACCAAAUAAUCAAUAUGGCUCGUGAAUUACUCAAAACUUGGCUCAUGCCAAAUCCUGUACUCGGUGACACUUGGACUAGGGGUAUCCAACCGAGUCCGCCAAGGCUGUUAAAAAUUCAUAUUUCGCAUAAAUCAUAUUUUUAUUUCGAAACAUAGCCGUUCCUUGGCAUUGGCUGAGUCUCACUCUCACGCGGUGGUCCACAUUAAGUGCACUCAAAAAGCCCACCUCAAGAGAUACCCUACGCGCCUCUACGACCGAGGUGAGAAUAUAAAAGAGUUUACCGUGCCCCUCUAAUANNNNNNNNNNNNNNNNNNNNNNNNNNNNNNNNNNNNNNNNNNNNNNNNNNNNNNNNNNNNNNNNNNNNNNNNNNNNNNNNNNNNNNNNNNNNNNNNNNNNNNNNNNNNNNNNNNNNNNNNNNNNNNNNNNNNNNNNNNNNNNNNNNNNNNNNNNNNNNNNNNNNNNNNNNNNNNNNNNNNNNNNNNNNNNNNNNNNNNNNNNNNNNNNNNNNNNNNNNNNNNNNNNNNNNNNNNNNNNNNNNNNNNNNNNNNNNNNNNNNNNNNNNNNNNNNNNNNNNNNNNNNNNNNNNNNNNNNNNNNNNNNNNNNNNNNNNNNNNNNNNNNNNNNNNNNNNNNNNNNNNNNNNNNNNNNNNNNNNNNNNNNNNNNNNNNNNNNNNNNNNNNNNNNNNNNNNNNNNNNNNNNNNNNNNNNNNNNNNNNNNNNNNNNNNNNNNNNNNNNNNNNNNNNNNNNNNNNNNNNNNNNNNNNNNNNNNNNNNNNNNNNNNNNNNNNNNNNNNNNNNNNNNNNNNNNNNNNNNNNNNNNNNNNNNNNNNNNNNNNNNNNNNNNNNNNNNNNNNNNNNNNNNNNNNNNNNNNNNNNNNNNNNNNNNNNNNNNNNNNNNNNNNNNNNNNNNNNNNNNNNNNNNNNNNNNNNNNNNNNNNNNNNNNNNNNNNNNNNNNNNNNNNNNNNNNNNNNNNNNNNNNNNNNNNNNNNNNNNNNNNNNNNNNNNNNNNNNNNNNNNNNNNNNNNNNNNNNNNNNNNNNNNNNNNNNNNNNNNNNNNNNNNNNNNNNNNNNNNNNNNNNNNNNNNNNNNNNNNNNNNNNNNNNNNNNNNNNNNNNNNNNNNNNNNNNNNNNNNNNNNNNNNNNNNNNNNNNNNNNNNNNNNNNNNNNNNNNNNNNNNNNNNNNNNNNNNNNNNNNNNNNNNNNNNNNNNNNNNNNNNNNNNNNNNNNNNNNNNNNNNNNNNNNNNNNNNNNNNNNNNNNNNNNNNNNNNNNNNNNNNNNNNNNNNNNNNNNNNNNNNNNNNNNNNNNNNNNNNNNNNNNNNNNNNNNNNNNNNNNNNNNNNNNNNNNNNNNNNNNNNNNNNNNNNNNNNNNNNNNNNNNNNNNNNNNNNNNNNNNNNNNNNNNNNNNNNNNNNNNNNNNNNNNNNNNNNNNNNNNNNNNNNNNNNNNNNNNNNNNNNNNNNNNNNNNNNNNNNNNNNNNNNNNNNNNNNNNNNNNNNNNNNNNNNNNNNNNNNNNNNNNNNNNNNNNNNNNNNNNNNNNNNNNNNNNNNNNNNNNNNNNNNNNNNNNNNNNNNNNNNNNNNNNNNNNNUUUUUUUGUUUUAUUAAUUCCUUAAAUUCUAGCCAUCCAUUUAUUUCCAAAUUUUCACCAUACACUUGUCCCACAUAUCCAUAGCUUAGAUAAAAUUCUCAGACUUAUCCAAAGUCUUGGUGGAGUAAUUUUUUGAAAUUACACUUUUAUCCCCGUAAAAGUCAAAAAUUACAUUUUUGCCCCAAAAACUGAAAAAUUUCCCAUAGACAUAUUUUUCAUCCCUAAUACUCAUACCAUUCUCCAAUUUGUCAAAUGUGAUCUAAAUUCUCUCAAAAUCUCAAAUUUUGUUCGCAUAUGGAAAAAUUACGAUUUUGCCCCUACACUUCAGAAAUCACCGAAAUUAAACUUUUUCAUUGCCAAACUCUCAAAUUAAACUCUAAUAAGUUUAAUAUAAUCAAUCUUAAUCAAAUGGGAUUAAAAAUUUCCAUAUUCGUCCUCAAGUGGCAAAUUACCAUUUUACCCCUAAAAUACUUAAAGUUUGGAUUAACUCCAUAUCGGACCUCGAACUCUGAAUCCUCAUUUUAAAUCAACCCAUAGGUUUUAGUUCUCUCAAAUUCAUCCUCGAUUCUCUGUUUAAACUAGUUCAAGACUUAUUUGACUGAACCGUACCAUCAGGGGCAAUAUCGUCUUUUAAUGAUUCCUCGAACUUCCUAAACAUACAAACAUUCUAUUGAGUAUGUAAAUGACGUCGUAAUUAUUUUAUAGAAUCGGGUUUGACAACAGUGAACCUACAGUUUGAAGGAAUGCAAAUCCAAGGGUAGUCCUCGAUGAACUCAGCUAUCUACAGCCUAAUCUGAACCUGAAAUGGGUGAAAAAGAGAAUGGUGAGAUUUUAUAAUACCAGUGAGUAAAUAAACAUCAUUCAAAAGAUCUAAAGUCGAGUAAAAGGAGACAAUUAAAAUAUUUCAUCUCAAUAUGUAUUUCAUAACAUAAAUAUUCAUUUCAUUUAAAUAUUUAACAUGGCUUAUGAGUAUCUUAAAAGCUUGGCUCCUGCCAAAAUCAUUCUCGGGGAUACCUUGGCCGAGGCAUCUAACCGAGUCUGCCAAGGCUGUUAAAAAGUUCGUAUACACGUAAACAUAUUUUUAGUUUGAAAAACAUAGUCAUUCUUUGGCGUUAGCGGAGUUCAUCAUCACGAGGUGGUUCGACGUGACGUGAACUCUAUCCAUACCUCAAGAGAUACCUUACGCACCUCUCUGACCAAGGUACAUAUAUAUAUAUAUAUAUCUGGAUUCCGUGCCCCUCUAAUGGGCUGGUCCACAGAAUCUGCCUACUGUAGCAAGCUAAACCCACCAUACAAUAAAAUUUUGACAACAUGACAUGGCUAAUAUUUUACUAUCCAGCAUACAAGGGUAAAAUAAAACAAUUUAUAUAAUUCAUAAAACACAACCCAGCCAAUCAUGCCAACACAAUAACAAUAUAACAUAAGCCAUCAAUUUCCAAUCAUAAAUUUACAACAUACCGGUGGUCUCCAAUUACUCUAUUUUCAAAAUCGUUAUUUCGUUUCAAGACAAUUUAUAAAAUCUUUUCAUUUAAACAUAUUUUUGUUCAUUAAACCUAAAAUUAGCCAUUUAACUCAUUUUUCAUAAAAUUUCACCAAAAUCGAAUUAAAACAUACUUUAGAUAAUUAAAAUGAUAAUAAGGUUACUUACUAUUUCAAGAGUAGAAUUUCUAAAGUACUUUGACUACCGAUCCUCGAGUACAAUUUUUUUGCCUUUAUCGGAGGAUUCACCACCUAGACAUAGUACAAAAUCGAGAAACUUACUACAUUGGUACUAAAUCGAAAUUAAACUAAUUUAGACUACUAAUACAUGAUAUGGAAUGCAAAAAUGUCCGAAUAGCCGUUUAAAUACGGUAUUCGACCUAAUUCGCACUAUUCUCGUUGUAAUUGGCUAAAACCUCUAAUUUAACUCCAAAUCGAUUUCUUUCACUUUCUACACUCCAAUUAUACUUAAAAUACCUCAAUGAUUGUGAAUGUAAUUCAAUUUAUCUGUCCGAACCAUAAAUCUCACAUGUUUAUACAUUAGGUAAAAAUUCAAAUUUUCAUGCCAAAAUUUCUCAUUAAAUUUCUAGCCUCACCAAUCAUUAAAUACCGUCAAAAUAUCAUGAAAUAUCAUCAAUUUCAGCCUCAAUAUCCUCCCUAGAAAAUUCGGCCUCUUAUGGGUUUGUGAAGAACAAAGUGAUUUCUUACUAGAUUUUCAUACUUUCCAUUACUAAACAACCAAAAACACUUAAUUAACUUGAAAUCUAGCAAAAUUAAUGCUCAAAACCUCUCCUCUCAAAUUCGGCCAGCAUGGGUUCAUCAUGAAAACUUGAGUUCUAAGCAUGGAAAAUGAAAAAAAAAGCAUGGGUAGUGUAAAUCACAAGAUAAAAUCACAAAAUUUUACCUUUAUUAACUUAAUCCCUUAAAAUCCCACACUUUUUCUUCAAUUUUCCCACCUAGGUUUUGUUCUUUCUUUGUUCUUCUUCACUUCAUACUUUGGCCAGCCAUAAUGAAGAAAAUAGGCUGAUUUUUGCUGAUUUUAAAGCUAAAAAAAUAAAUGGAUAUAAACUUGACACAUGUCACCAUCCCAUUGGUCCAUUUUUUUAAACUUAACAAUUAAGCAAUCUCUCUCCACCACUUAAAUUUUCUUCAAUUAUCCAUGAUAAUAUUGGAUAAAAUCCAUAUGCUGGACAAGUGUCGGGUGUGUAAAACUACAAUUUUGCCCCUGAGGUGGCAAAAUUAUCAUUUUACCCCUAUGCUUCGAAAAAUACCGAGAUUACAAUUUUUUUCACUUCUCAACCUCAAAUCAUGCUUCAAUACUCAAAUCAUACUCUAAUAAGUCAAAUGGGGCCAAAAAGAUCUUUUCUAAAAAUUUUCAUUUUGUCACCAGGUGGCAAAUGACCAUUUUGCCCCUGGAUAGUGAAAAUUUCGAUUUGACUCCAAAUUGAUCCUUAAACUCCGAAUUACCAUCUUGAGUCAUCCAUGGACUGUGAAGCUCUUAAUUUCACCUUAAAAUUUCUAUUUGAUCUAGUUCAAGGCUUAAAUCAACUUUGUUGUACCUCUAGGUACAAUACUUACUUUUGUAAAUUUUUCAGGACUCUCCUAGCAUGCAAUCAUGCUAUCAUCACAUGUAUGUCAUGACAAGUAUUUUAUAAGGUUAAGCUUUACAAAAUAUGUUUUAUUCCAUUUCAAUGUCUCCAAGUUGGCUCAAAACAAAAACGUGCCAGCAAAUUUUCUACAAAAACGAUAUUGAGUCUCGUACAUUGUGCCAAGUACACCAAAGUCCCAAUUACAUUGAGAUAUGGUACUUUAGGAGCUAGUAUAUCCUCAUUAGGUUCUCUAGGAUGAAACGAAUCCUUUUGGGGAUUAAAAAACCUUAUAACCAUAAGGGUCUCGAAGGAUGAACCUCAUCCAUGUUAAAACGUUUAAGCAACCUCUCAAUAUAUGCUGACCGAUGGACAAGUAUUCCAUUUGCUUUGUGCUCAAGUUCUAAACUAAGACAAAGUCUGGUUUUACGAAAACUUUUAACUUCAAACUCCCUUUUCAAAUAUUCAACAGUUUUAGAUAACUCUUCUAAGUUCUAAUCAAAUUCAUAUCAUCGACAUAAACUUCUAUCAUAGCAAAUCCGAUUUUUGAUUUCUUAAUAAACACGCAUGGGUAGAUAGGAUCAUUUUUGUACCCUUCCUUAAUUAAGUACUUGCUUAAACGUUGAUGCCACAUGUGACAGGAUUGUUUUAACCCGUACAAAGAUUUUUGCAACUUUGUUGACAAUAAGUUACAAGGAGUGUAUGCUUCAGGCAUUUUGAAUCUCUCGAGAAUUUUCAUAUAAAUAUCGAAGUCUAAUGAACCAUAUAGAUAUGUCGUCACAAUGUCCAUAAGACGCAUUUCUAGUUUCUUAGAAACUACUAAGCUAAUAAGGAAAUGAAAGAUAAUCAUAUCCAUCACAGGUGAAUAUGUCUUAUCAUAAUCAAUCCCAUGUCUUUGAGAGAAACCUUGGGCAACAAGUCGGGCUUUAUACCUCACGACCUUAUUUUUCUCAUUUCGUCUCCUAACAAAUACCUACUUGUAUCCAAUGAGCUUUACAUUGUUAGGGGUUCAAGAUAUAGGCCCGAAAACUUCUCGUUUAGCUAAGGAAGCUAAUUCAGCAUAGAUUGCUUCCUCCCAUUUGGGCCAAUCUUGCCUUUGAUGAUAUUCGAUAAUAGAUCAUAGUUCAUAAUCAUUGUUUAUAAUCUCAUGAGCAACUAAGAGUGGAAAAACAUUAUCGAUGAUUAUCUUAUUCAGAUCCCAAAUCUCAUUACAAUAUGUAAUGAAAAUCUCAGUAUUUUUAGGGUCGACGGUCUUUUCAUGGGUUUGUGCCUCUUUAUGGGCAAUAAGUUCUCCUGGAGUAAGCUCAACACCAGGCUCUUCUGGAGUGGAUUCGUGAAUCUUCCCCUUUUAUUUUUGAGGGACAAUGUUUUUUUAUCCUAUUUGUCUUUCACACUUCAAAUGUGAGCCAUUUUGAUCUAUUUCAGCCUAUUCUUCAAGAAUAGUAAUCCUAGUUGGAACAUUCAUAGUUGGAAUAUGAGGCUUUGUAAUCUCGGCAGCAUCAUUAAAUGCGUCAGAAAGUCUAUUGGCAAUAGCUUGCAAAUGGAUUAUACGCUACACCUCAUUUUCACAUUUAAGAGUUCUUGGGUCUAAAUGGGAUAGAUUUUUCUCAUUCCAAGAGAAAAUCUCAACUAGUUGUUGUUUCCCAGCCAUGGAAGCCUUAGGUAUUCCAAUUAGUAGAAACAUUGUUUCAUCGAAAUGACAAUCUGCAAAUCUGAAGGUAAAAAGAUCACCCAUUGUUGGUUUUAAGAACCUAAUAAUAAAUGGUGAAUCAAACCCAACGUAAAUGCCCAAAUGGUGUUGGGGAACAAUUUUUGUCCUUUUUGGCGGUGUUACAAGCACCUACAUAGCUCAACCAAAGGUGCGUAAAUGUGAAAUGUCUGGCUCAUAGCCUAGAACCACCUGCAUGAGAGAUUGCAAGAGACUAGCAGUGGGGUGCAUCUAAUUAGUGCCAUCACAUGCAAAAUAGCAUGACCCCACGUUGAAUAGUUGAGCUUUGUCCUCCAUAAUAAAGUCCGAGCAAUAAUUUGAAUUUAAUCAAGAAUUCUGCCAAUCCAUUCUGAGUAUGAACAUGUGAAAUCAAGUGUUAAACCUUAAUUCUUGGUGAAGCACAAUAUACAUCAAAGCUCUUUGAUGUAAAUUCACCAACAUUAUCCAUCCUUUUGCUUUUGAUUGGAUAAUUAAGGAAAUGUGGACAAAGCUUUAUAAUCUGUGCAAGUAAACAUGCAAAUGCGAUGUUGCAUGUAGAUACCAGGCAAACAUGGAACCAUUUGCAGGAUGUGUCCCUUAAUACCAUGAAAUAUCUGAACAGCCCACUUGCCAAUUGUAUUGGUCCACAAAUAUUAACUUAGAUUCUUUGCAAUAAUGAAAGGGAUUCAAGAUUCACCUUUGUCAUAGAAGGUUUAUUAAUGAGCUUUCCUUGUAAACAACUUUCACAAGUAUAAUCUUUGGACAACAAAAUCUUUUUAUCCUUUAAAAGGUGUCCUUUAGUAUUAUGGAUUAUCCUACGCAUCAUUGUAGUUCUCGGGUGACCUAGGCGAUUAUGCCAAAGUCUAAACUCAUCGAGAUUUACCAGUUUCUAACACACGGUAGCUUAGGAUUUCCUGAUUCGAGUCUACCUCGACCCUAAAGUCCUAUAUCAAUGAUGAGUUACUUUAUUUUGAUAUCACUUAUCAUGCACCUACGUUCCAACCUAAAUGACAUGUCUAUUACCGAUGCAAGUCCUUAUUUAUAAAUAGAAAACUCAUCUCAUCUCUUACUGUGUAGGAUCAUGACACUCACAUUCUAAUUUAAAGUUCAAUUUGCUAUUUAAUGCAACCAACACAAAUACUAUUUCGAUGUGUAUCCAAUAAAUUCCCUAGGUUCGAAUUUUCUUUUGGGACGAAGGUUUGGGUUUUGAAUUGGUCGAAAGGUGGUUAAGAAAGAAGAGAAGGUUUUUUAAGGGAGAUUGGGGCCAUGCACAAAAAUGGUGCCGUUUGAGAAAAAAAAAGAAGAAAAGGAAAAAAAGCACGGACCUAAGCAACCUCGGCCCAAGUUAUAGCCCGAUUUGUGAAUUAAAACCAAAAAGGUUAAAGCCCAACCUAGUUGGAUCUUGGAGGUAUGAUUUGAGUUUAUUUUGUGUUAUUUUGAGCUUAUCAUUUAUUAUUUUAUUAUUUGUAAUGUAUUUAGUCAUUUUUUAUUUUUUUUAAAUGUAAUUUUAAUAAAUAUUUAACAUUAAUAAAAUUAUAAAUAAAUAAAAUAGUUAUUUGAAUUAAUUCCUCACGAUGGAAUUUUAUUUGAAUUAUGUAUCAAUAUUUUUUAAAUUGAUUUUCCUAGGGUGAGGAAUAAUUUGAGACUCCAUCAAAGUGUUGGAAGAGCUUAUUAAAAUUUAUUCCAACAUCCAAGUUACUUCACAUAAUCAUCAAAUAAAGAAAUAUUUGUAUUUUCUUUCUGCUACCUGGCUUGUUUUGUUUCUACUAUUUCUCUACUUCCCUAUAUGCUACCUCAAAUGAAAUAAAAUGUUUCCUCGCCUUUCAAAAAAAAUGUAGAAAAAAUGUUAAUUUUAUUUUUCUCUUAUUUUAUACAAAGAAAAUGUAUUAUAUUUUAUAUAUGUAUAUAAGUAUGUAUGUAUUUAAUUAUAUAUGUACAUAUCUAUAGUAUUAGCUGUUCAAACUUUGUUUGUGCAAUUUUUUUUUCAUACGUAAGUAACAACUUAGAAAAGUACAGUCUUUGCCAUUAUAUAUAUAUAUAUAUAUAUAUAUAUAUAUAUAUAUAUAUAUAUAUGCAUGUAAAUCUCUCUUUAUUUGUAAUUUUUUUUGUCCAAAAUGUUCUAUCCUAAUUACAAUAUUUUUAAUAACACAUUUAAAAAUUAAAUGCAAAUUUUAUUGGAGAGUGUUUUUUACUUUGGCUUUAGACUCCAGCUAAUUAAAUUUUCAAAGGAAGAUUUGCUUUCAUUUGCAACCAGAGAAUAAUUAGCGGACAACCAAGAUAAGAUUAUCCUAGUUCUUAUUUAACCUUUCUUUUUGAACUUUUUUAUACAUAUCCAAAAAAAUAUAAAUUACGGAACUGAUUAAUCCAUUUAGAAUUAUUAUUUUGUUUUUCAAUAAGUCGAUGGUGGAAUUUAAGACUACACAAAUGAAUUUAUAGGAUUGUUUAAGUGAUUUUAUUUAUAUUUUAUUGAGGGUUUAUUUUAAUCUUCCUACUGUGACUAUGUAGAUGAACUUAGAUAGAUUACAAAGAUUCCUUUUCUGUUAGUUUCGUUACGUGUAAAAUCAGCUCAGAGCUAUGAUUGGCUUGUGUUGAAGUAAUUGGCUUUAAUUAAUUAGUUGACUUGACUGACUUUUCAAACGAAGACAAGUGGGGAGAAAAACUGCCCCAUUAAAAGUUGACUGAAACAUGUGCAAUUUUGCUAAUAUCUGCAUGUGAUUUUUUUGUCCAAAAUAUUACCAAAAAAAAUUUUAUAGAACAGUGAUGAAAUGCCCCAUACUUUGAUAUGGUGAUAAAUAAAGUUGAUCGGAUGCGAAUUGAGACAUAAUAAGGUAUUUUGGGAACUAAAGAGACAAGAUAAAAUUUUUGGAAUAAAAUAAUAGUAAAAUAUUAACAUUUAACCGGAUGUCGAAAUCAGUCAUGAAGAAGGAUCAUAUGGUUAAUCCGAGUAGGGGAUAAGAUGUCAAGUCUGACUCUAUAAAAUACUUGUCAUGACAUACAUGUGAUGGAUAACAUGUUUACAUGCUAGAAGAGUCCCGAAAAAUUUACAAAAGUCGAUAUUGUACCUAGAGGUACAACAAAGUUUAUUUAAGUCUCGAACUACAUCAAAUAGAGAUUUUAGGGUGAAAUUAAGAGUUUCACAGUCCAAGGAUGACUCAAAAUGGUAAUUCAGAGUUUGAGGAUCAAUUUGGAGUCAAACCAAAAUUUUCACUAUACAGAGGUAAAAUGGUCAUUUGUCACCUGGGGACAAAAUGAAAAUUUUUACAAAAGAUUUUUUUGGCCCCAUUUGACUAAUUGGAGUAUGAUUUGAGGCUUAGAAGUGAAAAAUUUUAAUUUCGGUAAUUUUCGGAGCAUAGGUGUAAAAUGGUAAUUUUGCCACCCCAAGAGCAAAACAGUAUUUUCCACCACCAGAACACUUGUCCAGCAUAUGGAUUUUAUCCAAUUUUAUCAUGGAUAAUUGAAAGAAUUUAUAUGGUGGAGAGAGAAAGCUUAAGAGUUAAGAAAUAAAAAUGGACCAAUGAAAUGGUAACACAUGGCAUAUUUAAAACCAUUAAAUAUUUAACUUUAAAAUUAAUACAAAAUCAGCCCAUUUCUCAUUCAUAUGGCUGGCCAAAGAAGAACAAAGGAGGAAAGGAAAAAAAACAAGAACCCUAGGUGGGAAAAUUCAAGAAAAAGUGCAGGAUUUCAAGGGAUUAAGCUAAUAAAUAUAAAAUUUCUUGAUUUUGACUUGUGAUUUACACUACCCAUGCUUUCUUUUUCAUUUUCCAUAGUUAGAUUUCAUGUUUGCAUGGUGAAUUCAUGGCUGGUUAGAAUGGGUAUGGAGAGAGAAUGAAGUUGGAUUGAUUUGAUUCUAAGUUAUGUUAGUGUUUUUAGUUAGUUUAUCAUGUCCAGAAACAAACCAACAAGAAAAAUUUAUUUUCUCUCAUUACCCAUCAUUGGUCGAAUUUUCUGGGGAGGAUAUUGCGGCUGAAAUUGAUGAUAUUUCAUGAUAUUUUGGUGAUAUUUGAUGUUUGGUGAGGCUAGAAAUUAAAUGGGAAAUUUUGGUGCGAAAAUCUAAAUUUUUGCUCAACGUAUGACAUGUGCGAUUAUCAAUCCGGGACUAAUAAAUUGAAUCUCAUUCACAGUCACUGAGGUAAUUUAGGUAUAUUUGGAGUGUAGAAAGUGAGAAGAAUUGAUUUGGAGUUAAAUUGGAGAUUUUAGCCGAUUAGACCGAGUAUAGUGUGACUUAGGUCGAAUAUCACAUUUAAGCAAUUAAUCGGACAUUUUGCAUUUCAUAUCAUGCAUUAGUAGUCUAAAUUAAUUUAAUUUUGAUUUAGUACCAAUGUAAUAAGUUUCUCGAUUUUGUAUUGUGUCAAGGUGGUGAGUCCUCUGACAAGGGCAAGGAAAUUGUACCCGAGGAUCGAUAAUCGGAGUACUUUAGAAAUUAGACUCCUGAAAUAGUGAGUAACCUUACCAUCAUUUUAAUUAUCUAAAGUAUGUUUUUAAUCGGUUUUGGUGAAAUUUUAUGAAAAUGAGUUUAAAUGGUAAAUCUUUGUGUUUUACAAACAAAAUGUGUUUAAAUGAAAAGAUUUUAUAAAUUGUCUUGAAAUUGAAUAAUGAUUUUGAAAAAUAGAGUAAUUGGAGACCACUUGUUAUGUUGUGAAAUUUAUAAUUUGAAUCGAAUGGCUUAUGACAAUAUUUGCAUGAAUGGNAUAAUGAUUUUGAAAAAUAGAGUAAUUGGAGACCACUUGUUAUGUUGUGAAAUUUAUAAUUUGAAUCUAAUGGCUUAUGACAAUAUUUGCAUGAAUGGAUGAAUUGAUAUUUGUGUUGAAAUAUAUGAAAUGUGCAUUUAGCCUUGGAAGGUUGUGAAUUACAAUAAUUGCCAUAUCAUGUUAUUGAAUUUUAUUGAUUGGUGGAAAAAUUAUUAGCUUACUACAGUAGGCGGGUUUCCGUGGACUAGCCUAUUAGAGGGGCACGGUAAACCCCAUUAUAUUUUACUUCAGUUGGAGAAACGAGUAGGGUAACUCCCGAGGUAUAACUUUUAGAGUUCACUUCACGCCAAACCACCACAUGAGGUGGAACUUGACCAACGCCAAGGAACGGCUAUAUUUUUAAAAUAAAAACAUGUUUAUGUGUACGUAACUUUUUAAUAGCCUUGGCGGACUCGAUUUGGGAUAGCCCUCGGCCAAGGUAUCCUUGAUAAUUGAGUAUGAGAAUAAUUUUUGGCAUGAGCCAAGCUUUUAAGAAAUUCAUAAGCCAUACUGAUUACUUGAUUUAAAUAAAUUGAUUUCAUUUGGUUGAAAUAAGUUGAAAGAUGAUAAAUUACAGUUUGAUGAAAUGUUUUAAUAGUCUCCUUUUACUCGACUUUAGAUAUUUUGAAUGAUGUUUGUUUACUCACUAGGAUUUCAUACUCUCACCACCCUCCUUUCUAUCCAUUUCAGGCUUAGAAUAGAUUGUAGAUAACUGAUUAUCAGCGAUGACUACAAUUGGACUUGCCACAUCCAAAAACUGUAGGUUCAUUUUUUUUAUACUUUUUGUCAUUCGUGGGCCCACACGUCACUAUAAAUUAAAUUUUAUACUUUGGUUAUCUGUAUUACAGUAUAAAUGAAUCUAUUUUGCUUUUACGCUGUAAAAAUUAUUUACGCAAUGUUCUAAAAAUAUUAUUUUAUAAGAAAAUAGAAUAUUUUGCUUAAUAUUUCUUUUAUUUUCUUAUUAUAUCCAAAUAAUCAUAAUUUCGUUUUAAAUGAAGAUUUUAGACUUUUAAACUCAUUUUGAUUAUGAACUAUGUAUUUUGUACUUGUAAAUUACAUUUUUUACCGGUUUCAAAAUUUUUGAGAAAAAUGACCAAAAUACCCUUAUGGGACAAAAAUUAUUAUUUUAUGUGUUUUAAGUUGGAAAUAGCUUAAAAUCUCUUAGAACGUGAUAUUUGGCAACGGUUACUCACAGGGGAAAUGAGAAGCUGAUAUUAAAGUCUUGUGGGAUUCCAAUUGACAUUCCGGGUAACGAAUGUCGAUCAGGACGUCACGGCGGUUGUCACGGGCUAGAUGGGAGUUUCGGGUCAUGACAAUUAGAGUGGUAUCAGAGCUUUUGAUUUUAAAGAUUAGAGCUUUUGGGUUUAAAAUUGCUUUAAAAAUUUACAGUGUCAGUGUGGCCCCAAGUCCAGUUAAGUUAAGUUAAGCCAGGUUAGGUUGAAUAAAAUGUAUGUGUCUGCAUAUAGAGCCUAAGGUUGCCUAAACUUGCUUGUUUCCUCUUAUAGAUCUUAUGGGAGCUAUAGGAAUUCCUGUUCCCAAUAAUCCACUUCCUUGUUAAGGUCAUGCAAAGGUCAUAAGUAGGGUCGUUGUCUAGGUUUAAGAUGCCACCCGUGACAUGAGCCAGUGUUAGAGAGAUCUUAAAACGAAUGCUCCUAAUGAAAGAUUAAUGAAAUGAUAUAACCCUCCGAUUAAGGAUGGAGAAAUUUAGAAUUGGACUAAUAGACCGUGAUAAUUUAUUCAUUUGGUGGAGUUAUAAUUGAACACAUGGUUGUCAAUUGGAAAAAGAUUUGAGAACUAUGGAUUGUAUUGGGGUUAAUAUAAAGAAGCACGUGUAAUAAUGGUAAUAAGGGGCACAAUUUGGUUAGAAUGAAUAGUGAUGGUUGUAAUUCACUUGGAGUGUAUAAAUUAAGUAUUGAGGUAAGAGUAAGCCUAUACUUAUGUGCAUGAAGAUAAGAACACUAUAUUAAUUGAGCUUGUUAUGCCAAUAUAUAAGUGGUGUUGAGAUUUUGAAAUAUUUUAUAGGUGAAUAUGUGUUGAAUAGGUACAGCAGCUUAGAGGGAACUGAUGUUGAUUUCAAUUAAGCGAUUGCGAGAUUUCAAGAAUUAAUUAGACCUAUUAUAGUUCAUGGAUAUAAGCAGGUGAAUUAACUCGAGAAUGAGUAUCAAUGAUUACUAUAAUUGAUGUGUGGUCAUGAAGUAAGAUGUUAGUAAACAAAUCUGCUCUAAGGAUGAGCUUGAACUUUGUUAUGCAUAGCAAAAGGGGGAGCUAAGGGAUUAAAGAACUAGAUGUGGAAUUGGCAGCUUGAGGUUAAAUGACUUGGAAAUGUCAAAUCCAGUCUAAGUGCCAUAUGAAGUUCUAUAAUUGAGAUUAAUAUACGAAUUACUUGAAAGAUCAAUUUAAAAGUUUAUUCGAUUCAAAGUGUGGCCUAUGAUACGAAUGAUCAGUCUUGAAGGUGAUCUCCCCAAAGUAAGGAAUUUAGAAAAUGCUGAUGUUUGGAUAUACUUUAAGAGAGAGAACUUCUACAUCCUAAGUUUAGGACAACUUUGAUUUUAUGAUCGCAAAGGCAAGGUGAAAUAACUAAGUAAAUUAUUUACUUAAUAAAUGUGAUUGGUUAUUGAUGAAUAAAGUCAAUAUCUUAACAUUUAGUGGUGUACAAUUUGAUAAUUAUGUAUUUAAGAGUUAUUUGGAGACAAUUCCUUCAUCAAAUUUGCACUAAAUGCUAUGGUAAAGGCAUAUCAAUGUUAAUAUGAAAAUGUAUCUAGGAAUGAUCUUAACAUAUCACCAAAGGAGAAUUAAACAUGUUGAAAUUAAUGUUCUAAUAGUGUGCAUAUGAUUGAAAGCUAGUUUGUAAGUUGUAGUUUUCAUGAUUAUGAAAUAUAUAAAGAUUAUCAAUAUAUGGGCAUACACUUGGAGUUAUAAUUUACAAGUUUGGAGUAUUUAAGAUAUGAUUAAAUGGAAUUAGCAUUAGUUAAGGUACGUAAAUCUUUUAAUUAAUUUCUGUGGAGUAUGCAUGAUAGUAAAAUGGAGGAACAUAGUGUCGUGAUACUAUAUGGUGAAGUUACUAUACAAUAUGGAAAGAGUAUUCUAAAGUGGGAUUUAUUGAUUGUUGACAAGUGUUAUAGGAUGAGAUGAAUUUGAAAAUAUUGACUUUACCUAUUAUAUGUGAUGAGCACAAGAGGAUAUAAAUGGUUAUGAAACACAUGAUAUAUGUCUAGAAGGGAAAGCCACUGCUUGAGAAUGAUUGAUGUGGUGACUUUGAAUGUAGACAAAUAGCUUUGAUGAGGAUUUUUCUAAUAGUUACAGCGCCGCAGCACUGACUGUCCAACGCUGUAAUGCUCUGAAUACCUCAUGCCUAUGAUGCAUGAGUAUGAUGGAAGUGGCACAAUAAUAAACUUACAAAUUGAAUUUUGGCUAUUGGUCAUUGAGCUUUAUUAUUUGGGAGUUUUAAAAAUUCUGGAGAAUGUUUACCUAAAUAAAUUAAAAAGCUUCUUUAUUGCCUCAUGUGUGAGCAUAUAAUAAAAAAAAAUUCUUGAGAUGGCUACCAUGAGAUAAGAUACCAAGAGAUGAAAGUAUGAAUGAAGAAUUACGAGACCGAUAUAGAAAACCAGUUUAUAUAGAGUAUCAUUAUGAGAACUUGCAAUUUCUAUCUUGAUUCAGUUAAAUGACAAGGGUUAGUAACAACAUGAGGCCAAUUGUGUGGCACCCUAGAAACCUAUGAAGAUGAGUUAGGGAUUGAAUGGAUGAGUACGUAUUUAUAUACCUUUAAGAUUAAGUGUUUUAAGAAUACAUAAACAUCUUUGAGAAGAAAUUUCUAGUCAUACAUGGCAAGUACGAAAUGUGAUAUUUUUAAAACUUGUUGAGGAGCCUAACGGCUAAGUCACAAGUUAAGUGAUCAUAUGCUGUGAGACAUAAGUUUAAGGUAGAUAUUCCCAAGGAAAUACUCAAGAAGAGUUUUGCUACGGAUUUUGUGGAAGCUAGCAUUAAGUUAUGUGGCUGUAAAAAGGAAGCUUUAAGUUGGAAGUGAAAUUCAUAUUGACAUUGAAAAGUACGUAGAAGGACUUUAUUUCAAGUCUUACAAUUUUAAGUACAAACUGCAGAUUGGUCUAGGGAGAAUGAUAUCACAUUAUUAUGGAAGAACAGAACAAAGGAUGAAUGAAGAUAAUUUGGAUAAUGAAGCUUGAUAAUGAAAAUUUCCUAAGGUAGUAUGGAAACUGGAAUUUGAAAAUGCAUAAGGCAUGCAUGAUUAGAAACAGUCUUAGUUUUUAAGUGACAUUUAGUAGGUGAGAUGUGAUUAAUGACAUUGUGAUGUGAGGACAUAGCAUGAUAAAACUCAAGCAUAUGGUUGGAAAUGAUAUAAAUGAUAUGAAGUUAUACGCAAGUAUAAUAAGAAGGUUGACAUGCACUAUAAGAAUUAUUAUAUUGAAACUAAGAUUGGGAUGUGGAUGAAUAAAGGGGAAUGUAGUCCAAGGCAUGUGAACACAUGGAUCCCUAUACAUAAUGAGAGAUGUUGACAUUUGAAAAUGCAUGUACAUAUGUAUAUAUGAAAUUGAUAAUUUGACUAACUAAGGUGAAGAAUGGUUCUCAGUAAUUGGGAGAUUUUGAAAUAAUGUCUAGAGAGGUCAGUGAGCUAAAGUGUUAACGGGCAUGCAAUGAACGAUUAAAGUUAUGAGUAACUUUGAAGGUAAGCCUUGGAUUGUUUAAGUUCUUAAUGGAACUCUGUUAAAGGAAGGGUAUGGACCAAUAUAAGAUGAAUGAAUCAAGGUUGAGAAAUUUGGCGUGGAGCAAAUUAAUAAAAUGAUAAUUAGGUAUACAUAAGUAAGUAUAAUAGGUAAUCAAAAUCGGUAUAAUUGAGAUGAAGUUAUGGUUCAAAUUUAAUAAGGGUAAUAAAGGCAUGCUUGGUGACUCAAUAUAAGAAAUCAUGAUUGUGAAAAGUACUGCUGAUCUGGCUUCAAAGGAUGAUAAUUGCCAUAAAUAAAGCAUUUAACUGAACUGAAGGAGAACGAGGUAAAUAAAUUGAAUGUCCCUAUAGAAGGAAAAAGGAAUAGGAUCAUAGAAGGAGAUUGAUAACGUAACAUUGACGUGAAUUCGAGGACGAAUUCUAUUUAAGUGGGGGAGAUUGAAAUGCCCCAUACUUUGAUAUGGUGAUAAAUAAAGUUGGUCAGAUAUGAAUUGAGGCAUAAUAAGGUAUUUUGGGAACUAAGGAGAUAAGAUAAAAUUUUUGAAAUAAAAUAAUAUCUUAUUAAUAAAAUAAUAGUAAAAUAUUAAUAUUUAACCGAAUGUCGAAAUCAGUCAUGAAAAAAGAUCAUAUGGUUGAUCCGAGUAGGGGAGAAGAUGUCAAGCCUGACUCUAUAAAAUACUUGUCAUGACAUAUAUGUGAUGGGUAGCAUGUUUGCAUGCUAGGAGAGUCUUGAAAAAUUUACAAAAGUCAAUAUUGUACCCAGAGGUACAACAAAGUUGAUUUAAACCUCGAACUAGAUCAAACAUAGAUUUUAGGGUGAAAUUAAGAGUUUCACAGUUCAGGGAUAACUCAAAAUGGUAAUUCGGACUUCAAGGAUCAAUUUGGAGUCAAACCGAAAUUUUCACUAUCUAGGGCCAAAAUGGUCAUUUGCCACCUGAGGACAAAAUGGAAAUUUUUACAAAAGAUUUUUUUGGCCCCAUUUGACUUAUUGGACUAUGAUUUGAGGCUUAUAAGUGAAAAUUUUUAAUUUCGGUAAUUUUCAUAGCAUAUGGGUAAAAUUGUAAUUUUACCACCCUAAAGGCAAAACAGUAAUUUUCCACCACCAGAACACUUGUCCAGCAUAUGGAUUUUAUCCAAUUUUAUCAUUGAUAAUUGAAGGAAUUUAUAUGGUGGAGAGAGAAAGCUUAAUAGUUAAGAAAUAAAAAUAGACCAAUGAAAUGGUGACACAUGGCAUAUUUAUAACCAUUAAAUAUUUAGCUUUAAAAUUAAUACAAAAUCAGCCCAUUUCUCAUUCAUAUGGCCGGCCAAAGAAGAACAAAGGAGGAAAGGAAAAAAAACAAGAACCCUAUGCGGGAAAAUUGAAGAAAAGUGUGGGAUUUCAAGGGAUUAAGCUAAUAAAGGUAAAAUUUCUUGAUUUUGACUUGUGAUUUACACUACCAUGCUUUCUUGUUCAUUUUCCAUACUUAGAUUUCAUGUUUUUAUGGUGAAUUCAUGGCUGGUUGGAAUGGGUAUGGAGAGAGAAUGAAGUUGGAUUGAUUUGAUUCUAAGUUAUGUUAGUGUUUUUAGUUAGUUUAUCAUGUCUAGAAACAAACCAACAAGAAAAAUUUAUUUUCUCCCAUUACCCAUCAUUGGUCGAAUUUUCUAGGGAGGAUAUUGCGGNGUGUUUUUAGUUAGUUUAUCAUGUCUAGGAACAAACCAACAAGAAAAAUUUAUUUUCUCCCAUUACCCAUCAUUGGUCGAAUUUUCUAGGGAGGAUAUUGCGGUUGAAAUUGAUGAUAUUUUAUGAUAUUUUGGUGAUAUUUGAUGUUUGGUGAGGCUAGAAAUUAAAUGAGAAAUUUUGGUGUGAAAAUCUAAAUUUUUGCUCAACGUAUAGACAUGUGUGAUUAUUGACCCGAAACUGAUAAAUUGAAUCUCAUUCACAGUCACUGAGGUAAUUUAGGUAUAAUUGGAGUGUAAAAAGUGAGAAGAAUUGAUUUAGAGUUAAAUUGAAGAUUUUAGCUGAUUAGACCGAGUAUAGUGUGACUUAAGUCGAAUAUCACAUGUAAGCAAUUAAUCGGACAUUUUGCAUUCCAUAUCAUGCAUUAGUAGUCUAAAUUAGUUUAAUUUUGAUUUAGUACCAAUGUAAUAAGUUUCUCGAUUUUGUAUUGUGUCAAGGUGGUGAGUUCUCUGACAAGGGUAAGGAAAUUGUACCCGAUGAUCGAUAAUCGGAGUACUUUAGAAAUUAGACUCCUGAAAUAGUGAGUAACCUUACCAUCAAUUUAAUUAUCUAAAGUAUGUUUUUAAUCGGUUUUGGUGAAAUUUUAUGAAAAUGAGUUUAAAUGGUAAAUCUUUGUGUUUUACAAACAAAAUGUGUUUACAUGAAAAGAUUUUAUAAAUUGUCUUGAAAUUGAAUAAUGAUUUUGAAAAAUAGAGUAAUUGGAGACCACUUGUUAUGUUGUAAAAUUUAUAAUUUGAAUCGAAUGGCUUAUGACAAUAUUUGCAUGAAUGGCUGAAUUGAUAUUUAUGUUGAAAUAUAUGAAAUGUGCAUUUAGCCUUGGAAGGCUGUGAAUUACAAUAAUUGCCAUAUCAUGUUAUUAAAUUUUAUUGAUUGGUGAAAAAAUUAUUAGCUUACUACAGAAGGCGGGUUUUCGUGGACUAGCCUAUUAGAGGGGCACGGUAAACCCCAUUAUAUUUUACCUCAGUUGGAGAAGCAAGUAAGGUAACUUCCGAGGUAUAACUUUUAGAGUUCACUUUACGCCAAACCACCACAUGAGGUGGAACUUGGCCAACGCCAAGGAACGGCUAUAUUUUUAAAAUAAAAACAUGUUUAUGUGUACGUAACUUUUUAAUAGCCUUGGUGGACUCGAUUUGGGAUAGCCUUCGGCCAAGGUAUCCCUGAUAACUGAGUAUGAGAAUAAUUUUUGGUAUGAGCCAAGCUUUUAAGAAAUUCAUAAGCCAUAUUGAUUACUUGAUUUAAAUAAAUUGAUUUCAUUUGGUUGAAAUAAGUUGAAAGAUGAUAAAUUACAGUUUGAUGAAAUGUUUUAAUAGUCUCCUUUUACUCGACUUUAGAUAUUUUGAAUGAUGUUUGUUUACUCACUGGGAUUUCAUAAUCUCACCACCCUCCUUUCCACCCAUUUCAAGCUCAGAAUAGAUUGUAGAUAACUGAUAUCGGUGAUGACUACAAUUGGACUUGCCACAUCCAAAAACAGUAAGUUCAUUUCUUUUGAUACUUUUAGUCAUUCGCGAGCUCAUGCGUCGCUGUAAAUUAAAUUUUAUACUUUGGUUAUCUGUAUUAUAGUAUGAAUGAAUCUAUUUUGCUUUUACGCUGUAAAAAUUAUUUACGCAGUGUUCUAAAAAUAUUGUUUUAUAAGAAAAUAGAAUAUUUUGCUUAAUAUUUCUUUUAUUUUCUUAUUAUAUCCAAAUAAUCAUAAUUUCGUUUUAAAUGAAGACUUUAGACUUUUAAACUCAUUUUGAGUAUGAACUAUGUGUUUUGUACUUGUAAAUUACAAUUUUUGCCAGUUUCGAAAUAUUUGAGAAAAAUGACCAAUAUAUCCCUGUGGGACGAAAAUUAUUAUUUUAUUUAUUUUAAGUUGAAAAUAGCUUAAAAUCUCUUAAAACGUGAUAUUUGGCAACGGUUACUCACAGGGGAAAUGAGAAGCUGAUAUUAAAGCCUUGCGAGAUUUCGGUUGACAUUCCGGGUAAUGAAUGUCGAUCGGGACGUCGCAGCGGUUGUCACAGGCUCCAUGGGAUUUCCGGGUCGUGACAAGUGAAAUCCGUAAAAGUUGUAUGCAAAAGGAUUUUUAACAACACAAGUUAAAGAAAAAAGUUCAAAGGAAGAUUUGAUUUCAAUUGCAACCACAGAAAUAAUUAACAAAGCAAUGAAGAUAACAUUAUCCUAACUCUUAUUUAAUCUUUCUUGUUAAACUUUUUUAUAUUUUACUAAUCUUUGAGCAAAAAUUAUAUAUCAAUCACUGAAUUAAAUAUUUAAAUGCAUGAUAUAAAUUUUUGUUACAUUAGCAAAAUUUUAAAAUUUAAAUAUUAGUAUAAAAUUAUUAUAAAAAGUAAUUAUUAUUAAAUGCUUAAUUUUAUUACUAAAUUGUUAAAAGAGAGUUGAGGUUUGAGGAUGGAAGCUACUUUUUUAGCCACUUAGCCUUUUCUAUAUGUAACAAAAGAAGAUGUAAAAUAUGGACUCAAAUGUGUUUCUUGUGAGGCCAUCUUGUUUUUUAUGGUACUGUUGGAUCAUAUUAACCUCAAAGCUUUUGUACAGUUUUAAUUGAUGAGUUAAAUGUUAAAUAUAUUCACAUGUACAUGUAUAUACACAUACAUGAAUAAUGAAUAGUAAUGAAAACUAAAUAUAAGCAAAUAUCAACUAUUAUUUGAUAAUAAUAGUGUAUCUUUCUUAAAUAAUCCACUAAAUAAAUAAUUUCUAUAAGAAUCACGAUACUAACCUGUAGUUAUAGCAAAUGUCAAGUUUCUUUCUUUACAAGCUCAUCUUUAGAGUUCUUUAGACUUUUUUUAAUGAGUUCUUCCAACCCAAAUGGUAAUUUUACAAUGAUGGUAAUAUGGUAUUUAUUUUAAAAAAAAAUUACCUUCAGUGGGGACCUAUAUGUUUAUUUAAUAAAUAGAAUCUCUUUCAUCAAGAAGAUGCCACUAUAUCAAAAUUAAAAAAUUUCAAAAAUAAUGAAUAAUUAUCAUAAUUUUAUUUCAAUAAUAAAUAACUAUCACAAUUUCAUUAAAACUGUAUCACUUAUUAUGAAAAUUAAAUAUUAAAACCAUUCAAAAUUGAAAAUUCCAAUUUAGUUGUCAAUUUGAACACAAAUUUUCUUCUUUCUUGUUUGAGUGGUCCUACUCAUCCUACCUGUAUUCAAAAGUAAGAAGAAAAACAUUUAAAGACCUUGUGACAUUUUGGUAUCAAUUGCUGACACUUUGACAUUAGUUGACUGAGUUUUCAGCCACAAAUUGAUUGGCUGCACAGUGAUCAGAUAAGUGACCUUCCCAGCUUCUUCACUUGCCUGAUUUGAAGUUAAAACUAUAGCCACUCAGCCUUCUUCUUCUCACCAAAUUUCAAGAUAUGCUAGAGCAAACCUUCCACUAUUCGGCCUCCUGGCCCUUGCUUUAUCAAAUUUCCCUAAUUUUUGCAUUGCUAGAGGCAAGCACUACGACUCUUCUUUCUGUGGAAACAUUAACAUCAGUUAUCCUUUUCGAUUAGAAACCCAGCCUCGUAGUUGUGGUUAUAAUAGGUUUGAACUAGUGUGCUAGAAUAACCGCACCAUUUUCCCCAUGAAAAAUGGGAAUUUCUAUGUCCAACACAUCUCUUAUAGUGACGAAAUCACUCAACUUUUAGAUGUGAGUCUUGGCAAUGAUAACUACUCCAUUCCUCAUAGAUCUUAUCCUUGGUACACCCUUUUUAGGAAAGAACUGUUGAAAGGUAAUUCAUAAUCUGACAACAGCAGCAUGUGAAGAACAAGUGAAGAGCUUCAACUUAUAGUGCAAAACGAUGGCGUUUCUUCAUCAGAAGUUCUAAGUUUUCAAAGUGUGCCAUUUUACUUCUUUUAUGUUUUAAGUUUGUAGUACUCAAAACGAUGUUGCUCAUAACGUUUUUAGCUCUGCUUAGUUAAAUCCUAUACGCUUCAUUAUAGUGUCGUUUUUGAGUCUAUUUUAAGGCUUAACAACCAUGGCUUUCUGUUUCAACUUUUUACUGUUGGUGGUCAUUAGUUUGUCUGUAGUUUGUUGCUGUGAUCCAAUUUAUCAAGAAAUGUUUUUGAAUUGUUAGAGUAUAUAUACAAGAAAUGAAAUAAAAUGAUUAGCUUCUUCUAGUAAGAAAUUUUCUAUUCAUAUUCUCUGUUUUUAAGCUUUGUUUUUUCGUUGCUUAGCUUUGCAACUUAGCUUUUAAUUUUCUUUAAUUGGUAUCAGAGCUAUCAGUGAUCUUAAGGGCCUAGGAUUUGAUCAGUUUGUGUAAAUAUGACCUCUGGAUUCAAUGCAUCAGCUCCACCAAAGUUCACCGGAGAGAACUAUUCAUUCUCGAGUGUGAAAAUGGAGGUUUAUCUCAGAACCUUCAUGUUGUGGGAAGCAAUGGAGACUGAUGAGGAACCAGUGCAAAGGAGAGUUAAUCCGACGAUAGCUCAGAUCAGGCAAUUUGAGGAAGACAAAGCUAAAAGGUACAAAGCUCUGUCUUGCCUUCACUCAGCUUUAUCUGAUGAAAUUUUUGCUCGGGUUAUGCAUUUGAAAUCUCCUAAGCAAGUUUGGGAUUAUUUGAGAGAAGAGUUUUUUGGGAGUGAAUGAACUAGGCAGAUUCAAGCAUUUAAUCUUACUCAGAAAUUUGAAAUGUUAAGAAUGGAGGACAAUGAAAACAUAAGGGAUUUUUCUGGGAAGAUAAUGGGAUUAGUGAACCAAUUGAGGCUACUAGGGAAAGCGGUUACAGAAGAGAGACUGGUAAGCAAAAUGUUAGUGAGUUUACUUGAGAAAUAUGAGACUAAGGUGUCCUCAUUAGAAGAUUCCAAGGAUCUAGCUCAGAUUACUUUUAAGGAGUUAGUUAAUGCUUUGAAAGGUCUAGAACAAAGAAGGGCUUUUAGACAAAAGAGUGCAUCAGAUUUUGCCUUAGUAGCUAAAGCUAAAAAUGUGAAAAUGAGAGGUAAUGGCUCGAAGAACAGUUUAAUUGAUAAGAAAAACAAAGGAAGGAAGAGUGAAGAUACUCAACAGGAGGAUCAGAAGAAGGAAUUUCCACCAUGCAAGCAUUGUAAGAAGACUAGUCAUACUGAAAAAUACUGCUGGUUUAGGCCCAAUGUUAAAUGCAGGGCUUGCAAUCAACAGGAUCAUGUGGAAAAGGUAUGUAAAAAUUAGGCGAAAGCACCUGAGAAAGCUGCUGUUGUAGAGCAUGCAAAUGAAGAUGUUGAUGAAGUUCUUUUUACGGCUACAAUUGAUGAAAAUUCAAGCAAUGUAACAGCUGGUGAGAAUUCAAGGAGAUCUAAUGUUUGGCUUUUAGACAGUGCUUGCUCCCAUCACUGGACAGGUAAUAAAUCUCUUUUCUCUACCCUUGACACAAGCUUUAAGUCAAAGGUUAAGAUAGGAGAUGGAAAUUAUCUGAAUAUUUUAAGAGUAGGAACUGUUGACAUUGAAACUGCUUCAGGCAAAACAAGUAUCUCUAGUGUGCACUAUGUUCCUACUGUUGAUUAUUAUCUGUUGAGUGUGGGACAACUAGCUAAAGAGCAUUACAGUAUUUUGUUUAAGGGUGAUAGUUGUAUAGUUUUUAAUUCUCAGGGUAAAGAAUUGAUUACAGUAUCUAUGAAAAACAAUUGCUAUCCUUUGAAUUUGGCUAAUGCUGCUCACUUAGCUUUAUAUAACGAACUGGAUGUGUUUGAAGUAUGGCAUCAAAGGAUUGGCCAUGUUAAUUACAAUACUUUGAUUCUGAUGUCUUCUAGAAACUUCGUGAAAGGAUUGCUUGUUAUUUUAAAAUCGGAUAAGAUAUGCCAAACUUGUCAGUUUGGUAAACAAACAAAAAAAUCAUUUCCUAUAGAAAGUAGAUGGAAGGCUACUAGGAAGCUGGAAUUGGUACAUACUAAUUUGAGUGGUCCCAUGAAGACUACUUCACUUAGUGGAAGCAAAUACUACAUCAUCUUUAUUGAUGAUUAUUCAAAGUUUUGCUGGAUAUUCUUCUUGAAGCAGAAGUCUGAAGCUUUGAGCUAUUUCAAGAAGUUCAAAACUACUGCUGAAAAUUUCUCAGGACAAUGUGUAAGAACCUUGAGGAUUGAUAGUGGUAAGAAGUAUACAUCUGCUGAAUUUGAGCAGUAUCUAGAGUCUUGUGGAAUACAACAUCAGUUAACUAUUCCAUAUAGUCUUCAGCAGAAUGGGAAAGUUGAAAGAAUGAAUAGAACCUUGACAGAGAUGGGGAAGUGCUUAUUGUACUAGAUGAAGAAGCUAGGGGCAUUUUGGGCAGAAGCUGUGAAUACAGCUAACUAUCUUUUAAACAGAGUUUCCCAUAUGAAAUGUGGUUUGAUCAUAAACCAGAUGUUUCCCAUUUAAAAAUAUUUGGCUUCAUUUGCUAUGAUAAGGUACCAAAUGUUAAGAGGACUAAGUUUGAUCCAAAAUCUGUGGCAGCAGUUCUGGUUGGCUACAGUGAAGUCUCUAAAGGCUACAGAUUGUUUGAUCCUAAACUGAAGAAGAUUUUUGUAAGUAAAGAUGUGGUAUUUGAUGAGGGGCAAAGUUGAAACUGGCCUAAUAGUGGUGCUGGACAGGUUGAUUUUACCAAAACAGCUGAUGUAGAGGCUCAACAAACUGUAGCUGAUGAUGAUUCUGAUCUGGAGGAUGAAAGUAAAGCAGUUAGAGGUACAAUAAGCUUAGCUGACAUUUAUAAUAGAUGCAAUGUUACAGUAACUGAACCAGCAACUUUCAAGCAAGCUCAGCUUGAUGACAAUUGGAAAUUAGCUAUGGAUGCUGAAAUGGAGAUGAUAUCUAAGAAUGGGAUAUGGAUUCUUAUUGACAAACCAGUUGACAAAAACAUCAUAAGAGUGAAGUGGAUUUACAGAGCCAAAUUUAAUCCAGAUGGUUUUGUAAAUAAGUACAAGGCUCGGUUGGUGGUCAAAGGAUAUGCUUAAGUUUAUGGGGUUGACUACAUGGAAACAUAUGCUCUAGUAGCCAAACAUGACACUAUAAGGAUGCUUGCUGCUUUGUCAUCCAGGGAGGCAUGGACAAUUUAUCAUUUGGAUGUCAAAUCAGCUUUCUUUAAUGGCAUUCUUACUGAAGACAUUUAUAUUGAGCAACCUGAAGGUUAUGUGCAGCAGGGGUCUAAGAUGAAGGUAUGCAAGCUUAUCAAGGCAUUGCAUGGCUUGAAAUAGGCUCCAAGAGCCUGGUACACCAGAAUUGAUAAAUACUUCAAGAAUUAGGGGUUUAUGAGGAGCAUAAAUGAAUCCACUUUGUAUGUGAAGCAUGAGCAUAAUACUGUGGAACUUAUAGUAGCAUUAUAUGUGGAUGAUCUUCUGGUUACUGGACCAGAAAGCAAGUAUGUGUCUGAAUUUAAAUCUCGGAUGAAGGAAGAAUUUAAGAUGACUGACUUGGGAAUUAUGACUUAUUUUCUUGGCAUGGAAGUGGUGCAAGCUACUGGUAAAGUCAUACUGCAUCAAGGUAAAUAUGCUCAGGAUUUAUUAAAGAAGUUUAAUAUGAGUAUGUGCAAGGUAGUCAAUACUCCAUUGUGCAUUGGUGCUAAAUUUAGUGUAGCAGAUGGUGCUGAGAUGGCUAAUGGACAUUUAUAUAGAAGCAUUAUUGGUUCUUUACUCUAUUUGGCAGCUACCAGGCCAAGUAUAAUGUUUGCAACAAGCUUGCUGUCAAGGUUCAUGCAAAAUCCUUCAGAAGUACACCUUGCUGUAGCUAAAAGAAUUCUAAGAUAUGUUAGAGGGACUGUGAAUUAUGGACUAGUGUACAUGAAACAGGAAAGUAGUCAACUGAUAGGUUUUUUUUAUAGUGACUAGACAGGUUCAUUGGAUGAUUCUAAGAGCACAGGAGGUUUUUGUUUCUCAUUUGGAAGUGUUGUGUUUGCUUGGAGUUCCAAGAAACAGCCACUAGUAGCUCAGUCAACAGUAGAAGCAGAGUACAUAGCAUGUGCAGCUGCUACCAAUCAUGCUUUAUGGUUGAGGAAGCUAUUAGAUGAGUUUGGGUUUAAGCAGGAGAAAGGAACAUUGAUUAAUUUUGACAACUUGUCAGCAAUUGCCAUAUCGAAGAAUCCUGUUCAACAUGGGAGAACUAAGCACAUUAGAGUUAAGUACCAUGCUCUUAGAGAAGCUGUAAAAGAGGAAGAGAUUGAAUUGAUUCAUUGCUCAACAAGUGAUCAGCUUGCUUAUAUAUUUACUAAGAGUUUGGGAAGAGAAAGAUUUGAAUGUUUGAGACAAUGUCUUGGUGUUCAUCAGAUUAUGAAUUAAGGGGUUGUGUUGAAAGGUAAUUCAUAAUCUGAUAGUAGCAGCAUGUGAAGAACAAGUGAAGAGCUUCAGCUUAUAGUGCAAAACGAUGGCGUUUCUUCAUCAGAAGUUCUAAGUUUUCAAAGUGUGUCGUUUUACUUCUUUUAUGUUUUAAGUUUGUAGUACUCAAAAUGAUGUUGCUCAUCUCGUUUUUAGCUCUGCUUAGUUAAGUCCUAUACGCUUCAUUAUAGUGUCGUUUUUGAGUCUGUUUUAAGGCUUAACAGCCAUGGCUUUCUAUUUCAAUUUUUUAGUGUUGGUGGUCAUUGGUUUGUGUGUAGUUUGUUGUUGUGAUCCGAUUUAUCAGGAAAUGUUUUUGAAUUGUUAAAGUAUAUAUACAGGAAAUAAAAUGAAAUGAAUAGCUUCUUCCAGUAAGAAAUUUUCUGUUCAUAUUCUCUGUUUUUAAGCUUUGUUUUUUUGUUGCUUGGCUUUAUAGCUUAGCUUUUAAUUUUCUUCAAGAACUAUAUCUCUAUCGAACUACCACUGAAUACAGCAUCAUGUAUCUCGUAAAUUGCACGAUGCAGAUCAACUGCUCUUCCGUUUAUAUCGAUGCUUUUCGUUGUACCAAUACCCUUUCCUCUGGACCUCCUUACUUUUACUUUUUGGAUGAAAAUAUAGCAAAGUCUGAUUUCCAUGAGUCAUGCAGAAUUGAAGCCAGGUUCCAAUCAUGGUUGCCAAUAUCACUGGCCUCUCUACUUUUGAUAUUUACACAAAGUUGUUAACGGGAUUCCAACUCUCAUGGUCAACUUUCUAUUAUGAGGGGUCAAGGUGAGACUCAAUUGUUAACGUGUCAGGAUUUUUAAGAAUUCCUAAAUAUUUGGUGCAUUUUGGUUUUAGAAAAGUAUUUAUUACGGAUUCAACGGUUUUGACGUGCUUUCUUGAAUAUUAAUUAUAGAUUGCUAUUGUUGCGUCUGCGGGUUAUAUCUAUUCUAAACAUCAUGGUUGAAACAGAUAAUUUCCUUGCACCUUAUAAAGGUAUUCUUUCUUUUGUUGAGUUCAAUAAUAAUUUGAUUAUUAUUGGAUUGCCUUUAAUUUCCUAUAGAGUAGCUAUUAACACUUAAUUUUCCAAUUGGUAAUAUCUUACCAGGAAUCCAAAUUUUUUGUCAUGCAAUUACAGGUACUAAAUUCUACACUUUUAUUUACUCUUCAAUUCUAGAAUUAUUUUUUUUAAAAGGCUAAAUUCUAGAAUUAUUAUGUAGUAGGAAUCUAAUUAAGAUUUAGCUUUACAUUUAUAUUUUCAACCCAUAGGAAGUGACUAUCGCAUUGACUUGAAACUUUACAUGCAUGAUGAGUAUAAGUAAAUUGUUAAAUUUAAUGGUUGGUUUAUUAAAAUAUUAAUAGUAUAUGAAAUUAUAAAAAAAUUGUAAAAAUUAAUUAAUUUUAUAGUGGUGUAUGAGUACCGCAUACAUGUAUACGUGCGUCUCCAAGAGACCACAUAAAAGAAGAUCCAUCAUAAAUGAUUCAUAAAUAAUUUUGAACUACAUUAAUUGGGUUUUUUUUAAUUAGGUAUUUUUAUGAUAUUGUGAUGUUUCUUGGUCAAAAUAAAACUUACAUGGAAUAAGGUCUAAAUUUACCAUUCUAUUUUGAGUAAUGGAUCACACUUAUCACCAUCUUUGAACGAGUGUAAUUUUGCCGCUACACUUUUAAAUUAGUUAAAAAUAUGAUCAAAAGUUAAAACUAGUGUUAAUUUUUGACCAUUUUUGAAGUAAAUUAAAAUGUAUAAUGGUAAAAAUUGCACUUGUUUAAAAAUAAAAUAAUAAAUUUGAUCCAUCACCUUAAAUAAACUAGCGUGUGUAAAUUUAAAUUUUAUCCCAAAUUAUGCUAUGAAUUUUGUUGGUGAAAAUAUGGCAGCACAUACCCAAGUUAAAUUAGUAAAUGACAUAUGUAUAACAUAUAAUCAUGUUGUCCAACUAAUUAAUUUAUAUAUUGUUAUGUAAUUUUUUUUUUGUGAAACAGGAAUUAUAGGAAUUAUAUUGCUAAGAACACUUUUCACGAUAAUUUGCUUGAUUAUAUUGGUUAUACGCAAAUUAAAAAGGAGGCAUUUAUCAAUGGAUGACAUGAUUGAGAAUUUUCUUCAGAGUCAAAAUAAUUUAAUGCCUAUAAGAUAUUCUUAUUUUGAAAUAAAAAGAAUGACGGAAGGUUUCAAGAAUAAGCUAGGACAAGGAGGAUAUGGCUCUGUGUUUAAAGGAAAACUUAGAAGUGGUCAACUUGUUGUGAUAAAAUUGUUAAACAAAUCAAAAGCUAAUGGCCAAGAUUUCAUCAAUAAAGUUGCAACUAUUGGAAGAAUUCAUCAUGUCAAUGUCGUAAGACUCAUUGGAUUUUGUGUGAAGGGAUCAAAACAAGCUCUUGUAUAUGACUUCAUGCAAAACAGGUCCUUAGUUAAAAUAAUAUUUUCGACUGAAAGUAACACUUUGAGUUAACAAAAAAUGUUUGAGAUUGCAUUGGGAGUGGCUCGAGGUAUUGAAUAUUUACAUAGAGGAUGUGAAAUGCAAAUUUUACAUUUCGAUAUCAAGCCACAUAACAUUCUCCUAUAUGAGAACUUUAUCCCAAAAGUUUCAGAUUUUGGCCUUGCAAAGUUGUAUUCAGUGGAUGACAGUAUUGUCUCUCUCACAGCUGCAAGAGGUACAUUAGUAUAUAUGGCUCUUGAAUUGUUUUAUAAAAAUAUUGGAAGCAUCUCAUAUAAAGCCGAUGUUUAUAGUUUUGGAAUGAUGUUAAUGGAAAUUGUCAGAACGAGAAAAAAUGUGAAUGUCUCUGCUGAACAUUCAAAUCAAAUUUAUUUUCCAUCAUGGAUUUAUGAUCGACUCGAAGAAGGAGAUAUCAUAGAGCUUGGAGAUGUAACAGAGAAUGAAAACAAAAUUAUGAGGAAAAUGGUAAUAGUAGCCUUUUGGUGCAUACAGAUGAAGCCCACAGAUCGUCCUUUAAUGAGCAAAGUCUUGGAGAUGCUUGAAAGUGAAGUUAAGCUCCUUGAAAUGCCUCCCAAGCCUGCUUUCUCUUGAAAUGUCAACCAAAUCAUUUAGUGUUGUAUUAUAAGUAAUAUUUAAUAUUGUAUGUUAAGCAAUGUUUCACUACUUUAUUAUAUUGCUUUUAUAAUUUUUAUAGUAGAAACCUUAAGCUUCGGGCAUAAUCUUCUCUCUUCCUAAAAAAACAAAAAAAACAAAAACAAUAUAGAAUGGUGAUGAAGAAACUAUAUCAAGGAAAAGAAGGAUACUGAGUUGGAGUUUUGAGCGUGCGAACAUUUUAGGAGAGUUGUAAUGGUAUCUUGUAAGUAUUUUGUCUAUAUAAAAAGUCUUUGGGGCAUUUUAAAAAAUAACCCUCAAAGAUAAUAUGUUUUCAAAAAUAACUCUUUUUAUAAUUUUAACUAUUUUUAGUUAAGUUGGAUAAAAUUAUCCUUAAUGAAAUUACNGGUCAAUUUUCUAAUGGACUCCAAACUGGACCUUGAACUCCAAAUCACUAUUCUAAGUCAUUCUGUUGGUUUUAAAAUUUUCAAAUUCCUCUUAGAAUUUCUAUUUGAACUAGUUCAAGGCUCGAUUUAACUUAGUUGUACCACUUGGUACAAUACCGUCUUUUAAUCGAGCUUGACAGGGUCUCACAUUAGUUUUAUCCAAAAUACCUAAAAAUCGAAUUUCUCAAGUAGCCACUCACCCAAGCACGUCAAAACUAUUGCUUGGUGUCUUGAAAGUACAAGAAAGAGAAAUAUGAAAAUGCGAGAGAAAGAAAUCGGAAGCAUAGCAGACGAAUGUCGAAGAGAGAAAUCGAUAAAAUUUAAAAGAGUGGGAUGGUGAGACAGAAAAAUCCAAAACACAAAUAGGGAGAAAUUGUGAUGAAUUGUUUAAUUUAUUUGAAAUAGUUUAAAGGGUAUUUUUAUCAAAUCAUAACUAAAUAUGAAUAAAAAUAGUUAAAUUUAUUUUGAUAAUUAUUUUUAAAAUGUCUCUAUCAAGAAAGACCAUAUCUCACAAUUUUCUCAAAAUCUUUUAUUCAUGUAAAGGAUAAAGGCUUUAAAUAGUAUUAUCUAUACAAUCAUUAUAUUAUUGCAAAUAAUUAACUUACUUUUUAAAAAAAUUAAAAAUAUUUCUCAGCCAUGUUUGGAAUUUUAAUUUUUUUAUUUAAAACAUAUAAAUUAUUUGAGCUUUCUCUCUUAAUUAAAAAAGUCAAAUUGUAUUCAAUUUAAAAAUUUAUUUAAAAUGAUUCGAAAUCAAAUUCAGUUUAGUUCAAAUUACAUGGUAAAAAUUAAAAAUUUGAAUCUAAAAAUAUGUAAAUUUAAAAUGAUAUUAAUCCAACACUAUCUAAGUUCAACAUGACUUGAAUCUAAAACGAACCGAGCUCAUAAUGAUUCAAAACCCAAGAUAUAUCCAAAACUUAUAAAAACUUAAAUUUAUAACUGCAAAAAAUCCCAAUUAUAAUUAAAUAAUUUUAUUUAAUAACUAAAUGAGUAAAUGAUUAUUUUUUAAGUGAAAAUUUUAAGACACACAGGAACCUUUUUCUCGUCAAUGCUUCUUCUUUACUCAGAAACAGCUCAUAGGAAUGGCAUGGUCAACUACUCUGCUUCACCUUCACUUCAAAUUCCCUCCGGUUUCUUUUCACCAAUUGCCACAUUCCCUCCCCAAAAAAUCCCUAAUCUUCCUAAACCCUAACCCUAUAAUUGCCAAUUCCAAACCGGCCAAAAUGCAAUUCCUUCACAGACCCAACGCGUUUCCAGGCCACGGCGCAGUAUCAAGAGCCAUGGACAUCAUCCAAUCCUCGCCGCCCACGUGGCUAUCGGCCUUCCUCAGCAACCUCGUGAUCUUCGUCGUCGGAACCCCACUUUUAGUAGCGGGGCUAUCUCUCUCCGGAAUUUGCGCUGCCUUCUUGCUUGGCACUCUCACUUGGCGCGCUUUUGGGUCUUCUGGGUUCCUCCUCGUUGCUUCUUACUUCGUUAUUG